AGAACGUCGUGCUUUUAUGUAAAGUUGGGCAUCAUUCAUGGACAGUGUGGAUGUGUUUUUAACUUCAUAGCUAACUGCAGUGCUAUCGUCAUUGGUGAAGUAACCAGUGCUACUGUAGGCCUAAUAAUCACUCCUGAAGAAACUUGGAGGUGUAGCCCUCUGUGAGUCAUCUUCGUAUGUGGUGCCCCUUACCUUUGCUUUGCUCCCACCGCAAUUUAUGAAGAGGUUAUACCGAGCUGGAUGGAGUAAAGAAGCAGCCACAGAGAAAAUUCAGUUUCUUCUAUUUGUUAAUAUGGAGUGGACUUUCCAGACACACUAAUUAAGCUAGCAUUCACUCAUUGGAAAAUUACAUAGAAACUCCCAAGUUAUGAGCAACCCAUUAUUUCAUGCAGGUAGCUUUUGAAAUUAUUAGGGUAAUUAUGCAUCAACCAUCAAAGAUUGACACAAUAGCCAAGAGGAGAGUUGACAAGGAGAUAAAUUUGAUGAGAAAUUACAGAGAGAGUAAGAUGCAAUAUUAGAAUCUGAUGAUAAUGAUAAGAUAUGUCAGAAUAAUUUAAAUAUAAAAUCACGCAGUCAUCUAACAGUUUAAGCUUUUAAAACAGUUGACCGUGAUCUUAUAAAAUCCUCAUAUGGUAUCAGAGAUGGAUUUCAUGAGUUCAAAUCUUUCGCAGCCUCAUUUGCCUCCCUAAUUAAAUAUGUCCACAUUUCAUCUAAUAAUUUAAACUUUUAAAACAGUUAGCUGUAGUCCCACAAAAUUUCAUAGGAUAUACAACACGUCAAUUUACUUUUUAUACAACAAUGACUCUGCAGCAUAUUAACUUACCUUUUGCACAACAUUGACUCUGCAAACAUGAGACAAGUCCACUUGUGGCAGAACAUGAGGUUCUGAGCAAGUCAGCAAAGAUUUUACUGUUCAGAUUGGGAGAUUUCACUAAUCCAAUAGGACUGAAACUAAAGCUAAUCAUAAUUUGUUGAAAACAUCUCCUUCACAAUAUAUUAUUUAUGAAUAAAGGGAUGUCAACUCAAUACUAGGGUGCUUAGAAAAGGAAAUAUCAGCUUCAGUGAAUAAAAAAAUAAAGAAUAAAAUGAGGAUUUCAAAAAACAGGAAAGAGAAUAGAGUAUGUGAUAAGCCGCAGCAGAACCACAGAAAUUUGGUCAUUCAAGAAUGUCAGAAAAACUAAAAAUUAAAGCUCCAUUUGUUUCGUGAAAAAUGUAACAUUUUUAGAAAAUAUUUUCCAUGAAGUUAUUUUUUUAGGAAAAUGAAAAUAUUCCGGUGCUUGACUGAAAUCCUGAAAAUACCCGGAAAAUAUGUUCCAUUGUUUAGUAUGGAAAAUUUAAUUUGAUUUUCUAGGAAAAAAUUGCCAAAAAAAUCGAAUUUUUUAAUUUAUUUUUUUAAUCCUUUUCUUUUAACUUCUUCCUCGGCCGGUUGUCAGCUAUGGCUACAGGCCACGGGAUAAAAAAAUAUUUCUAUAAGAACAAACAUUUCAUUAACUAAGGAUCCGAACUUGAGCACCAAGGACCUGCACACGGCCUUCGCGGACUCAAUCUAAGUGCUGGGGACUAGAGCUUAAGUGUCAAGGACCCAAGCACUGCUUUUAUGUACUCGGGGUCAGGCACCAGGGCUUCAGGCCCGGGCACCAGGGCUUCAGGCCCAGCCUCAAUGGACUAGGCUUGGGCGCUGAAGACCUAGUUCUGAACGCUGAGGACCAAGAACCAGGCGUUGGGGUUCCCGUGUCCAAGCAAAGAGUUGCGGGUCCAAGCACCGAUACCAACUCAUAGUUUGGAAAAUGUUUUCCGACUUUUUCAAAAGUGGAAAUCAUUUCCUAAAUUUAAACAUAGAUCUUUCAUUGACUUGGAAAACAUUUUCCAUUAAGUCAUUUUCCUAAACAAACCAAAUGCUGGAAAAUCAGGAAAAUGUUUUUCGCGAAACAAACAAAGCCAUGACAGAAUGGCAAAAUGUUGCUGUUAAAAGUAGCGUUUAUUAAAUCUUACAGAGAUGACCACAUGAACAAGAAGAAUUGACUUGUAUAGAGAUGCAUUUGAAGCCAUGCUCUUGUUUGAACUAUGAAUGUUAUGUCUGACAAGUGUACAACAGUCAAGCAUAAAACUCCAGCUAGAUAUUGUAGGACUGAGAUUCGAGAAUGUAAACCACCGGAAGGAAAGUUUCCAGACAAUCAACCACUAGAAGCCUCCAUUUUGCAUUAAUGCUCUUAAGAAGUUAAGAUAACAUAUCAAAGCAAAAGUAAAUUAGACGAAAUGGGAAACCACAACAAAGGCAAGAAUUCUUGCUGGCAAAGUGAAAACAAAGAGACUGUUAGAAUAUUUAAAUAACAAACCACGCUUUCAUCUAAUAGCUUGAACUUUUAGAAGAGUUGACAAUAGUUCUACAAAUUCUCACAGAGAGAAAAAGUCCAUAUACUUUUGUGCGAAACUGUAUAUUCUACAGCAGAGGCCACAAUCACCAAGAAUUUAAAUGUCACAUCAUUAACAAUUCAGCAAUAUCAACAGAAAAUAUCAAAACACCAUUGAAGUCAGUAAGGGACCUUCAAGCCAUCUUGAAUGGGUUCUUUAACUGCAACCAAUAGUCAAUCAAAAACUAAUAGGAAUUUCACUCCUUAAGGGUAAAAUUAUUUAUUCUGCUUGGAAUAUCCUAAGGGAAAAGCCGCUUUCUACUCACAAUAUAUAUAGAUUUGUCAUAUUUGCUAGAUAACCAGGUAGCUCUCCCAUGAGAUUGCAGCUCCUCAGAAUCCUAUAAGAAAAUAAUACUGAUAUUGUCACAUUGCUAAGACAAUUUGGCUCUUUUGCAUAAAGUAAACUAUCUGUGAAGGAGCAUCGAUCUCACAGUAUACAAAUAUAUGUAUUGUUAAUUUGUGGAACACGAGACUCGGGUCCAUCAAGGUCACUUAUUCUCCUGCAUAUCAAAAUCAAAAAGGAGCUCUAUUUGAUUGAUAACAUCUUAAAGAAAGAGAGAUUAGAUCAAAUGCCAAAAUUACAUACUGACAAGUCGUUCAAAUGCUCCAAAAGUGCGAUCACAGAGGGAAUCGGCCCUUGCAAUCCACUUCCUUGAAUAACCCUGAUGAUACAAUUCAUAGAUGGAAUUGUCUUGGGGGUAUAUCUAUAAAGACCAACUUAAAAGGGGAAGAAGCAUUAAGCCUUACAGUGUUUGGAGAUUUGUCAAGUUCUGAAUGAAAUCGGGUAUCUUUCCUGAGAACUGAUUAUCACCAAGUUGCCUACAGUGCAUUAAACAACAUGAUUCAUAUGAAGGAGAACGAAUAGAAAUGGCUAAAUAUUAGCUGAGUUUGUGGAUACUGGAAACUAACAGGUCAGCCAAUUUUGUGAAGUUAACAAAUGUUUGAGGCAGCUCCCCUGUGGAAUUAUUUGACGUAAGCCACCUGAAACAAGAAAAACCCAUGACAACACAUUGGUUAAUAGAACCUGAAUGCUGUAUCUCUCAACAGAUCACUCCAAUGGAUAAAAUUCCCUCGCCAGAUACAAAAUCAUCAGCGAAUAAAAACUCGAUGCCUAACACAGAAUUUUGCAUCAAGAGAGACUCACAAAUAAUAUAACACGGACAAGUUCCCGAGCUCUGGAGGAAGAGGUCCAGAAAGCCAAUUGCUUUCGACGACUCUGAGUGGAAUAUGAAAGUUAAAAUCUUGACACAUCAAUCAAAUUUAAAAUAGCGAAGAGGCCAAAGGCGAGCGUCGGGAUGAGUGGUCACUCACAAAUGCAGAAGUGUGGAUAUGUUCCCCAACUCCUUCGGGAUUGGACCAGUCAAUCGGUUUCGGGUACAUAACUGCACCCACAUCAUCGCGUUUCCCCCAAUCAAACAAUAGAACAUACACUCGUGAGAGAGAGAGAGAGAGAGAGAGAGAGAGAGAGAGAGAGCAUACAUGUAUUCCAACUUCGUAAAGCCCCAUUCUUUAGGAAUUGUGCCGUUCAGGUAGUUGCGGGAGACAUCACUGUUUAUAGAGAGAGAGGAUGAAGAAGAAGAAAGAGAUCGAAAAUGGAGAAAGAGAGUACUUACAAGACCUGGAGGAAAGGCAAUCUGAACAGUUGAGGUGGAAGGGUGCCGGCAAGAGAAUGCUCCCGAAGUCGUCUGUUUAAGCAAUGACACAAAGGCUUUAUUCUAGCUUUACUUAAAAACUAGGCAUCAAAAUGAUGUUACAAAAUGGCUUUAUUACAUCUAUUGAUAUGUAUACAUAAAUCUCAAUUGAUUCUAAAUGAAAAAAUUCUUCAAAAAUUGCCUAAAAAAAGGUACGAAGUAACUCUCAAGCCAUGCCAAUUGGGGCAAGAAUCUACUUUGGUAAUGGUAUACUCACUUUUAUCACUUCCACCGCUAUGCUUUGUAGCAGAGAAAGAACAGAAGGAAUAAGAUCAGGAAUUGAUAGACAGAUAUCUGUAUCCUUGUAAACUAGUACGGACAAUGCAGAAACAGCUCCACUUGUAAUUUGAGGUGAUGAACCAGAAAGAUAGCCCACUAUCUGAAAGCUAAGCAACCAAUAGGAUCCUGAGAAAUCAAAACUGAGCAUGAUAAUCUAACUCAUAUUAUGUAUGUCAAUUACUAAGCAAUGGGAAAAGUAAAAGGUAACCCGUGAGCAUUGACUGAAUAUAUCUCAGAGUCGAAGUUCUUUAAGACGGCUACUCAAUACAGCUUCCUUUUGCUAAUUCAAUGCAAUCCACGGGACUCAAUCCUCUCUUUCAAAAAAUUCAUUCGCAAAAUUAUUGAACGCUUUAUAGCGCCCAGAAGUUUGAUCCAAUUAACAAAGCAUCCACAAAGUUCUAUAACUCACAUGCAUGACGAUCCCUUCCACAAUGACCAACCUAAUCUAUCUGACCGAAUCUAGUACUUCAAAGUAUUUUGGUGUUCCAUGGUGAGUUCAGGGAGGGUAGACACUUGAUACACAACAUUGAUGCCACUUCACUUCUCAUAGCUUUAAUUCUUUUUAACUUUUCCUUUGAGGUUUUCUAAUAACAAGUACGUGAUCCAAUGUUUCAAUGCCAAACCAACCUCACAUAACUUUGACUUUUUCUUUUUCCUUUUUUUAUUUUCUUGGGGUCCAUUUCUAAAGAAUAAUUUGUUGUCAAUAAGAAUAUAAUAAAAAACCAUAAAAAUUCUAGCUUAUGCAUGGCUAUCAUGCUUCUAACAUAUGUUUUUUGGUAGGAAUGCUUCUAACAUAUGUUUCUACCACACAAAAGCAAUACCAUUAUUUUCCUUCACCAUUUUACAUUAAAAUAUAAAAUUACAACCAUCAAAUAUAGAAAAAUAACUAAUCAAGUAAAAUAAUAUUAUCUAAUCCAAAUUUUAAUGAUAUGAACUUGUUUUUGCGCAUGUUAACACAAAUUUCAACUUGCUUAUAAUAUUUUACAAAUUUAAAAGAAAAGGACAUGAAAAAGUUCAAGUUGAAUCUUAAAUUGAUAGUCAAAAUUAUAUUUUCUCAAAUCAGUUCAACUAUAGCUUCCUGAAGUGACAGGACCACAUGUCCUAUAGAAUCACCCUAAUUUAUCAUGCCAAAAAAAGUUGCAUUAAUCUCUUUAUACCAACCAAACUUACUUUCAACAGUCAUGGAAUGUUGCAUUAUUUUAAACCUACUCGGCCUAUUCUCCACCUAAUGAUUUUCUCCAUAUACAUAAUUUUUCAUCUGAAGAUUCGAUAUUGUCAAUGGCAUGAGAAAAGGAAAGACAAUCAUGCCAAGUAGAGGAUUCCAAGUAAGUUGUAUAAUUUUAGGAUCACUGCAUCUUGAAUUCACACUUCAUUCUAGGGGGUCAAAAGUAUAUAACUAUUCCGACAGUGAAGGUUUUCUCUUAAUUUUCUGAUUAUUUAAAAGCUGCUGUUGUCUGGUGGGGCACACUUGGGAACCAUUCUUUCAUGCAAAGCAGGGAUGGAACAAUAUUUUCCCCAUAGGGCAGGGAAUGGGAACAAAAUUCCGGGCCUGCUCCUCCCAAUGGCAACCACUAGUGUGUGCAAUUCAAAAAGUACCUUGAAUGAUGCAAUCAGAAGUAUUAAUUGUACUUAAGGAAAAUUUACAACUCAAAAGGGCUGGAGGGAGGUCUAAAAACACGACAGAAACUUCUAGCUAGAAUCCCAAAAUGUUUUAAGCUUCCAUAGGAUAUCAAAUAGCACAUAAUGACCUAAUAUAUAUCCAUGUAGCCAACCCCAUCUACGUGAACUGUCUCCACAAUACUUUCUGCAGCACUUAUAAGAAUGAUGCGGCCUCACUAGGAAGGAGAUUAGGCAGGUCUGAAUCUCACCAACCCAACAAUCAAAUUUAGCAUGUCAACUGCCUCAUACUAAACAGAAACCUUUGAAUUCCUCUCUACUUCUUCCAGCAAUUAACAUUGACAGAAAGAACUCCUACUAGUUAUACUAUUUUCAAUCUGGACAGGACUGAGGGAGAUGGAGCUUGGAUUAUCAUAGAGUAUUAGUAUCCUAUUAUUAUCUUAUAGUGCACAUGAGUCCUAUUAGCAUCUUUGAGAUGAGGCAUAUGCCUAAAAAAUUGGAGAAAAAGUUCAGACACCCAAAGUAAGUAGAAAAUUAUGACUAUGAAAGGGGAGAGGAGAAAACAAUUGCGCAAUAACUAGUAAGAAAUUUAGUAUAGAGCCAAAAAUGACUUUAGUGAUUGAGGGAGAACCUUCAAGUAUGACCUUGUCGCGGGAAUGGAAUUGACAAAUAAGUCCAAUAAAAGUUGAAGCAACUCAGUAGAGCAUGAACUUAAAGCCUUGAUAUUUCUGCUUGCAGUUUUCUUUGAGUAAAUCGUUAGAGUUCGCAAUUCUAAUCCGGAUGCUUGAACAUUACAGGUGUCUAAAUCUUUAACUACUCUAGAGCCGAGUACACUUGUAUUCUGAUUCACAAGGAUCUGCAGAAUUAGAACAGUACUAUCAGGAGAUAUGAAAAUGGGAUAACAACCUCUUCCCAGUAAAGAACAAGUGUGAGCCAAAUGUCACCAAUGUGGCAAGAAAGAUCACCUUUAAAGCAAGAGCCACACUUUCAUGCAUAAAAGAAUAUUUUUUAAGAAAAUCAGUCAAUAAUACUGCCAAAUGUCUAAACUGUUUGUCUGUAUCACUUGAAACCCGGCAAAAGGCUGGUAACAGUUUCCAAAGGUCAUGAGCAUGACCCAGCAGCUCCUUACCAAGUACUGAUUUCUUAACUGGAGAAAAAGAUAAACAGAAGCACAAUCAAAUCCCUGAUGUCACUAAAAUGUUAAUGAUGAACUGAACAAAACUCAAAUCAAGUAAUGCUGAUUAAGGACUCCACUACAUACAUGAACAAUCAGCAUUCAACCAAAGCUCACACUAAAAAAUAUGCAUCAAGGAAGGAAAAGUUAAUGUCACAGAGGCAGAUGAAGAAUAAAAUUGCAUAAACAACAAUAUUUUGCUCCCCAGGCCUGUCCCUCCUAUCAAAUAUCUACAGAAUGCAAAAAAAACAUGCCUUGAGAUGAACAAUUGCAAUAAGAAAAUAUGAUAUGCAUAAUUCAAUGGGUAUCAUAAGCCAAGUAAGGGGAGGUCAACGCUUUGGGAUGGCACCUAUCAAAUGGGAUCAACAUAUAUGAAAAAAAAAAAAAAAUCAAGAAGUUGACAGUUCUGUUAUAAUGUUUCAGAAAAGCUUUCAGCACAGCUUACAGGCAGGUUGAAUUACCCAGCUUGAUAAGUCUAUGGAGACUCUUAUUGAAGACUAAAGCUCCUUUUAACAUAGCUUGUGAACAUGCAAAAAUGAUCUCACAUGAUGAUGAUCUAUUGCGAGGAGUUUAUGAUGGACAAAAAAGUUUUUGUAUUGAGUUUUGGUUAAACACACGGAAUUUUGUGCACUUAUUCCUUAUAAAAUGUGUCUCCUGUCAAAGAACACUUAGUGGUGCCUUUGCAAAAAGCAGGACUUUUACCCUGCUUAAACUGAUUUGAAUCUGAAUACGGAUUUAAAGAUGGAGAUUCUAGGUUGCUUUUAAUUGAUAACUCAUAAGUUAUGCACAACCAGUUGUGAAUCUGUGCCAAACAGCCAAGGAUCUCCACACUUAUUAUGACGUCAAAUAUGAUAUCUGAAAAAUGAAAAUCACGGAAACAAAAGUCAUGUAGAAUGAUGACAUACCUCCAGAACUAGCACGCUUGAAACAUUUUGCGAGGGGCACAAUAUAAUCCAUGUAAUACUCAAGUGAUGAACCAACCACAUAAUCUCUUAGAAUGGCCACCAACCAAACAUUACUAGAACUAAAAUUGUUGGGAUGCAGUGAAAUAGGCACAACAGAAAGCAUCUUUUCUGGGCCCAUAGCAAUUACAGCAGAACCAAUACAUCUCUGAAGCUGUGUAUCACAGUAAAUUGAACACUGAUAAGUUACCAUUCAAACAAUCUUCAAACUACACAAGUAUUUGUUUUAUAAAGCUAGACGGUCAAUUAUUUGUUUCAUCAGAUAAUGGCAAAGUACUAUGCUCAAAGCUCUGUUAACUAGUCAUGUACCCAAUUUAGUAAAAAAAGCUUUUGUUAAUCCUUAUAUGUAAGUAAAAAAAUAACCUGCUGUUAACGCUCCAAUCAACAAUUCAAUCUAACUCUAACAAAAUUCAUGACGACAAGUCGAUUUGGAGUUUGCUAUGAACCCCAUCUUCUUCUUUGCACACUUCAACAGGAUAAACAUAUGAAGCAAAGAUGACUUGAAAAAUCAAAUUUUGGAGAGCAAGAUCAAGUAAUAGCCUUUACAUCAUUCUCUUGAAAAUCAAUUUCGAGAUCAACACAAAUCAAUUCCCUUUACAUCAUUCUCUUUUUCCUUUAUACAUGAAAUUAAAUCAAUAACAAGGCAGCAAGGAGGUGCAAACCCAAGUACCAAAGAAAUCAAGAACCAAAAAAAAAAAAAAAAGCUCAAUUCAUCAAUAAUGACAAUAAAUGCAUCUACAUCGACAUGCAUGUUUUCAAGUCGCAUUUCCACUUCCAUAAGAACAUUGACAAAAAACAAGGACAAAACAUAUUGCCUUCUUCCAUGAGUAACCAGCCUCGCUAUGAAUGACAACGUCAUCACAUAAUUAAGUACUUUUGUUGCUUCAAAGAGCAAUACAGUGACUUUAUUCAAGAACUUUAUCCAUUCAUAACAUACUCAUAAUUUCAGCAGCAAUUUUAAUGACAGAAGGAACACCACUGCACUGACAUGCCAUGUAGAGAGCUGAACCAGAGGCGAAUUGGGCCAUCACACUCUUAACUACAGAUGAUAACGGACAUUUUCAGAUGCUCUUUACUAGAAUAUGACAAGAAUACUGUAACGCAAACUUGCACACUGCACGAACUUAAAAAAAAGCUAAAGAUGAUCCUACAGAAAUAACAGCUUUCACACCAAUGACAUUUCUCAUGCCAAUAAAUUUCUAAAGCAUACAAAUACGUACAUGGCCUGUGAUAGAUGGGCCCCUUUCAGCUGAGGUUAUUAAGUGAACAAGUUUGAGCAAGAUACUCCUCAUAUAGAUGUAAGAAGUUUUUCCUACACACAUUUAGAGAUGAGAGGAGAGGACUGUGUAAAUCAGUUUGUGGUCAUAUUAACAAAGAUAAUCAAAUGAGAAAAAAUAGUAUUUAUACACUUUAAGAAUAGUGCAUGUGAAAUAAAUCCUGAACAAUCUCACACGUCAUUCUAUACUAGCAGAGGAAAAGCACUGUCACCCGCAACCAAUGUGGCAUUAUUAAAAAAAAAAAAAUGUCAUUCCACAAUUCAAAUGAACUUCCAAGAGACAACAAUCUUCUUUUUCAAGGAAUAGGAAAAUGAAGGAGGUAUGUAGACCUAGCUAGUCCAAAAGAACAGACUGAUGAAAGAAAUGGGCAAAAUCCAUGGUAAAUCCAGUACUCAUGAUUCAGGACAUUCUAAUCUAAACUUUAAAUAAUUUUUAACAUGUCUGUACAGGAAAACUCUCCAAAAAAAUUGCAGCUUAAUCACUAAAGUCAAGUUCAAACUGACACCUUACGAAGAUCAAAGAGCAACACCCAGGACUUUAGAACUUUUACAGUGAAAAAUCAUCAAUUGCUGAUCAUAUCCUGUUUGAAUUCCAACAUGCAAGACAAAGUACUUUUGAGAACUUGAAACUGUAAACCUCAUGCAAAGGUCAAAACUCAAUUCGAGUAGAAGUCCAGUUCUGCGUAAUUUAUUGCAAGGUAUGGCACUAAUACAUAUUUCUUUGCUAAAGUUUGACAUUUNNNNNNNNNNNNNNNNNNNNNNNNNNNNNNNNNNNNNNNNNNNNNNNNNNNNNNNNNNNNNNNNNNNNNNNNNNNNNNNNNNNNNNNNNNNNNNNNNNNNACGAAGAAUGCCUUCCAGCUUAUUUAGUUGUUGAAAAACAAACCAAAAAUACAGCCACAGCAGAGCUCGUAAGCCUCUACAAUGUUGAACAUUAUCAGCAAGCCCACAACAAAUAGAAUUGAAAGUAAGAACCGCAGAAAGUAGUUGCCAAGAAGUCAAGAUGGAGAAACAUAGAGAAUUAAUAUGGGUUCAGACGGAAGUAUAAGCCAUUUCUUUCAUAAUCGAAUUCAGAAAUUGACAUACAGUAGUCCUUGAUCAAUGUCUGGUAGAACUUAAUCAUGCCAAUCAUACAAAUCACAAGAAACAAAGAACAUUAAAUAUAUUGAGCUUGAGUUAUUUCAUGACAAAGCAAAGGGUUAAUACAUGUAUUUGCAAUUGACAAAUGGCAAGAAAUGAAGAUCUUCUAUAGCAUACAAGAAAUCAAGAUGUAUGCAUACCAAGUUUGAGGUACAAAAGAGAGAUUACAGAAAGUGCAUGCUGAUUUGGAGUUUCGCCAUGGGCACUGAGGGCACUUUCCAAAGCAAUACAUAUUCUCCUUAUUGCUAUUGUUUCCAGACUCUCCUCACUUACGUCAUCACUUGGUUGGCUCUCCAUAUGGAAAGUCUCUUCAUUUACUUGUUCAUUAAUCAAGUCCUUCAAAAUACUCAAGGCCUGCGAUGCAGCAUCAGCCUCACCAACGAGAAGUCCUAAAUUAGUAUAACCAAGUGCAUCAGAAAGCAAACACCGGGGUUAACAAUAUCAAAAGAUCAAGUGAACCAUCCACAAUCUCAUUUCCAGUAACUAAAAUUAACAAAAGAUAAAAGUAGAGUCCUUGAAAGUAAGCUUCCAAGUACAUCGGCCUAGGCUCCCGAGUGGUGGAGGUUCAUUUGUUUAACAAUCAAGGGAUAAUCCCAUACUUCCACUAUCUCAAAAAUGAUGUCUUAGACUCUUUGAUCGUUUUUUUUUUUGGUAGAAAGGGUAAUAAUUAUAUUGAGGAAAGGCAAAUGUACAGGAAAUCCCGGCACCGAAACUUACACUCAAGAAGAAAAACAACCUGAGUGGAAGGAUACCGGGACGUAAAAGGACCAACCGCAGCAAAAAUAGAGCCAUGCAACCAACAAAACAAGCACGGCAAACAGAAAGCCGGCACAAAGCUAGGGUGGCAGAAAGCCACACCAGAAAAACUAGCAAAAAACAACCCCCAGCCAGGUAGGAAGGUCGAGGAGAACUAACACCAAACAUGAUGGAGCAGCGCCUGCAACCACCACGCACAAAAAUCAACUAGCCAAAAUGAGGUCCCCAGAAGAGAAAUCAAUGGGGUCAAUAUCCCAAGAACGCUGUAGCCUCCUAUUUCUAAUGGAAUUUUCCACACCCCUGAAGGAAAGGGCCUUAUCUUUCACGGCUCUAAGCAGUUGCUUCUUCAUGGCCAAAACAGAAAUCGGCUCUCCCCUGAAUAGGAUAUUGUUCCUGUUCUUCCAAAUGAUGUGGCAAACCGCACCGAAGGGUAAUAAUAGACUCUUUGAUCUUUGAUAUACUGCAGUUGCACAAAAUUUCUUGUAAAAGGGAUGAUACCCAUUUGAGCCACUAUUUUUUCUAUCAUAACUCCUUCAUAACACCAUACAUAAGAUUUUGUUUCUAUCAUAACUCCUCCGUUCCACCAAGACAGAAAAGAUUGCAGUAAUGAUUUAAAAAAUAGCAGGAGCAAAAUAAUGAAGAAUGUUGACAGCAGAGAAAACCAAACGUAAAAUAAAAAAAUAAUAUGCGACAAAGGCUUGACUAUAUUUAGGAAAGUUAAUCAAUGAACAAGGUGCCAUAGAUUAAACUAAAGGGAGAACAUCUUUUGAUUAACAUAAAGAUCACAUUUUUUUGGUAAUAUAUAGAUGGUUUGACUUUGCUGCAUUGUCUGUUCAACCAUCAAACUUCAAUUUGCGUCAUGGCCAUCAACUACUGCCCUUUACAAUUCUUCCAAGCGUGUAGUCAUAAUUCCAAAACAUCAAUGACAUUUGAAUAACUUUGUAGAGUAUAGUAACAAGCAAGAUACACAUUUAAAAUUGAUGCACCUCCUUCCAUGCACCACUUUACACCACAAAAGGUAAAGCUUCAAUCAACAAAGUCAAUCAAUGAUAAAGAUUGAUACCACCAAUGUUGGAGAUUUAGGGCCUGUUUAAUUACCAUCCUAUUUUUAUAUUUUUCUGUUCUUUUGCUCCCCGGAGUAGAAAUAGAAUAGAAAUUCAUUUGGUAACAUCAGCUAAUUUUUCUAUUAGGAAUAGGAAAGUGGCUAGGGAAUAGAUUUGGAACAAAAUCAAGAAGAAAAAAAAAUAUAUUUCUUUGUUCUUGGGAAUAGAAAUGGAAAAAACUAUUUCUGAACAUAUAUUGUUCUCGGGAAUCCAAAGGUUACUAAGGGCACCCAUAGAAGUUAAUACAAAAUGUGACAAGGAAAUUCUCACCAACAAAGGAAUCCACCGUAGGAUACAGGACAGUAAUUUUUACAAAAAAAAAGUCUAUUUAUUGAGAAAUCUGCUCAAAUUAACGAAAGGAAUAGUAACUCAAGAAAUGAUUAGAGCAUAAACCCUACUUAUUAAAAUCAGCAAAAACAGAAUCAAGAGAAGAUUAAGAUAUUUGAAUUGUCCCCUAUUCCAUUCUUUUCCAAACUCACCAUGUAAGGCAAAGAGUAGGAGCAUUUUGGGCUGUUUUGAAAUGUAGAGAAGUAUGGGAAAACAUGACAUCAUUGUAGAACCAAGAUCGCAAAAUUAGCUAAGAAACUACCAAAACAAAGCAGUCGAAGCACUCCCUGCCCCAAGAAAGUUAAGAAGCAUACCUGCUAGAGACUCCCAAACUACAGGAAGGUUCUUAAUCCACAAGCUUGAUCCUCCAGUGUGGAAUUUAUUCAGAGCAACUCUUAACAAGUUUGCAGCAGUCAUGACUGUCCACCAAGUUCUCUUUAGAAGAAACAUAAGAAGCAAGAGAAGUGAUGACAUUUUCUAUCUCUUGAGCAGUAUCUCCCACCGCUAGAGUUUCCAAUAAUGCCUCGAUGAUUUUAAGAAUCAGUGUUGUAAGCGCUGAGAACCCGAGACUCAUAAGCUUGUCUCAUUCUGAAAGAAUCUGAAUGCUUACUUUGGCAGACAGAUACGGACAAACAGAUACCAGCACAUUAAGCAUAUGUAAGAAUCCUAUAUUCUCGGAUUUCAACAGUUUAUCAUCUUUAGAUCCAUCCUCAGGGCCCGUAGUCCUUGACCAAUCUGCUGAAGAAAUGCAACUUUCANNNNNNNNNNNNNNNNNNNNNNNNNNNNNNNNNNNNNNNNNNNNNNNNNNNNNNNNNNNNNNNNNNNNNNNNNNNNNNNNNNNNNNNNNNNNNNNNNNNNAUUCUUGUGCACAACGCCGAACCUGAGAAAACAACAAAACAUAUCUUCAAUUGCUACUCGUUUCUUACGAUAUGCAAAAGAAUAGGAACACAUUUCCACCUUUCAAAGCCCAAUUACGAUCAACAAGGCCAUAAGGGGAAGAAUACUGACCUAAAAAAGGUGACAAUUCCAUGUCGCCAAGUCUAACAGAAAAAAAAAAAUCCCAAAGAGCUUAAAAGAGCAGAACUGGAUACAGCAAUGCAUGAUUUGCGACAAUAUACCUUAGGACGCUUGGCCAGGGAGAACUUCAAAAGCAUCUUCAACCCGAAUUUCACCGAAUCCCAAUCCUCCAAGUCGCAAAACCCAAGCAAAACCCCCAAACACUUCACCGCGGACCUCACGCUGGACACGGCCAGCUUCUCCUCCUCCCUCGCCAACACCUCCGCCGCCUCCCUCGCCCUCGCGGGCGCGAUCCCCUGCGGCGGCACCGCGGCAGGACGAUCACGAGGAACGACAUGAGCGCCGCGACCUCCGUGGAGUCUAGGGCCUGCAACGAGGACGUGGUCUCGACGGCGGACAUGGCGGCGCCGAAGUAAGAGGCGGGCGUGAGGGGAGGGACUCGGCGUCGAGGAUGGCGCGCAUGGCGGCGGCGGUGGCGAGGAGGUGGCGGUGCUGAGGGGCGGAGGAUUUGGCGUAGCGGUUCAUGAGCUGUUGGCAGACGUCGGCGCCGUCUCGCAGCGGUUCGUCGGCGUGGUCGACUCGUGCUCCAUCUGUUGAUCCUGUCGAAGUAAUGAGGGUCGCUCUUCCUGUUUCCGUUGUCUCUGCUUCUGUGGCUUCAUGGCGGCGGCGGCGGCGGCGGCGGCGGCGGAUGCUUCGAUCGCCGCCGUGCGGUGGCUUCUCCCGGCUGUGGAAUGUUUCGGGGUAAAAAAUUCGCCUUUGAUGCUUAAUCCAUGUUUUUUCAUAUGUUUACGAUAACUAAAACUCAGGGGGUCGUUAUUUUCUUCGCAUUUGAUCUAUAUUGCUUCGCAAAGAACACUUUUUGAUUACAUUGAUGAGGUUUGCCUUGUCCCUGGUUCCUACCUAUCAGGUAACUCAACUUUCAAGGAAAUAUAAAAGUUAAUCUCACAAAAAAUCUCAAAUUAUACACAUUGUAACCAAAUACUCCGAAUCUUUUUUAUAUCACGAAGAAUCUUAAAUUCAUUUUUAUGACAUAUAUCCUAGCUUUUUUUUAUGUCAUAAAAAACCUCGAAAUUAUAUUAAUAUAACAAAUAUAUUAUAGAUGGAACUGAAAUAGAAAACAUAUAUAAAUAUGAUACACAUGUAAAAAUUUGGAUUUUUUUGUGAUACAAAAAAAUUAAGGUAUUUGUGUUGCUAUGGACAAAUUUAGGGUUUUUUGUGACGUAAAAAAAAAAGUUGAAGAUAUUUAUAUCACAAUAAAUGUAAUUUGGGGGCAAAUCAAAUUUAUGGAGCAAAAGUGGUACAUCUAAUCUUUUCCUUUCAAUCAUUAUUAUUUUCUUGUUUUAUAAUUAAAAGGUGUUAAGAUUUCAACGGGAAGUUUUCCGUUUUCGAUUUCAUCUUAGGUAUGCUAAAGUAUUCUCAAAGGAAUCUAGUGAUAUGAAAAACAAACUAGUAAAAUGAACAUACGAAAAAAGGUUAUUAUUGUGAUAAAAAAUGACAUCACAAUAUUUUUUUUGGAGGAAACAAAACGUCGCUUUUUAAUACGAUACACGAGAACCGCACUGAAUCAGCUAGUUUUGGUUAUUCUCGAUUCCAAAUUUUUUGAAUAGGAAUAAUCAAACUAUUUCCUAAUUUCAUAUGGGAAUCAAACUACUCGAACGAUAUGUCUUUUUUUUUUUUAACUACCCUCUUCUUUUAAAAAGUAAAGAAAAGGAAAUUGCCAAAAUCCUAAACCAAACCGGUCUAACCUAGGAAUUAAUCUAGUUUCCAAUUCUAAAGUGAAAUUGGCCCAACUCGGGAAUCAAUCACCUUUCCUUUUUAAUGAUAUGCAAGAAAGGAUAGAAAAGGAUAGGUAACUUUAUAUUCUAUCACGAAGUUGAUUAGAGAACCUACAGUCUACAGUAAGUAGCCAAGAGAGAGGAAGAAGGGAGGAAAAAUAGAGAGGAGAACAGGAAGAAAUGAAUCCUAAAAGCCAACAAGGAGUGCUUCAUUUCUGUGUUACUGAAACCGUAUACCUAUUGCAAUAUAUUUACAUUGAAUAUAAAUUAUACAUUACCAUGAUGCCCUUAUGUAUGUAAAAAGAAAUAAAAGCUAGAAAAUAAAACCAACACCAUUCAAGUAAUGUAACACUCCCCUUAAACUAGAGCAUAUAGGUCACUCAUACCCAACUUGGAACAGCUAGUAACAAAGACAAGACAAAACAACACUUUAAUAAACAUAUCAACCAAUUAAUCUCUAGAGGCAAUAUAAAUAGUAGUAACCAACUUCUGCUUCCCAACAUCACAAAUAAAGUGACGGUCAACUUCUAUACACGUAGUUCGCUCACGAAAAACAGAAUUCCUAACAAUAUAAAUAGCUGCUUAAUUAUCACACAUCAUAUCAUAAUCAUAAGUUGAUUAAUAGAAGGGAUUUCAACCACAACAAUUUAGUCACAAUAUGUGCCAUAGCACGAUAUUAUGCCUCCACACUAGACUUAGGAAUAGUUGUCUAUUUAUUGCUCCUCCAAGUAAUCAAAUUACCACCAAGAAAAGUGCAAUACCUAGUUGUGGACCGAUGAUCACAUGCUAACCCAGCCCAAUCAACAUCAGAAUACCAUUAGGUUUAUAAAUCAGCCCCUUAUUAGGAGAGCCUUUAAAGUACCAAAGAUGCGAUAAAAAGCGACCCAACAAGUGUUCUUUGGUAACACCUUUAAUUGACUCACCACACCAAUAACAAAGGAAAUAUCUAAAUGUGUAACAAUGAGAUAAAUUAACUAAUUAGCUUGAAUAUCAUGAAUAUCCUUGAUGCUUAUCAUAUAUGAUUUCUAAUUAACAUGCAAUUACUUAUUCUUUUUCAAGAUUUUCUUUUAUUUAAAUGAAAUUUAUUUUUGUGUGAAAUGCCAUGCAAUGACAAGCCAAAAUGCCUAACUAAAAUGACAUGUAACAUGCAACGUAUCAUGAACCAUAUGUCACAACAUGAUCUAAUGACAAUGUAAUUAUCCUAAUAUGUCAUGCACUCAAAUGAUCCUAAACAUGCAAUGACUAGAUGACGAAAUGACCUAAUUCUAAGUUACACACGCAUGAUAUUGCCUAAUAAUUGAACAUGCAAUUAAUGAAAAGAAAAUCUAACAUCCUCAAUUAAUGUUUUUGGUGUUCUUAUUUCAAAAAUUCAGAAUUAAUAAAAUGCCUAAUCUAAAUAUGCAAAUUAUCCUAAAACAAGCAAUAUUCUAACAUGAACCUAAUCUAACUCUAUAUAUAUUGGGUUUUUCUUUUAUGGAAAUAAAAUCGAUUCAAACAAUACAACGGCAAAUCAGACAAGAUAUGAUUAAUAUCCACCAAAUAAAUUGAUAAAUCGUAUCUCGCGCAUGAGAUCGGAUUGGUCAAUUCUAACAAAAUCUUGACGGUGAGAUCGGAUUGGCGAUUUUUCCGCACGAUUGUGAGUCAUAUUCCAGGCGUGAAAUCAGAUUGUCAAUCGUAUGCACAUUGUGAAAUUAGAAAGAUUACCCAAUUUAUAAGGCUACUCGAGAUUACGGAUAUGAUAGCAUAUCGAGAAUUUCAAUCACGUGCAUUGAUGAAUAUUUGAAAUAAGGAAAUGAAAUUUUCUGAAAUCAAAAUAGAUAAGUUUUCACCUAAUUCGAAUAUUGGCUCACCACGUAAUGUGGUGGUGCUCAGCGAGGCUCACAGGAUGGCUACUCGCCAGGGGGCUUUGCGUGCGGCACCUUGAUGAUUGCUCAAUUCAAUGAUAUGCGCGUAAACCUCAAGAAGCAAUUUGCAAAACGAUAACUUUUGUUGUUGUAGCAAUAGCAAGGCUUAGCCGAGAGAACUAGAGAACCACGAUGGGGAGAUGCUCCAAAUUACAAUAAAAUAAGCGUGUGAAAUCCUCCCUCCUUUCAAUGUAUACGUCCUCCUUUAUUAAAAGAACAUGCGCCCUUCUCUUGCCCAGAUUUUAGUGACUCGGAUGAUUGCUGAAUUUUUUACCGAGCUCAAUCACCUCGCUGGAAUUCGUUGGCAACGCGAGUAUUGGUGCAAAUCGUCUGGGCGCGAUGAAACAAACCCAAGGAUCGGGCUGAUUGGGAUGGGUGACAUGAGCAGUGCCUACUGGCGUUGCGGUAGCAACGGGGUCGUGGCCAGGAAACAACCAGCUCGGUUCACGGAUGCGGGGCAGCAGCGAUGGCGGCGUUCGGGUAAUAGUCGGAACAGCAACUACGAGGGGCGGAGUUGCAGUGACGUCAUCGAUGAAGGGGCUGCGGUGGCGUUGUCAAGCGGUCGAGUAAUAACUCAACAGGGUGGCAGCUCGUUGACAAUGUAUCGCAGACGAUGAAAGCACCGCGGCAGAAGUGUUGGCAUGGGUCUGACUCUUGACCAAGAAGACUCGCACUCUUUCCUCUCUCACGUGUGUGUGUCUCUCCCUCUCGUAUCAAGAAUGCCCCCUUUUUUUUGUCGAGUAACGAGUCCAUUUAUAGUGAAAGGGUGUAAACCAUCGAGGAAAGAACGCAUAUUUUGUUUCCUUCUGUGCAUGCUUUGAAAUAUAUUCUAUUUCCUUUCCUCUUCCUCGUUGUCCGAAUGCCUUCUUUGCAGGGAUAUAUCUUUUUUUGCAAAUCCAUGUGCCCGUAGUGUAGAACGUGCCCAACAUUCCCUUCUCAUGCUGAUCUUCCGAAUUUCCAUAUGCUCGUAUCUUUCCACAUAGGGCCAUGCAUGAUGAAUAUUCUCUGCCGAUUUUAUUUCUUUAACCCAAAUACUAGCCCACAAAUUGAUCGAGUAUUGCCAAAAAUUCAAGAUCGUAAUAGAUUUUUCCUAGAUUACGAACCUUGCAAAGAUGAGCUCGCAAUAUCUCCCUCAUAUGCUUGUCAUCACCGAAUAUACGAAAGAUUCACCGAAUAUUGGAAGAAUAAUAUAAAUCUUUUCCAAAAUAUAUCGAAUUGUCAACUCGUAAAAUUGUAGCUUAUCCGCCGCCGAUCAAAUGCAAAAGUGAUAAACAAAUAGAUAAAUGCAACUAAAAUUAUAUGCUAUGCAAUUUUAAUUUUAUUUUUUUAGGGGUUAAAAAUUAAUCUCUAAUUUUCUAUGCAAUAAAUAGAUGACCGAGUCGUCAAAAUUUAGGUGUCAACAGCAGGCUACGCCAUGACAUUGCUUCCUUAAAGAUGACCUUUUAAUUAUUGUUUUUUUGGUCGAAAACCUUUUAAUUGCACCUUUUUUUAUUACUGUUGGCACGAUGAUUUUUUAACUCGACAAGGACUGCCAAUCAACCAUGCAAUGAGGGGACAAUUUCUACGAUGAGAAACGCGCACGCAUUGACUAUGGGAGUCUCCGGAGACAAUUAUACAUUUCUACCAACACUGAGAAUCUAAUCUCCAUAAUUGGCAAUUUGCUUUUGCAUGGGAAAAUUGUCCAAAAAAUUCUAAAUUUAUUACACUUUUACCAAUUUAGGCAUAGAUCUUCUAAUUUGUAAAUUGAGUUCUAAACAUUUUUACUUCUUACCAAUUCAGCUGUAAACCUUUUUACUUUUUGCCAAUUAAACCACCGGCUAAUUUUGAUCAUAAAUUACUAACAUGAAUAGCCGAUGCUGAUGUGGUACUUUUUUUAAUAAUACUUUGAAUAUUUUAUAGUUUUUUUUUUGUGACCUCGCCCGUGGCUAGCAAGAGUUGGCCGGCAACUCUUGUCUGCCCUAGAUCCAAAAACCCAAAAAUAAAGCAAAAAAGUUUUUAAAAAACAAAAAGAAAGAGAAAAAAAAAAUCUAGAAUGGAGUAGUAAAGCUUUUGUCCAACUCUUCAUGUGAGAGCAAGAGUGAGAGCAAGUCAGAGACAGAGAGUGAUGUCUGAAAGUGAGAGAUAGAGAGAGAGACAACCCCGUGUCUUCCUCCAAUGUAGGGAUAUUCCAUUUAGAAUGAAGUAGUAAAGCUUUUGUCCAACUCUUCUUACCUAAUUUUUUUUCUUCUAGAGACAAUAGUCUUUUUUGUUGCUCUAAGUUUGCUAUGACCACAUCUCAAAUUUAGAUUAUUAUACAGUUUAUUGAAGGCAGAGUCCAAAUUCCACGAUUCUUGGAAACUUCAGUAGCUCAUGAAGUUGUCCAAAUAAUAAUUAGAUUCACUUUUUUUGGGACAAAUCUUUUUUCCCCCUCUUUCUUUUGACUUCAAUUGUAACAAAUUACUAUUCUUUUAAAAAAUAGUCAAGGGCUACGGCCACCAAGACCCGGUUAUGUGGAGGCCAAUGAAAUACCCUACAAGUCUUACAAAUUGGCUAAGCCCAAUUCUACGCCCCUGACUUGAUAUAGUUUGCGCGCCAUUGGUGGUAUCAUAUAUGUUGAACAUAAAUAAUGGAAAAAGUUAUCCUUUUAAAGUUGUUAAAAAAUAUAUACAUAUCAUAUAUGACGAGUUUGGGAUCUAAUGUCAAUGGACAGAAUAAUAAUAUCUUAAGACUUUUUAGGACAAUAAUUGAAUUGUACAGCUGUGGAAACUGAAAUAUUUGGCACCAUGGUCUAUCCCGUUCAUUAAUGGGUGCUUGUACAUUAGCAUAUCUAAGUCUCUAUCGAUGUUGACAAGUGUUUCACAAGUCAACUAUACAGCUCUCUUUUUUAGAUAAAAUUACCAAAGCAAGUUCUAAAUCGAUUGUAUUUGUAUCAAUUAAGUCAUAAAUUUUUCAAUUAUACCAAUUCAAUCCUAAACUUUUUGAAAAUUUCCAACAUAAUCCAUCCGGCCCUCGCCUCUAGUCAGCCACAGUUACUGGCGAAGGAAGAAGGAAAAAAGAAAAUGAAAGAAAAGAAAAUUAAAAAUUAAAAAAUGUGGAUCUUUUUAAAUUGCAAAAAUUAUCUACGUGAGCACCAACUGUGCCACAUAGGAUGGCCAGUGGGCACGACUUAUUCAUAUCAACAAUUUCCUAUCAAAAUUAGCCAGUCAAUUUAAUUGGCAAAAUUUGAAAAUAUUUAGGACUCAAUUGAUAUAGUUGAAAAGUUUAUGAUUAAAUUGACACUGGUACUAUAGAUUUAUGAUUUUUUUUUAAAAAUAAAAUUUCCAUCUUUCUUGAGCUGCUCAUAGACUUGUCCACAUACAUACAUACAUACAUACAUACAUACAUACAUACAUACAUACAGAGAGAGAGAGAGAGAGAGAGAGAGAGAGAGAGAGAGAGAGAGAGAGAGAGAGAGAGAGAGAGACGACUGUCUUAGUUUUUGGCUUCUAGAGAAGGCCAAUAAUUUUUAAACUCAAAUAUUUAAAAAAUUAUAAAGAUUAUAUGAGAACUAUUGUGGCAAAUGAAAGGUUUCAAGUGCUUGUAAUUUUUUUUUAAAAGACCAAUUAUGUGCGUAAAUAUUGAAAGAAACUUUUAACUAUUUAAAUAGUCAUCGUCGAAAGAGGCUGAAAUUUUCCAAUUACAGGACGAGUCAUGGAAUCGUAGGGAGGAGGGGUUUUGUACUUUGACUUUGCUUUGGCCAAACAUGGCCUCUUUUAUCUCCGUUCCAUGUUAUAAACGUGGACACCAACUGCAGAAAAAUCAAGGCACGUAAAACAAAAGUUGACUUAGACCAAAUAAUAAUGGUUCCACGAACCACGUCAUGCACAAGACCUAAGAAAAACAAAAUCUUAUAUGCAUGUCUAAUCAAAUUAAUGUCGAGUUGUCAAGGGUUGUUUCAAUACCGUCAAUCAAUGAAGCUAUAUUCAACACACAAGUUUCAGAGCAUUGAAAAUUCUAGGUUAACUUUAAGUAAUGGAUUCUAAGCACGGAAUCUCAUCACUUACCUUGAAAUCUUCCUUGACUACAAGAAACCAUGUAGAUUGGAACAAUUUUCCGUUGUAUGUUUCAAUAGUCUUGAAUUUCGAAAGCUAUUAUAUUUUUAAUGAUUUUCGACCGUCAUCAAUUUGUAACCAUUUUUAUCACCCAUUACUUUAUUACAGUUUUAUACUUCUAAAGGGGUUGGAGUAAAUCUCUUAAUUAGACAAAUAAGAAAAUAGUCAAAUCUCAAUAACCUCUCCUUUCGAGCUUCUAAUUAAAGAUAAGAGAUUUCUCAAGCCCUAAUUAGUCAACUGGACUAUUAGAGAUAUAUUUAAAAUAUUCUAUGAUUCUAUAUAUUAUUAUAUGGUUAUGUAUAUUUCCUUUGAUUGGUCUUGAUUUGUUACUUUAGAUAGUUAUUAUAUAAAGCCUAUAAAUAAGCUCGUGUAUUCUUUAUUUGAUGUUCUACAGAAUAUUACAAGCACGAAUAUUACAUCUUUCGGUCAUUAUGAUUCUCAACUUGGAUGAAAGAACAUCUUAAAAGUAGAACCUCGUCAAUUUACUUGCCUAGCCGCCUGAAACAUUAUUAGUAGACUACACCAUGACGUCGCUUCCCUAAAGGUGAUUCAAUUUUUGACCUUUUAAUUACUGUUUUUUUGGUCGAAAACCUUUUAAUUGCACCUAUUUAUUACUGUUGGCACAGUGAUUUUUGAACUCGACAAGGAUUGCCCAGUCAACCAUGCAACGAGGGGACAAUUUCUACGAUGAGAAACACGCAUGCAUGCAUUGACUAUGGGAGUCUCCGGAGACAAUUAUUCAUUCCUGCCGACACUAAGGACCCAACCUCCAUGAUUUGGCAAUUUGCUUUUGCGUUCGUAAUCUAGAACGCGGAAUUUAUGCUAAAGAGCUUCUUUGAAUUUUUGAUGUCCCUCUUUUCUUUUUGUGAUAGAAAACUUUCCACACGGAUGUUUUAUCGUGUUCAAAAGAAAUGUCAUCUACAUCAUGUUUCCAUGAAAGUCUUUACACAUUGCACUUUGAACGUAUCAGUACAUGCGUUAAUGCAACUGAAAGUCGAUUCAGACACCAAUGAGAGUAAGUGUGGGCUGGGUUGAAGAUCUCCAUUCAACCGGCGAAUGCGUCAAAUGUGGGAAAAUUAUCAUAUUAGGUAGAUAGAAUAUGAUUUUCGGCAGAUAAAUAAUAUGAGUCAAAACGAAUACUAUGACCCAUCUUAAAUUUUGAGACCCAUGUUCUCCCUUAAGUCUAAUCAUGGAAACCCAUGACCCACAUGUAUUUAAAUUCUCUAUUCCUUUGUUUUUUAAUUCGAUUUACAUGUUUCUGAUCUUGAUGUUUUCUAACUUUAUUUUGAUCUUAAAUGCACAUGCCAUCACCUAACGAGAGGAGCACAUAUUGAAAGACAAUGUGAAUAGAUGAGAUCUGUGGCAUCCCAAAAAUUCAAGACAUCCUCUAGAGAAAUUAAAGCCCAUAAUUAGGUAAUGAAAUUACCUAUGGUUUAUGCUUUAGCCAUUAGUUUUCUUUUAAGGCUAAGUGAUAUAUGCUUGUGUUCAUGAAUUUUGGAAAUUGGAACUAUAGGAUAAAUUUAUGAGGAUGAUUUAUUCUUAGCCAUGUGAAAUUAAAAUUUGAAAAUCUAUGAAAGAACAAAUUAAAGAUGAAUAAUUGAAAAGUGGAAUUGUGAAUUUUAAUUAGGUUGGGCCUUAGGCCCAAGAGUGGACCUUUAAUGGGCCAAGUUGGCCGGCCCAUUGAAGCCCACAAGGGGGCUGCCGUCGACCAAGAAAGGGGGGAGGAGUGGCCGGCCCAUUGCUGGCCCAAAUGCCCCAAGCCCAAGCCCAAAAGCCCAUGCAUGAGCUUUGACAAGUGGCAAAAGGGAGAUGGCAUGCAUUGGCCAAUUGAGAGGCAACCUAAUCAUUGCAAAUGAUGAGGAAAUGGGGCAAUAAAAGGGAAGAGGAGAGAGAGAGAGGUGGCCGGUUAGCCAUUCGGCCAAGUGAGAGAGAGAACCGUGCGAGAGAGAGGGAGAGAGUGUGGCCGAGAGAGGAGAAGCCGAGAGGAAGGAGCUCGCCGUCCGCCCGUUGCCACCCGUUGCCACCCGUGCGCCGCCCGUUCGCCGCCAUGUGCUCGUCGCUAGCUUGGUUUAGAGGCAAGUUGGGAGUCCACUUUCUACUCUUGCACCAAUGUCUUGCAUGUAUGGUCGGAGUCUAGGAUGUUUGGAAGCAUGGGAGCGAAGCUAUUGUGGUUUGUUCUUGAGUUGCAUGCUAUUUUCGCUUGAAUCCGCCUGAGCCAGAACUUUGUGAGAGCUUGCAUGCAUGUUUUGAGUUAGAUUUUGACCUUUAUUCCUUCAUGAAAGUUGUAGAAAACAUCUUAAAAUACAACAUACUAAAAUUUGGUACAAAAUUGUGGAGACUUAAGGGGUCAAACUCUCAUCCUACGGAGACAUUAGAUCUGGAACGAUUUCACUGACCUUUCGGUGGAUUUGAGGUUGCAUGUUGAUUUUUACUAAGAAUAUAUUUUCGACUUCUUCAUGGAACUUGUAUAGAACAUCUUAAGCUACAAUAUACUCAAAUUUGAAGUAAAAUGAACAAGUAUAACCUAGUAAAUCGACCUACGCUUGAAGACGGUAAAUCUGGAGACGCGGUACAGGACACCCGAGACUUCAUGGACCCAUAUGAUGACUAUACUCUGGAUAUUUGACUUAUAUCCCUUCAUGAAAGUUGUAGGAGACCUCUUUAUGUAGAACAUAUCCAAACUUCAGAGGAAACGAAGAAGAAUAAGUGGGUAAAAACUCGGUAUUUCGGAGAUGACUACACUGGACGUUUCGGUAUGAGGACCAGAAGCUUCGGACGACUAUAGAAAAAUAUCUAAAACGAAUUUGGCUUAGAAUUAUUCAUGAAAAAUCUAAUUUAGUGUCUUAGCUAGAACCUGGUAAAAUUUCAUAAUUUUUGGAGGUUUUUCGGGUAUUUUAAUCGAAUUAAUCCGAAAAAUCCACAUUCUGUUUUAUCCGAGAAUUGCAUGCUGUAAUUGUCCGAAUGAUAUUUUGUAUGGAACUUUAUUGGCCAUGUGUUUUUCAUGAAAUCAAUGUAUUAUUGUCUUGUCUAUGUUAUGUCUUAAUUUCGUGAUUUUUGAAAAUCAUAUGGAUAUUUAAUUUAAUUAUUUUCGAAAAUGGUACAAGCUGGAAUUUAAAUAAAUUCAAAAGGCAUGAUAAAUGGACUAUGCUAAAUUGUAUGAGUGCCCUAAAUUUUAUGUUUAUGAUUGAUUGCAUAUUGCUGCAUGUAUGAUGAUGACCGAUGAUGCACGUAUAGAUUGAAGCAUGAAAGUGGUUUUGUUUGCCAUUAUAUCGUGUGACAUGCUGAGUUGAGACCUAAAUUGGUAAGCAAGAAUAACAAUAAAUGAGGAAACGGAAUGUGGCGGAUGAUAAUGCCCUGGGAGUAUCAGGAUGCCCGGAAUGGUUGGGUGCCGGAAGCCUCGGAGGUCUUUGCCCGAGGAGAUGCCUUGUGAUGCCAGUUGGGAUGCGAGAUGUCCGGAAUGUGGGGGUGCCGAAUGCCCGAUGGCCUUAAAUGGCUGAAUGCCGGAGGUUUUUCUCGCCAUGCCAGGAUGGGGUGCGAGUGUAAAGUAUGGGAUGAAAUUGAUGAUCCGAGGAAGGGUGAUGUGGUGAUUGAAUUGAAAGUUAAAAGUGGAAAUUGAAUCACGCAUGUAUGAUAUGAUAUGAUGAUGAUCACCCAUGGCAUGAUGAUGUGCAUGUAUGAUAUGAUAUGAUGAUGAUCACCCAUGGCAUGAUGAUAUGCAUGUAUGAUAUGUGAUGAUGAUCACCUGUAGCAUGAUGAUAGGCAUGUAUGAUAUGAUAUGAUGAUGAUCACUUAUGGCAUGAUGACAUGUAUAUAUGAUCAUGAUUGUGAUGAUGCCAUGCAUGGCAUCAAGGUAAGUACGCUUGAAUGCAUGAAUGGCAUGUAUGAUGUUGUGAUUGUAUUGCAUGAUGCAUUAAGUGGUUAUUAGAUUCCUUUACCUACUGAGUGGUUGUACUCACCCUUUUGGGGAUCAACAUUUCAGAUUAGCAGUAUGCCGCUUCCUACUGUCACGCGGGGUGUAUUUUACGGCCUACCAUUCGAUGUUGAGGUCGAGUGCGAGGAGUUUGGCUGUCCCUCUGUUUCUGGAUUGACGUAUAUUCGAGUACGCUGUUUAGUUAUGUACGAUGUAGGCCUGGCUGGGGGCCCUGUUGUCCAGGAGUUCAUAUCCGUCCACAUUCGCCGUAACGGUGUGAUGCGUGGGAUGCUGCCGCCGCCACCGCCUGAUGCACCGGGAUGGGUGUGAGGGCCCGUGCAUGACGAGUAGGAGCUGGAACUUUUUGGGAUAGUUAGCCGACGCUAGUGAUGGGGGAUCUUGCACGUAAGUUGUAAUGGGUCGAGAGUUUCUUUUUGGGGUUUUAGGCCGGGUGUGGCUAAGUCCUGGCUUUUCUUUUGAUGUACCGACCCAAGAAAACCCAUCUUGAAAAUGUGUAAAUAAAGUGUCAUGGCUUGUCUUUUAAUUAUGAUGAUUAGUGGUGUGCAAUUGUAUCAUGGUUGAUGGAGGGUGAGAUGGCGAUGUUUUAUUUUGCUUCCGCUAAUGAGUUGCGCUGGAACCGUUUAAAAAAAAAUUGUCUAUGAAUUACGACGCCUCUUCUAAGAGAUGUAAUAAGGUGUAACGUUGGUGCUUGUGGCGACCUGAGAAGGGUUCGGGGUGCCACAAGAUCCGCCACUUAUUUUUUAAAAAAUCAUUUUUAUGCUUUGUCAAUUUCUUGACAUUAACUCCUUUCCAAUCUCUAAACCUUCCAAUGUCCUAUUAAAAAGUCUAAACCAUUCAAUGCUUUUCCAUAGCGAUAUUGAUCGUUAGUAUUCAUUUGAAAGCCUACCCCUUUCUUGAGUCAUGGAAAAAUUACCUCCAUAGCUUGCCACCUAUUUUAUCUUAAAUUAAAAUUUAAGUUCAUUUUUUUCAUAGUGACACACAAUUAUUAAACUAAUGAUAGUUAUGGAAAAAUUACCUCCAUAGCUUGCCACCUAUUUUAUCUUAAAUUAAAAUUUAAGUUCAUUUUUUUCAUAGUGACACACAAUUAUUAAACUAAUGAUAGUUAUAAAAUUGACAAUAAAAACCUUUCCAAAUAUCAAUAUUUAAAUAAAUUUUCACUAACGGUUACAUCUAUAGUCAUAAAUCAAACCUAUAAAUCAAACCUAAACCUAAGUGAUUUAAGAAAUAUAGCCAAAUGGAAAAAUAAAUCAUCUUACCUUAUAGUGAUGGCCCACUCAUUGAACGCAGUCCAAUUUGCAUUCUCUGACCCAACCAAGUUGCAAAAGCUAACCAACGGUCAAUGUCAACUCGGUAUCGACUUCACUUAGUUCCUAAAAUUCAGUCCCUUGCAUUGCAUAAAACGAACCAUUUUUACUAAAUUUUUAUUACAGAGUUGAGAGAGAGAGAGAGAGAGAGAGAGAAGUAAUGGCAUGACAUUGAACUGUCAGAUUCUAUUUAUUAAUUCGAUAAUAAAGUAAAAAAAGUAACUACUAGAAGUAAUGGUCCACCGAGAUACAAGUACUUGUUGGAUUCCACUUAAAGCACCCCUUCUUUUUUGUUCUUUUUCGGUUAGUUAAUUAGGGCGCGUUUGGUAACAUUUCUAUUCCCGGAAACAAUUUUUUAUCAAAAAUGAUUUUUUUAUUUUUUUUUAUUUCUGUUCCCGGAAACAAUUUCUGAAUAUAAGAACGCGUUUGGUAACUGUACAAAAUUUAUAUUCCUAGGAAAGUAAUGUGUUCGGUAUAAUUGUAUAAUUUGGUUGUUUCUUUUAAUUUUUUUAAUAUUUUUCAUUUUUUUUCUUCUUUCUUUUUUCUUUUUUCUUCUCUCUCAUUCUUCCUCUUUUGUGGCCGGUCGCCGGCAACUAGCUAGGCGAGGUCUGGUGAGCUCGCCAGAGCCUCGUCAAGCCAAGGCAAGGGCUGGUGAGCUCGCCGGAGGCUCGCCUAGCCCCCACAAGGUUAGCCUCGCCAAAUCUAGGCAAGGCUGAGCCUCGUUAGUGGCCUCGCGAGCAUCGCAAGGCUCGACCUCGCCCAGGCAGCGCAAGGCCGAGCCUCGCCGUGCCUUGCCUAGCCAUGGCGAAGCUCGGGUCAACGAGCCUCACCAUGGCUCGGCGUCUCCAGGGGCCGCUAACGUUCCGGCGAGAUCACUAACCCUCAUCUAAUCAGUCGCCGAUGCCGGCCAUGGCCAAGGCUAGCGACAGGCCAAGAGGAAGAAGAAAAAAAAAAAGUAGAUAGAGAAAUAUAAUCUAGAAAUUGUUCUCGGGAAUAAUAAGUUAUUUUUUCUACUUCUUAUUUCUAUUCCAAAUCUAUUUUCGGGAAGGAAACAAAAAUUUUACCAAACAAGUUUUUAUUAUUUUUUCAUUCCCCGGAACAAAAGAACAAAAAUAGUUGUUCCGAGGAACAGAAACGGAUUUUAACAAACAGGCCCUUAGGAUACCAGAUUUGGUUUCCAAUUUUAGUGGAAGUCUACCAGUUUAGAAAUCAGGAUUUACGAAGUUGCAACAGAACUGCUGUUUUGCUUUGCUGGGUUGUAAUUGUAAUAGCGGCAGCGAAUCACACACCUUUGAAGUAGACACUUCAAUUUUCGUUGUGGGAUGUUAAGUGUCAACUCCAUCAAUAUUCACUCGGCCCCCACCUCUCAGAUCUCAGGCAGAGUAGACUAACCCAUUAAGCUUUUGGUUUCGAUUUCAACUUGUUUGAUUCUUGACAUUAAUUUAAGGUCGUUUUGGGCAAUGAGGUAUGAUGAGGUAGUAAUCCAACAUUUGCAAGAAACAGUGACUAGACAUGCAAGUUUCUCCGGAGAAAUUUUGCGGGUAGACAUACAAGUUUCUCUUUCAUCAUUUCUCAAAGAUGGGAAAGAUGAAAUUGGCCGAUCAUCAUCCACACUAAAGACAAAAAAUUGGCAUCUACUAAGAGAAAUUCUUGAGUAGCAACAUAUAACAGGCCGAGCUCAUGAACAAAACACAUCCAGAGCAAGAAGGUGCCACUUCGCACAUCUCGCGAUUCAAACAAAUGAAAAGCUUCCAUAAUAGAUUCCCUCCCUUGCAGUGGCCAACACAUCGUUAUUGUGUGAAGAGGAAAAAGUUGCAACAUUGUCUCUCUUUGAAUAACAAAAUGGAAAGAGAUAGCACGAAUACAAACACCAAACCACAAGCCAUUGUUUUGUUUAUAUUACCUAUACCUUCAGUUCCAAAUGUGAGCGAAAGAGAAACUUCGAAGCAACAUUUAAGAGUUCUGCUGCAAGGAUUACCCAACGAAGCCCUAGUUCUUUCAAGAACUAAUUUACUUAGAACACAACAAACCAUUUCUUACUCUCUCUUGUGCCAGUAAUCAGUAUCCAGAAGUACUGGAUAGAGAUCCAGAUGUAGACAAAGCGGUUCCAGUCCGUGGCCCUUCAAUAGACAUACUCUUGCUGAUAUUCUCACCAACUGUCUGAUGUUCGUCACCUCUAAAAUGCUUCCUCAUGGCCUCAAUUUUCUCCUCAGUCAUGAUAGCGCCCGCAGAGUCCAGCACUGGAACAGCAACCUUGCCUUCAAGCAUGCUAACCACAGAUGACAUUGGCGGCCUGAGUGCUGGAGUCACAUUAGUACACAUCAAAGCUACCUUUAUCAAUGCCAGCGCCUCCUCUUUGUUAAAGUGAGAACCAAGCCUCGGAUCAACUAGUUCUAUCAAAUUCUCUCCCUCCUUCAGAAAGUGUGCCUAGAUACAGAAAUGUAAAGUGAAGGUAUUUCCCUUUCAAGCUUCAGGUAUUGAUCAGUUGCAAAAUAUGCUCUAAAUACUGAAACAGGAAGAAGUAUAUUAUCUCCCUUGAUAAUUACGAGACAAAUGCAGUUGAUAAGCACCUGCUAGUUCUAGGGUAUAAAUGGAUAAAAAGAAUCGAAUGAGUCAAUACAGAUCCAGCAUGAUUUUUUUUACCGAUUUUAAAUAAAAGAUACUAGACUACAACAUCACUUAAUAUGGUUAACCAGUUGCCAAGAAAUCACCUACACCGCUUUAAAAUCGCCAGCUAUUGUCGAGUUUUAUCAGCACAAAUUAUUUGUCAGUGUCAUUACAUGAAACGGCAGACUCGUCUUUCAAUGUUCUUGAUUAUGCAACUCAGGCGACAAUCAGAUUUAACAAGGACUAAUAAUGAUUGUUUGCUCUAACGAUUGCUCACUCAAAGCAAAAUAAAAUCUAACUUAGGGAGUCAAUUAUAUGAAUGUGAAAAAAGUUAUACCUCAAUUGAAAGUAUAUGGAUAUUCUGGUCCAGACAUGGUCUUGAAAACUUUUUUUUUUUUUGGUAAGAGUAAGCAAUAUAUUAAAAGGGGUCAAACUGUACAAACAACACGACUCCAAAAGCUUACACUCAAAAUGAACACGCUCAUUAAGAGUGAAAGGAAGCCGCGGACAAGCAACAAAACGACCAAUAGAAAGCCAACGGCAAACAAGCCUGGCAAAAACACCUAAGCAACCACCGAAAAGUGUAUGUCAGACUACGAUCAGAGGAAGCGAAGAUAAUGGGGUCCACAUCCCACGAGCGUUGCAUCCCACGAGCGAAGAUAAUGGUCUUGAAAACUUUUUAAUUUAACAGUAAUUGCCAAAAUUCAAUAGUAGUCGAAGGACUUGUUUGGCGCUAAUGAAACUACAGGGAGUAUGAAUGUCAAGCAUAAAAACAUAAAGACUAAAACUGAACUUUCGAGAUCUACCCUAAAUUAUGGGGUCAACUUCCCCAAAUUUCAAGGAAUAGAAUUUUCUUCAUUCCAAAAAAAGAAAAAGAAAGAAUCUACAUGAAAAUUCAGAGUAGACCAACAUGAUAAGAAGAAUCGGAUUAAUUUGAAAUAACAAAUUGCACUUAACAACAUGACAAUUCGUUAAGCAAGUUUCAAUAGCUGUUAAUCGUGAAACUCCUUUGCAACCAUUGAAAGUGCAUGUGAGGAUUUAAAUACGGAUAUGAUCAUAAUUGAAAUGAUAGAGUUGAUUACCCAAUCGAGUAGAUUAAAGCAUUCCUCAGUUCUUUGGGAGCUAAUGUUGCUCCGGCCAUUAACAACUUCUAAGGCAACAAUGCCAAAACUAUAGAUGUCGGCUUUGUCAGUGAGAUAACCAUGCAUUGCGUACUCCGGUGCCAUAUAUCCACUGCACAACGAAAAAAGAGCUUGUGUUUGCAACAAGGUAACUGCCUUAAAUAGCACUUACUUAAAAUUCCUAAAAUUCAAAAGAAAGAGUCCUUCCUAAAUGCAACGCUAUGGUCUAAAGAGUAGAGGAAAAAAACAAAUGCAUCCUAAUAUAUUCUAAUAUCAUUUACCGAGAAUAUUUCAGGAAAAAAAAAAUAUCAUUGUUUAUAAACUUUUUUUUGGUUGGAAAUAUAAGGAUCAUUUAUAAGAUGACGUACACGAGCUUAAGGGCAUUUCCCAGCAUUACAAAGAUAUCUAAGAACGUGCAAAAAUGGAGUGAGGGAAUCUCCAUAUAGUACCCAAUAUUACAUUUAUUUGGGAAGGCCUAAAGUUUUUGUAAUGUGAAGCUCGCCCUGUAACAAGUCUACGAAUUUUAGCCACGAUGAUGGAGACAUCAUUUGACUUGUUUUGGAAAUGUCUAUAGUUACGUUUAUAUUUAUUUUUGUUGAAUAAACGUUAGAGUUAGUAGAAUGAACUUACAAUUUUAUCUUUUCCCUAAUUAAUCACAUUCCUUUCAAAAACAAGUUGACUUUUCACACGCAUUAAUGCAAACAUCUAAAAUAUGUGAACAUGCUUAUCUAUGUUUUUCCAUGUGCAUACAAUAGAAACAUGGGCAAAUUUGCUAUAAUACUAAGUUAUAUUCAAAUUAACAAUUACAUAAGUCAAUAUCAGAGUAUCAUUACUUAAUGGUAGAGUAUGACACAAUUUACAUUUUUUUGCUAAUUAAUGUAAAGAGUGGUGGGACAGUCAUAAAGCUUUGUGGUUAAGCCGAAUUUGUUGAGCACCAUGCUUUGGGAUGAUGUGAAUCCACCACAAAGCUCCAUUCAACUCACUUUUCUUAAAUCAGAAUAUAUGUUUCUAUUCCAUGCUUUUAUGUUGUCACUGGCUCCUACUUAGGUUAACAGGAACAAAAAGCAAGAAACUUACUAAGUUCCAGCAAUCUUGGUGCUAAUAUGUGUUUUGUCCUCCUCAUCAAGCUUUGCUAAACCAAAAUCUGAUAUUUUAGGGUUGAGAUCCUUAUCCAGUAAAACAUUAGUAGCCUUAAUGUCUCUAUGCACAAUCUUCAGCCUUGACUCUUCAUGAAGAUAUGCCAAUCCCCUGGCAAUACCCACGCAUAUCUUGUGUCUUGUCCACCAAUCCAACUUUAACUGAAAUUCUUCAGGACCUUCAAUUGUAUCAGAAGACAUCAAAGCUGCUUUACUGCCAUGUCAUUAACUGAAGUCAAUGAAGCACAAUGUGAUAUCAAAUUACCAAAUAAAGCGCGAGCAAGACUGUUAUUUUCCAUGUACUCGUAAACCAGCAAAAGUUGAUUUCCUUCAAUGCAGCAUCCAUAGAGUUCACAAGAUGUGGAUGCUGAAGAGCAGAAAUCAUCCCAAUCUCAGUCAGGAACUCAUUAUUUCCUUGUUGUGAUUUGGAUGAAAGCUGCUUCACUGCUAUAACGGUGCCAUCUGACAGAAAACCCUGCAAUUCAACUUUGGCAUCAGAUCUAUGUUGUGAAAAUUGAGUUACAUUGAAUGCUGCUUUCUACAUAUCUUCUCUCUUGGGAAUUGGGGGAAUUUGGUUAGCCAAUUUUCCAGCAUACCUUGUAUACAGAACCAAAACCACCUUCUCCUAUCUUAUUGGCAGCGUCAAAAUUGUUUGUGGCAGUUUUAAUCUGUCGCAAGGUAAAUAAACCAAUUUGCAACGCUAGACCCUUCAAAUCUGCAACACGUUUUGGAACUUCUAUGAAUUUGGAAAAGUCAACAGUUAAAGUAUGUAAUCCACUAUCUAACAAAGACGUAUCAAUUCCUUCUCAAUAGUCCAGAAAACCUUUUUGUGACGUUUUGGUCUGAGCAAGUUCAGUAUAGAAUAGCUUAGCAUCUUGAAAAUUAUUUUCUAGGAAAGUCUGGCAUCAGUUGGCAGUAUGUAUUUUUGAAAAGUAAAAUGAGAUUGUCCCCAGGGUAUUUAAUAGUGAAGGAAAAUAAAAAUCAUACAGAGAACCCCCUUGGAAACGUAGGGUAUGGUUUGUAUGUUUUAAUUUCUCAUGCACGUGAAGUUCUGGCAGCUAUUUUUUGGUGUCUUGAAACAUAGACUUUGUGUGUAUACACACACACACACAUAUCUGAGAAACAAUCUACCGUCUCUCCCUAUAACUAUCUAUUCCUUCAUUUUUCAGAUUUCUAAAUAAAAAUUUAAUUCGUUAAGCAAACCAAAUGGUUCUAUGACACUUUAGCAGUAUAUUGCCUAAUGAUAAUUUUUGUCUUUUUGCGUCGAAUCAAAUUCCCUAUGGAAUGCACAAAUGUCAUGCAUCAACAGUUUUAUGGGAACUGUAAAUCUAGAUGGAGCAUUAAUGAUGCAUUGUCAUUACACUCCCCCACCAGGAAAGUAAGAAGAAGAAGAAGAAGAAGAAGUGUCAUUUGCCAACAGUUUGACAGGAACACUGUGUGAUUUAGCUGAAAUAUAAAUGAAGCAAUGUGACUAUCCUCCCUCUCCACCAGAAUACAGAAGGGGGAAAAUGUAUUCAGAGUGCAUAACAUUCUCAUAUUUCUUGACAAAUACACAUGGACUAAAUAGUGGAGAUUCCAGGUAAGCAACUACCUUGUGCCAUUUUAUCUUUACGCCCAAGGCAUCCUCUCCACCAAAGGAUAACCAGGAUAAGGAAAACUACGAAAACUAUAGCAGCCAGAAUCCCAGCCACUGUGCCAGCAGAUAUGCUGGCCCUGCUGGCCGGGGGAUCAAAGCCUGCAAUGAAGAAAAAACAAACAAAUAUUUAACCAAAACUGUUCAGUUAAUGGGGUAGACGUAAAUGCAGAAAAAUAUCUGUAGCUUCUCGUUGAACACAGAAAGAAAUUGAUGGAGAACACAAUAAUUGAGAAUCAAGAGGACAUAAAACCGCCCAGAGUACUCCACAGAAACUAUCAGAUAAAUGAGCACCGGAAGAUAUCAUUUAUGGAACAUGUAAUACAAAAUACAAAGGGAAAAAGAAAAAAAAAAUAUACUCUUCAUUCUCAAGGCUGUAUUGUAUGAUACAGGCACAGUGGUCGUAAUCCAUAGCGGAAAAGUGAACAAGGCUAUCAUUUCAUAGUCGAAUGGAAGGAUUGAAGAUACAUGGAGAAAACACGCUCAGAUAGAAAGAACACAAAGCAACCUAUAACCAAUUUUCAACUCUAAGAGAAUAAUAAUAGACCCUGGUCAGCUAUUAUGCGUAAUUGACUUGAUCUAUAGUGACAUAUGCCAAUGGCCUGAAUCCAACAGUAGGCAUUUGUAACCAAGCCAAGUAACUAAAUAGCCUAUUGAUGACUUCUGGUGCAAGAAAAAAUAUGGGUAUUCUUUUCAACAUGAAUAUGAGUAACUUUCUCAACAGAGAAGCACCAAGUGAAACAUGGAAGCAUCCAUCUGCGUACCAGGGUAGACAGAGAUAGCAGAUAUAAGAGGACCAUAAACUCCUCCGUCAGGUAUAGCAGUGGUUCCUUUCCCAGCCCAAUAGAAGCGUAUCUCCAGAGUGCCCUUGGUCACAUUGGCAGUAAAAAUUUUCAUGACCUCCUUUCCAACUCCACCUGCUUCAAUCUCAAUGUUGAAAUCUUUCCACACCAAUUUCCCCUGAAAUAGUAUUUCAUCUGAUUCAAGUUGAGUUUCUCCACACUGAACAAGGUAAAACUUUUAGUCUCCAUAGAAUGUGCAAAUUGUGAAAAAAUCAUGAUUUGCAAGUACAAGAUAUUUGGAUAAACUUCCCAACCAUAACAUAUUGAACGCUUUAUGUGCUUUAUAUAUUAGAACCAGCACUCCAUAAUGCUCCGAGUUUACCUGUAUAUAAAUAUUAAAAGCUCGCCUUCCAAGGCUUUUAUAACUUUUGUUUCCUGUGAACAUUAUCUCUGAAAAAUGAAGGGUUACAUUGUAGGGCCCAUCCAUCAGACAAAAACCGUAAUAAGUUAGAGAGAUGGCAGAACGUCGUGCUUCCAUGUAAAGUUGGGCAUUAUUCAUGGACAGUGUGGAUGUGUUUUUAACUUUAUAGCUAACUGCAGCGACAUUGUAAUCGGCGAAGUAACUAGUGCUACUGUAGGCCCAGUAAUCACUCUUGAAGAAACUUGAAGGUGUAGCCUCCUGUGAGUCAUCUUCGUAUGUGGUGCCCCUUACUUCUGCUUUGCUCCCACCGCAAUUUAUGAAGAGGUUAUACCGAGCUGAAUGGAGUAAAGAAGCAGCCACAGAGAAAAUUCAGUUUCUUCUAUUUGUUAAUAUGGAGUGGACUUUCCAGACACACUAAAUAAGCUAGCAUUCACUCAUUGGAAAAUUACAUAGAAACUCCCAAGUUAUGAGCAACCCAUUAUUUCAUGCAGGUAGCUUUUGAAAUUAUUAGGGUAAAUAUGCAUCAACCAUCAAAGAUUGACACAAUAGCCAAGAGGAGAGUUGACAAGGAGAUAAAUUUGAUGAGAAAUUACACAGAGAGUAAGAUGUAAUAUUAGAAUCUGAUGAUAAUGAUAGGAUAUGUUAGAAUAAUUUAAAUAUAAAAUCACGCAUUCUUCUAACAAUUUAAGUUUUUAAAACAGUUGGCUGUAAUCCUAUAAAAUCUCAUAUAGUAUCAAAGCUGGAUUUCAUGAGUUCAAAUCUUUCGAAGCCUAAUUUGCCUCCCUAAUUAAAUAUGUCCACACUUCAUCUAAUAGCUUAAACUUUUAGAACAAUUAGCUACAGUCCCACAAAAUUUCAUAGGAUAUACAGCACGUCAAUUUACAUUUUAUACAACAAUGACUCUGCAGCAUAUUAACUUACUUUUUGCACAACGUUGACUCUGCAAACAUGAGACAAGUCCACUUGUGGCAGAAUAUGAGGUUCUGAGCAAGUCAGCAAAGAUUUUACUGUUAUAAUCAUCAUCAUUCUUAAUGAAGUUCAAUGCUAAGAACAUAAUCAAUAAAAAUGUGGAUCCUUAGAAAUCCAAGUCUCUCGUUGAAAAGUUAAUCGCAAACAUACGCAUUCUCAACCUCAGAGCUUGCGAACAAGUUGCUGUAGAGAAAAGACAAAAUCAACAUUCAGCAGAGAAAUGGAAAUAUUAUACACAAACAGGAUAUAAGUUACUCAAUAAGUGCACAUUUGGGGGGAGCCCUGGACUGACUGAAGGAAGUAGGACAUACACAGAUCCUUCAUGACAUUCUAAGCCUCCAGCAGUGAAUUUGUUGUAUGAUAAAUCACUACACAGAGAAACAGUCAACCAUUUCCAAAAUCUCAUCAAUUUGAAGAAUAAACUGAAAGUCAUUCCAUCCAAUGAUUUUUUUUUUCAAUAAUUCCAUCAAAUGAUUAGUAUGUACAAAAAUGCAGACAAGUUGCAAAAAAUGGACAGGUAAGGCAAGAUGAAAGGUGAAAACAUCACAAUAUGAUGAAAUUGAUAUUUUAUUCCUACUGAAAAUAUCUUAUCUUAGAAUAUGAAAAGGAGAAAGACUAACUGAAGUAAAUGGAGACUUCAAAACUAUUUAUAGUGUAUAAAAACAUUUUUACUCAGUAACAGUACCAGUCAUGAUGUCUAAGGCAAAGAGGCUUAAAUAGAACUGUGAUUCCACCUACUACUACGUCGUGUUGGGGACUAGAGCUUGAGUGUCAAGGACCCAAGCACUGCUUUUAUGUACUCGGGGUCAGGUAUUAGGGCAUUGGGCUUGGGCACCAGGGCUUCGGGCCCAGCCUCGAUGGACUAGGCCCGGGCGCUGAAGACCUAGUCCUGAACGCUGAGGACCAAGAACCAGGCGUUGGGGUUCCCGUGUCCAAGCAAAGAGUUGCGGGUCCAAGCACCAAUACCAACUCAUAGUUUGGAAAAUGUUUUCCCACUUUUUCAAAAGAGGAAAUCAUUUCCUAAAUUUAAACAUAGAUCUUUCAUUGACUCGGAAAACAUUUUCCAUUAAUUCAUUUUCCUAAACAAACCAAACGCUGGAAAAUUGGGAAAAAGUUUUUCGUGAAACAAACAAAGCCAUGACAGAAUGGCAAUAUGUUGCUGUUAAAAGUAGCGUUUAUCAAAUCUUACAGAGAUGACCACAUGAACAAGAAGAAUUGACUUGUAUAGAGAUGCAUUUGAAGCCAUGCUCUCGUUUGAACUAUGAAUGUUAUGUCUGACAAGUGUACAACAGUCAAGCAAAAAACUCCAGCUAGAUAUUGUAGGGCUGAGAUUCGAGAAUGUAAACCACCAGAAGGAAAGUUUCCAGACAAUCAACCAAUAGAAGCCUCCAUUUUGCAUUAAUGCUCUUAAGAAGUUAAGAUAACAUAUCAAAGCAAAAGUAAAUCAGACGAAAUGGGAAACCACAACCAAGGUAAGAAUUCUUGCUGGAAAAGUGAAAACAAAGAGUGUUAGAAUAUUUAAAUAACAAACCACGCUUUCAUCUAAUAGGUUGAGUUUUUAGAACAGUUGACAUUUCCCGUUAAGUGAUUUAUAUGAAUCAUUAAUUUUUCUUUCAUGGAGUUUCUCCGUUAUUCAUAUGGUUCCGUAUUUUAGAAAACAUAAAAAUUAUUAAAGCACAAUGAACGCGCCAAGUACUAUUUUUACCCAAGGCUUUGCUACUUCGGGCCUUUUAACUGAAAUGCAUCAAUCCGAAAUAGUAGUACCUGCUCUCCAAUCCCAAUGGUUAAUGAUGCAUGUAAGUAUGAUGAUAUUGGGCUACGCAGCUCUUUUAUGUGGAUCAUUAUUAUCAGUAGUAGUUCCACAAAUUCUCACAGAGAGAAAAAGUCCAUAUACUUUUGUGCAAAACUGUAUAUUAUACAGCAGAGACCACAAUCACCAAGAGUUUAAAUGCCACAUCAUUCACAAUUCAGCAAUAUCAAUAGAAAAUAUCAAAACACCAUUGAAGUCAGUAAGGGACCUUCAAGCCAUCUUAAAUGGGUUCUUUAACUGCAACCAAUAGUCAACCAAAAACUAGUAGAAGUUUCACUCCUUAAGGGUAAAAUUAUUUAUUCUGCCUGGAAUAGCCAACGGGAAAAGCUGCUUUCUACUCACAAUAUUUUUAGAUUUGUCAUAUUUGCUAGAUAACCAGGUAGCUCUCCCGUGAGAUUGCAGCUCCUCAGAAUCCUAUAAGAAAAUAACACCGAUAUUGUCACAUUGCUAAGACGAUUUGGCUCUUUUGCAUAAAGUAAACUAUCUGUGAAGGAGCAUCGAUCUCACAGUGUUUCAAUAUCUGUACUGUUAAGUUGUGGAACACAAGACUCGGGUCCAUCGAGGUCACUUAUUCUCCUGCAUAUCACAAUCAAAUAGGAGCUUUAUUUGAUUGAUAACAUUUAAAGAAAGAGAGAUCAGAUCGAAAUGCCAAAAUUCCAUACUGACAAGUCGUUCAAUCGCUCCAAAAGUGCGAUCCCAGAGGGAAUUGGCCCUUGCAAUCCGCUUCCUUGGAUAACCCUGAUGAUACAAUUCAUAGAUGGAAUUGUCUUGGGGGUAUAUCUAUAGAGACCGAUUUAAAAGGGGAAGAAGCAUUAAGCCUUACAGUGUUCUGAGAUUUGUCAAGUUCUGAAUAAAAUCGGGUAUCUUUCCCAUGAACUGAUUAUCACCAAGUUGCCUACAGUGCAUUAAACAACAUGAUUUAUAUGAAGGAGAAAGAAUAGAAAUGGCUAAAUUUAGCUGAGUUUGUGGAUACUGGAAACUAACAGGUCAUCCAAUUCCCUUAAGUUAACAAAUGGUUGAGGCAGCUCCCCCGUGAAAUUAUUUGACGUAAGCCACCUGAAACAAGAAAAACCCAUGACAACACGUUGGUUAAUAGAACCUGAAUGCUGUAUCUCUCAACAGAUCACUCCAAUGGAUAAAAUUCCCUCGCCAGAUACAAAAUCAUCAGCGAAUAAAAACUCGAUGCCUAACACAGAAAUUUGCAUCAAGAGACUCACAAUUGUUGUGACCCGGACAAGUUCCCGAGCUCUGGAGGAAGAGGUCCAGAAAGCCAAUUGCUUUCGACGAUUCUGAGCGGAAUAUGAAAGUUAAAAUCUUGAAACACCAAUCAAAUUUAAAACAGCGAAGAGGCCAAAGGCGAGCGUCGGGAUGAGUGGUCACUCACAAAUACCGAAGUGUGGAUAUGUUCCCCAACUCCUUCGGGAUUGGACCAGUCAAUCGGUUUCCGAAUACAGAACUGCACCCACAUCAUCGCGUUUCCCCCAAUCAAACAAUAGAACAUACACUCGUGAGAGAGAGAGAGAGAGAGAGAGAGAGAGAGCAUACAUGUGAACCACGUUCGUAGAGCCCCAUUCUUUAGGAAUUGUGCCGUUCAGGUAGUUGCGGGAGACAAUACUGUUUAUAGAGAGAGAGGAUGAAGAAGAAGAAGAUCGAAAAUGGAGAAAGGGGAAAUGGAGAAAGAGAGUGCUUACAAGUUCUUGAGAAAAGGCAAUCUGAACAAUCGAGGCGGAAGGGUGCCGGCAAGAGAUUGCUCCCGAAGAACUCUGUUUUCGCAACGACACCAAGGCUUUAUUCUAGCUUUGCUUGAAAACUAGGCAUCAAAAUGAUGUUACAAAAUGGCUUUAUUACAUCUAAUUGAUAUGUAUACAUACAUCUCAAUUGAUUCUAAAUUAAAAAAAUCUUCAAAAAUUGCCUAAAAAAAGAAGGUUUGUUUAAAGUAAAUGAAUAUAUAGCUAAUGUGAAAAGCAUGCAUCACUCAAAGUACAGCCCUACCAUGCAUUAAUAUAAAUAACAUAUGUAAUAAGGAGAGAAUAGCAAUAAAAUUUUGACACUACCCUUACGAUUAAAGGUAGAGGGAGUAUAAUCACCGACCGUGGUGGCUCCGCUGGGUAGGCUUCAAACCUUUGAAAGAAGGUCAGGAGUUUGAAGCACAAAAAAAAAAGGUAGAGGGAGUAUAUAACUCUCGUCACUUUGAUAUUUAACCAUGAUCUUUGGGUUUGACAUUCCCAUUAAUCACUAAAAAUAUAAUUUAUAUAAUUAAAUGCCAAGCAUAUAAUAUGCAAUUUUAUUGAUUUAACUUAUAAAAAUUUGUAUAAUCAUACCGUGAAUAAUUAAUAUUAUGCUCAUAAUUACUUCAUGAGUAAUUUUAAUGUAAUAAGUGAUUACAUAUUGUUGCUACAUUUCGACCAAAAAAUCAGCUAAUGUUUUUUUUUUAUGAAAUACUAAUAUGGUGCAAAGGGAUUCAAUUCGGUAGCCUGUCAAUUCUAUAAAGACAAAAGAUUGGUGUGCAACUACGUGAUUGAUAUUAAAGUCUAGCAAGGAAUCUACGAUGGUAUAAUUCAUGAAAUUGAGGGAGAAAGAGACAUGCUGGUGACGUGAGAAAUGGUGUUGUUGUGGGCGUCGGUGGAAUUGCCACAGGUGAUGGCGUUGAUAGUUGUAUAAAUGUCUUUGUCGUCACCCCAUCCACCCUCCACACCGCAUGGAUCUGCAUUGAAAUCUCAAUCCGAUUUCCCUAACAUCUUUGCUAUUUCUUUCAAUGCAUCCACUGAAAGAGGAAAGAGUUGAUGAGUCAAAAGGAACAACUCGUGUGUGCCUGAGGUUGAAUAUAUGUAUGAAAAACAAGCACCAAAAACAAAACAAAAAAAAAAAAACAAAAAAACUUGGUGUACGUUGGAGCCCAAAAGGUAAAAGAACAAUACGAUGAAAGCGAUGAAAGCAAUGAAAGAUCGAUGGGUUUAUUUUUUUUUCACCUUCGUCUUGGGGCAAAAGAGUGGCGACAACAGCUAAGUUAGUGAUGCUGAAAAGGACGAGAAUAUAGAAGAGAUAUCGAGCCGAGAAGAGAAUUGUCGUCAUUUUAGUCUCAAGCUUAACGCAGAGAGAGAGAGAGAGAGAGAGAGAGAGAGAGAUCUCCCGUUCUUUAAUCAGAGUCUGUGAAAACAAAACUUGGCUAAGCGAGGGAGCAAGAGAGAGAUAAUUGUUAAGUGAGCGAUCUAACUUCAUGCAUUUAUGUAUGAAAAAAGGGAGAGUGGAUAAAGACAUUUUGCUAUUAUAUAUUUGACGACUUUAAGUCUUCUUCAAACGUACAAAUAUUCAUCCAGAAUUGAGUUUUGGUUCAACUUUUCUUCAUAAUAACUUUCUUGGAAAGAGAGAGAGAGAGAGAGAUGUGAUUGUUAAUUGAGUGGUCUUCACGAAAAAUAGAGAGAGAGAGAGAGAUGUGAUUGUUAGAGUGGUCUUCACGGAAAACAGCGAAUGGACAAAGACUGAGAGAGAGAGAUGUGAUUGUUAGAGUGGUCUUCACGGAAAACAGAGAAUGGACAAAGACUCUUUGCUUUUGUAUGUCUAGGAUGUGAAAGUGAUGUGUGAGAGUGAGACAGAGAGACAACCCCAAGUCUUUCUUGAUUGUAGCAUAUCUAUCUAGAAUAGAGCUGUCAAGCUUUUGUCCAUCUCUUCUUGCAUAAUAACCUUUUUCAUAUUAUGGGUUUAGCCAAUCCCUCCUUUCAUAUUGUCCUUCCAACGACAGUAGUCUUUUUCAUUGCUCUAAUUUUGGCAGUCGACAAAAUUUUGAUUGUCGACUUAAAAUUAAGUUAUAUAAAAAAAUUAUGGAUUAAUUUUUAGCCUCUAAAUCAAAAAGAAAAAAAAUUCCAUUAAAUUACACAGCAAAGCGCAGGUCAACGCCAAAGGACGAAGGAGGAGAAGGGACCGCCAAGGUAGCCUAAGGACUGGCCAGCACGCGAGAGAUUGGAGGGUGAAGGGUCUCCGCUGAUUGGACUUUUCCGCAGGUCGAGAGCCUAUAAAAAGAGGCCUUUGGACGCUGACCGGGGAGUUCGAAGAGGUUCAAGAUAGAAGGGAAAAAAAAAACAAAGAGAGAGAAAAGAGAAGAAAAAAGGUCCGCCGUGAGAAAUCUAGCGAGUGUCCUCUGGCGACAGACACACUCGAAACCCGGCCGACAACUUACCGAUGUUAGCCUUCUUCCCGAAUUAAAGCCACGGUAGGUCUUGGUUUGAAUCUGGUUUGUUCUUCUUCAGGUGCGUCGCGUCGAGUUCCUGAGGAUUCUGGCUAGGGGGUGCGCGAGGCGACCAGACAUUGUCCGAUCUAUCAAGUUCACCCUCAUUCGCCGCCCCUAAGUUAGUUAGUACCACCAAUGGCCCCUUUUUUUCCCUUGUCAUUUUGAUUUUGUGGCCUGAUUCGGGUUGGCCGGACCGGGCUACCGUUGUCAGUAAGUCCAUGAGCGUUCCCUGGUCGCUUUAGUUUUGAGGAAUCUGGGCUUGUUUUAAUGUGGAGAGUUUGAGUGUGAUUCAGCAUUGAUAAUGGUGGGCUUAGUUCAGCUUGUUGAGUUUGGGUUUAAUUUGGUUGAGUGGGGUUAGAAUUUGUCCUAGGCUUGGCCGAAUUGCGCUUCAAUUGUUGAGCCCAUCCCUUUCUUUAGGCUUUUAUUUAGAGCCUGACUCAAAGGCCCACGAUAGUCCACAUCCUGACCGGGCUCUAAGGCCCUACCCGGAUACGCAUCUUCGGAAUAAAAAAUUAUUAUUAUUUAAAAUAAUUUUAAAUUAAAAAAUUAAAAAAUUUUAUUUUUUUAUUUAUAUAUUUUAAGUUAGGAUAAAGCUUAAUAAUUAGUUUUUGAGUAGUUGUCUCUUAAAAUAUGUGAAAAUCCUUGAUAAAUAGAUUGUGUUUUAUUAGAUUGUUAUUUGCAUAUUUCGAUAGUGCACUUUUCAUAAUCUAUUUCCUUAGCCUAGUUAAGAAUACAUUUCUUGGACUCAUGAAUGCUACAUGAAUACUUUAUUUGGUGAUUGAAUAAGAAUAAGUACCAGAAGGGCAUUAGUUGGUUAAUUAGUGUAAUUAAGUUUCCGACUUUAGAUUAUCUAGUUCAAAGUAAGUAAUCCUCCCAGUACUUUACUUGGAAUCUAAUCGAUCCACCUUAAUUGAUUAAUGUCGUGAUUUGUAUGUUAAAAACUCAAAACAUAAGUUGCGAAUUAGUAUAAGCUUGAGAGAUUGAGCUAGAUUUGAACUUAACAAUCCAUUAGCCAAAUUCUUAGCGGUCCAUCCGAGGAUAGGUCGCAACAAUUUUGCUAUGACCAUAUCUCAGAUUUAGGUUAUUAUACAAUUUGUCGAUGGCGGAGUCCAAAUUCCAUUAUUCUUAGAAACUUCAUUAGUUCAUUCAAGGUUAUGGCUGUGGAGACCCAAUAAUGUGGAGGCCAAUGAAAUACCCUUCAAGCCCUACAAAUCGGCCAAUGAAAUACCCUUCAAGCCCUACAAAUCGGUUAAGUUCAAAUCUUCAGACCUAGACCCAAUAUUAUCUGCACACUAUUGGUGGUAUCAUAUACGUUAAAUAUGAAUAAUGGAAAAAAAAAAAUUAACCUAUUAAAGUGGUUACAAAACAAAAAUAUCAUAUAUGUCAAGUUGGAAUUCUAAUUUAGAUAGACAGAAUAAUAAUAUCUUAGGAUUUUUUAGGACUACAAUUGAAUUGUACGAUCGUGAAAACUAAAAUAUUUGUCAGCAUAGUCUAUCCCAUUCAUUAAUAGGUGCUUGUAAAUUAGCAUAUCUAAGUCUCUGUUGAUGUUGACAAGUGUUUCACCCAUUCAACAUGGAAUUAUUCGAAAUAGAUUUGAUCGAAUUUGGAUUCGGAGCGUGAGGGUUUUGUACUUUGGCUUGCUUUGGCCUAACAUGGCCUCUUUUAUCUCCGUUUCAUGUUAUAAAUCUAGACACCAAUUGCAAAAAAAUCGCGGCACAUAAAACAAAAGUUUAGACUCAGACCAAAUACUAAUGGUUCCAUGGGUGAGGUUGUGCACGAGACUUAGGCAAAACAUCAUCUUCUAUGCAUGUUUAAUCAGGUUAAUGUCGAGUCAUGGAGGGUUAUUUUAAUAUUGUCAACCAACACAAUUAUAUUGGACCCACAAGUUUAGCAGAGCUUUGAAAAUUCCGAGUUAACUUUAAAUGAUGAAUUCUAAGCAUGUAAUUUUGUCAUUUACUGUCAACCCCCGAACUUCGAGCGUUCGAACAUCCCCCAAUGGUCAAUUAAAAUGCAACUUCUCAGAACACGUUGCCAACUUGCCCAUCCGGAAACAGCCUUAGGCUGAAGUUUGAGAGCUGUGUUGGGAUAUACAAAGGAAGAAAACCCUUCCGUUACUCUUCAGCUUAUACACCCAAUCACACUAACCAUCACCACCGUGCCACCGCCAAUCGCCCCUUUGCCACCUGAAUAGUCGAGAUUCUUUUUGUUCAAUAUGGAACUUUCAGAAGUUUGUUUAAUGAAACUUGGAUGUCCCUUUGAAAUUAGUUGGUGAGAUUGAAUACAUGAGAAUUCGCUGGUUGGGUUUUGCGAUGAUGAUUGCUGCUCUUCUAGUCCAAUCAUACCCCGCACGUGUUAAGAGUAAAUAAAUAUAAAUUACACCUUCAACUAACAAUUUAAGCUUUUAAAACAGUUGAUACUUGUUUUACAAAUUUUCUCGUUGUAUCAAAGCUAGAGGUCCUCAGUUCGAAUUUUUCUAGGCCUUGUUUGCUUACCUAAUUAAAUUUCCACACUUAGAUAUUAGGCAAAAAAAUCAGACUAAGACUAAGUGUCACCUCAAGACCUUUAGGAAGAUGUACAAGAGGAGCUGCGGAACAAAAUCGAAAGGUCAAAAAGGACAUUAAUUGUCCUUAAUAAACAAAUAACUUCCUGAUGUACAAGAGGAGUUGUGGAGCAAAAUUGAAAGGGCGAAAAGGACAUUAGCUGUCCUUAAUAAACAAAUUACUUCCUGAUAGGUUAGUUGUCCUUAAUAAACAUAUAACUUCCUAAAGUACAAGAGGAGUUACGGUACAAAAUGGAAAGGUCGAAAAGGAGUUAGUUGUCCUUAAUAAACAAAUAACUUCAUGGUCUAAUAUGCGGUUAUAAAAUUGUCAUAUUAUCUAAUAGGACUAUGCUUAGAGGACGGUACCAUCACUUUCCAUGAAGUGACGGAGCCCUCCUCACCACACAUCCUUAAGUGUAAGAUUUUGGGGAUCGGAAUAUCAAAUUGACAAAUAUGUUGUCAAAAAUGUCAUUGCUGUAGAAUUGCCCUAUCGUAAAAUCGACCAUACAAAUUUUGAGCUUGUAUGAUGUCAACUAAUAUUUUAUGAAAUUUUCAAUUCAUCAAAUUGAUGAAAUCCCUCUGAUCACUCAAUUCCAAACUUAGCAUUAAAUGAUAACAAAUUAAAGACAAAUGAAAAACAGAGGCAAAGCAGAAGAGAGGAACUGGACGUAGAUAAAUAGUGGUGUUGGCAAUGGUAGCUGUAGGCGCCAUGCAUAUGGAGGACGGCGAAAUGGUGGUGGGGCUGGGUUCAAAUGGAGGGAGGGCAAGGCUAUUGGGUGGCGAUGGAUGUUGCGAUGAGGAAGGAGAGGUGGCGAUAGCGGAGACGAUGCUACAACCAACUCUCGCCGAAGCCAACGCCUUUGUGUCAGAGUUAUCCCUCACCCUCGCUAUUGAAGCUUGCAAUCGCUCCGUAUUCGUCGUCCAAUCUCCUUCUCUGGUACAGACUGCAUUAUGGAAAUUCAUUAAGUGCCUUCAGUGGAAGAGAAACUUUUCUUUGAUCAGAGCAAUAAUCUGAGAAAAUGUAUGGAGGAAUACAUAGCAUGGAGGAGACAAUAGCACGUGGGAUAUAUGUGGCUUUACAACAAGGCCAUUUUUGGCAAUUGAUUUUGUCAAUUUGAUAUUCCGAUUCCCAAAAUCUUAUAAUGUAUAGUCAGGAGAGCUCCGUUACUAUGUAGGAAUUGACAAUACUAAUCUCUAAGCAUUUCUUUGUCUAAAAAUACCUAAGUAGAUAUGUUUUUGUGUUGAUCGCUUCUUGUUGAUAAUUUUUUCAAUCAACUUCCCAAAUCUUCUUUUGCGGAUAAUUUUCAAGUUGUGUUGUCAAUGACUUCAUUGGCAAUUUAUUGAUCCCUUCAAAUUGUGGACUGUUUUGUUUUAUUUAUGAUUUCUAUUUUCAACAAACCCCACUCUUAUCUGUUAGAAUAAUAAAAAAAAAUGAUUGUUGAAGAUUUGAGUAAGUUGGUUAUUGAACUCUAGAUUUGGUGCGAGAAGAAGAAGAAGAAGAUUGCACACGGUUUUCAUGUCAGCCUAAUAAGAAAGUCAAAAGAAAAGGGACAACAUAAAUGAAGAGAAGGAGGAGUCGCAAGAAAAAUUGGCCAGUAAAAAUUGUGGGCUUCGUUUGUCCUAUUUCAUUCAUUGCAUGGAUCAAAUAAAGAGGAAAGAAGGCUCCAUGAAGGCCCAUUAAUGCGUGCACAUGUAUGCGUGCCAUGAAAAAUGGAGUGGGCCGUUGCUAUUGCAAAGAUUUGUCUUGCAGGCACCGUUGCUAUUAUUUAAUGUUUGUGUGAUUUCCUUUUAGCUUUGUUGACUUUUGUAGUUUCACUUUAAUGUUAACAGAAGGAGCGUUGAAGAUCUCGUGUGCCAUGUUUAUCUUCAUCUCUAUUGUAAUUUAGUGUUAUGCUAUUAUGUAAGAUGUGUAAGGGGUGUGUUGUAAAAGAGUAGCCACCACAAAGCAUUCUAAGAAUAACUUCUCCCUUUGGUCUUCACUUGUGCCUUAUUCCGAAAUUUUCAAAGUUGCCAUUAAUUUUUUCCUUUUUUAUUCCAACAUCAUUGACUAGUCUAUCUUGUCGAUAAUAAUAAAAAUUCGAUCAUCUUUUGAUGUCAACAAUAAUGAAAAUAUAUGUGUCGAUACAUCUUAACGGGAACUAAAUUAAUAAAACACAUAAAUUAUAUUAUGUUAGUUUGAUUUAUGUCAAUGUCAGUAGGGUAAGUAAUCUUUUGCUCAGUUGUGAUUAAUGAAGAACAGUGAUGGAAUUUUGUGAUCAAAUGCGUCGCUAUCUGCCCCCACCUCCUCAUUUAUUAUUAGAUUAGAUACACACAUUUUACUCAACUUUCUUGAGACGAAAGAGACGGAUGCUAAAACAUUACGUGAAGAGAGAGAGAGAGAGAGAGAGAGAGAGAGAGAGAGAGGAUACAGAGAUCCAAGACUAAAAAUCAGCUGCCACAGUUCCCGUAAAUAAACAUGCAGGGGUUACGAGCAAUCGCCAUACCCACGUCGGAGACUGCAGAGAACGAGACCGAGCUGAGACAAACCGUUUUCUUUGUUCUUUCUCAGUGAAAAGCCACCAGUGUACGUGUUUGCAUGAUCGAGUACCGAGUGUGUGCAGGCAAAUGUUCGUCAAACCAGCGAAAUAAAACAAAAUGAUCAACAAAUCGAUCAUAAUAAAGUAAAUAUGUGAAAAUAUGUCUUCUUCUUCUCCUCCUCUUUCUGAAGUAUGGCGCCUCAGAUGGAUUAGGUCUCUCCAGGCAUGUGCAGUUAAAUUGAUCAUGUUGGACAAGUCUAAGGAGUAAGUUCUUGCAGCCUCUUGAUUGCGCUUGGGUCGCUCCGUGGGCCGAAGGUUAAAAAUAGCUAGGUUAUCGAUACUUCUUUUACUUUUCUUAUCAUUACAUCUUCAAAUGGAAAUCAAACUUGGUAUACACAAACAACCCCGUCAAGAUCCAAGAGAUUCAAACGUACUUAAGAAGCCCUGCAUCAAAAUGACAAAAACCCUUGAAAAGGAAAGGCCAUGGAGUGGGAGAGAGGGAUAAAACCAGCGUUCAAUUGAAACACCCAACGGCCAACUCAUCUCAAUGUGUCACCAUCCGGCACCACAUAAGCAUGUCAUAUCUCAGGCCCCCUCCCAUUCCUAUAUAAUUGGUAUCCAUCCUCACAGGCCUUUCCCACUUGCACUACAGAUCCAUUAUAAUCCACACUGACCAGCACUCGCAGUUUUUUUUUUCUUUUUGGUAAAGGUAAGAAAUCUGACCAGCACUCGCAGUUGUACUUGGCUGGGAGCUAGAAAACGAGACCACCGAGAGAGAGAGAGAGAGAGAGAGAGAGAGAGAGAGAGGGAGAGAGAUGAAAAUGAUGGAGGCGAGGAAGGAUGUGAUAAAUAAUGACUUUGAAGAGAAAGAGAGCAACUGCAUCAACGGGCAAUCGUCCGCGUCCUACCUGGUGUGGAACGACUUGACGGUGUCGGUCCCCGCUGGUUCCAAGAGGAAACUGCUAAACCAGCUCAGCGGGUACGCUCAGAUGGGUCGGAUCUUGGCCGUCAUGGGUCCUUCCGGCUCCGGAAAAUCCACUUUCCUCGACUCAUUAGCAGGUUUCUCCGCUUCUCUCUGCCAACCUCCUCAUUUCGGAACAUUUUCUGGCAACAAUAUAUCCAUUUACUUGGCCUUGUUGUAUUGCAUUUUUAUUUGAGUUAUUAAAAAGUCCACCGCCGGUGAAAUCCGAAUUCCACCUUCGAAGCUCUACGUACGAAACUCCUAGUGAUACCGAUACUGUUACCGAAAGAUCAAGACAACAAGCAUUGCCCAUAUAUGGAAAAUAUAGCAACUUAAUAUAGUCACCAAAAUCAUUAAUAGCAUCGAAAUAAUUGCAAGUGGCUACGAUGAUUACCCUUUCCAUAGCCAGAUCUAGUAGUGUAGAAACGAAAGUGCAGCAAACUGUUUAUUCUCAUAUGAAUUGGGUCUCCCAUGUAUAUUGAUGCUAUUCUCUUUCGAUAUCUAUUAUGUAUAGUUGAACUCACUUUAUUUAAAGAUUAGAAAUAGAAUUACAUAAAAAAAAUAAAAAAAAGAUACGGUUUAUAGAAGUAAAAUAGUGAUGAUAUAAUUAUUUUUGUAACUAAUAAAUUCACUCGAUAUAAAUUCUAAUAGCAUAAUAAAAUUCUUAUAAAAAAAAAUUAAAAGAUGAAUAGUAUUUAAGUGUAACUAGUUCAUAGUUAUAUCAUUUCAUCUGGCUUGAUAUCAAAAUCCUUUGACAUUGAGGCGCAAACAUACUCUACAACGAUUUUGUCUCUCAUUUAUAUUGAUGUUAUUCUUUUUCUUUGUUGAAUUAUGAUAUAUAAUUGAAAUCAUGUCAUUAGAAGAAGAAAAUAAAAUUAGCUCACGAAAAAAAAUUAAGAAGAUACAACUCUUAAAUUUCCGGUAACUAAUAUCAAUAUCACUUGGGAGUUUCCAUAUAUGGUGCACUGAAAGUGGGAUUUGGAUUCCACUAGCAGAGGACAUAGAAUAACUCUGACUUGUUCACCAUGGUUUUAAAAAAGAAAAGAAACUCUUGAUUUGAUCAGCAAGACCACAUUAAUGAUAUCAUGCUAUGAUAACAUAGCGUAUUAUUGUUACACCCAUGUAAGCUUGAGGGUUUUGGCGACAAAAAAAAAGGUUUUUGAGUAUUGAUUUAAUAGUGGUCAUAAUUUACAAUUUUAUUUAGUUGUAUGCCCUUUGUAAGGGACAUGUUUUGUUAAUUUGUAAGAUGUUUGUGAUUUAUGUUAAUGUUCAAAUUAUUGAAAAACCUACAACCAAGUCAAAGAGAAAUGCAACCAUUGGCCACUCUUCCCACAUGGGAAUGGGGAGGUGGGGAGUUCAUAUCCCCACCUUCUCAGGUGGGUUGAGGUGAUGACAAUUUAGCUUCGAGUUUGGGUUUUAACUCUCACUUCCUACAAAGAUGCAGGGCAAAAGUCUAAGAGUGAGAGUUAGAGUAGAAGUAAAGUAAUAUAGACAAAAAAAAAAAAAAAAAUCAAAGACUAGGCACAUGUAUGAAGCAUCAACUACUUUAUUUACUAUUUGAGUCGUAUGUCCGUGAAAGGAGUGCCAAUUCAUCAAAUCGAGAGAUUCUUGAAGGUUAAGACAAGCAAGAUGGCUGUAAUGAUGAAUAAGAAAGUUGGGACUUUUUUUCAUGAUCUAAUCCUCUUAAAAAUCACCACUCCCUAAAAAAUCUCCAACUUUAUAUUUACAUCCUAAUUUUGCCUCGAACUUAAAAAAUUUCUAACUUUCACUUUAGUUUCAAUUCAACUUCACAUCCCAAAAUCACCACUAGUUUUUUUCUCAUGUCAUCAAUAUUUGAGGUUCUUGUCAUUCUGUAUGAAGGUGAGGGUGUGUAAGAAGACGUGAGUUCCGAUUUUAAACCUCUAACUAGCUUUAGUAUUGAAAAUUUCAAAGAAAAUAGUUACUUGUUUUGAACGUGGGAGCAAAUUUGGGACUACGGUGAAAUUUUGUGUGUGUGUGUGUGUGUUUUUUUUUUUUUUUUUUUUUUUUUUUUUUUUUUUUAAUAAAAGAAGUUUGGGCCAUGAUAAUUGGGGGUUUUCUAGAGAAUUAACCUCAUUUUUUUUCGUCAUGUUCUUAUUAUGGCCCAAUUUUUUUAUUUCAUAAGAAAACCACAAAUCAAUGGUACCCCAAUCCAGUAGUUUUUAUCCAAUGACGUUGUCCAAGAUUCGACCACCAUUCCAUGUGUACUUGGCAGAAUCUUAAUGAGGGUCAGAUGUGGGUGCCAAAUGAAAUUGGUAUUUCAUUAUGGGACUGAAAAAAUUUGGACUAAAAUUAGGCCACAAUUUGAAGUUAAUGUCUUUUUAUGAGAUAAAAUAUAUGGAUUAGGGCUUUGAUCCAAAGCCAUUAUUUCUCAAUAUUUUUCUACAAGAGAAGAAAUUGAGUCAACAUUGAGAUUCAAGGUAAAGUUGAUGCACUUCAACAUUGAGAUUCAAGGUAAAGUUGAUGCACUUUAAAAGGAGUUGCGCUUUUUACGGAUCAUGGCCCAGAGACUUUCCUGAAUCCGGGGUUGACCCGUCCACUUUAUCCCUGGGCUUGACAAGACAACUUCAAUUUAAAGGGAUUAUUUGGUUGCUUGUAGUUGAUAUGGGACAAGAAUAGUGUAGAUAGAGAGAAUUAUGGCUUACGCAUUCCAUAUUUUAGGUGCAUAAUUACAUUUACUACAUAAGUACGUAUACACCAAGAAAUACAUGUUUCAACCAGUUAAUAGCCACUUUAGUUAACUACUUACUAUGUUUUGCUUUUUAGCAGGUCGGAUUUCUUCUGACGUCAAAAAAGAGGGAAUUAUUUCCCUAAGUGGGAGGAAGAAGGGGUUCCUAAACCACAAUGAUCUGGUAAGCAUAUCAAAGUCCUUAGGCAUAAAGUUAGCUUUUGCUAUAUAUUAUUUGUCGGGGGCAGAUUUAAUAUAACAAAGUAAAAAAGAUUAAGAGACGAGUAUCUUGACUCUUGCGGAAGAUAAUUCUCUUUUUUUUUUUUCAGGAUUACUAUCAUUAAAAAUUUCGAAGUGGUAUUCCAUGACAUAUCUAUCCCAAAACAGUUUUUGUUUCCCACAAAACCCCAACUAUUCAUUUGAUUAACUAAAAGGAAACUUUAGUGCAGUAAUUCUUAGAUCAUCAUUGGAAAAACAAGAUUGCUUCCAUCAGCUCAAUCCUGGCAAUAGUUUCAGUUUGGCAUACUACUCUGACCAGUGACCUCUAAAAUGGUGCAUCACUAGGCCACUCUUCUGUCAAUUUUGUUUCAUGAAGCAUUCCUUUAGCCUUCAAAAGAUUAAAUCAUAUUUUCAACUUCCUCUAAUUCAAUCUAGUGGUUUAUGUGUAUCACUGGACGAUAUUCUUAUAAUAAAAAUUUGGCCAAAAAAAAAAGUCAAAAAAUUUGGCUGGUUGGGCCAUGUUUCUCCUUUCUAAAAUUUGAGCUUAUAAAUUGACAAAUAAAUUUAUAUCUAACGAUUGACAUUUCAAUCGGGGUCCCAUGCUUGCAUUUAGAUGUGAGAAUAAUUUUAGGAUUGAAUUGGGAAUUAGAGAACUGGAUCGAUCACUGAUUCGGUUCUAGGUUCCAAUGCACCCUAGUCCGGUUCCAUUUUUAGGAAUCGAUGGUUCCCGUGGGAACUGGGAAUUGAGAAUCAAACUGAUAACUGAGAAUCGAGAAAACCCUAAAGAGAGGCUUUUACUUUUUGCUAAUAAGAACUUAGAUGUGCUUAUAGAGGGGUUAUAUUCAUUUUUCUUGCAAUCAAUAACAAUCAAUGUGCAUGAGGUCGUCAGUAGUUGAAAUAAGGGUUACUCCUAGGAAGAGUUAUAAUUCUCUACUAUAGUCACUUAUAAAGUUCUAAUAAAGGAAUUAGACCGAGACUUAACAUAAAAGGUUUUCAAAUAUUAGCAGCUGGAUAAAGCGGCAAUAAUGUCAAAUAUUGCACUAAUUUUCCAAGACCAUUAGAUCUAUUCUAGUUUCAUUUCCUGAAAACAAACAUAUAACAAUUGUGUCUUAUUAUAAUUCAUAUCAUUCUAUGUUGUUCAUAGACUGAAUAAAUUACCCUACAUAGCAUUAUCUAGUGGGAAUAUGCAAUGGCGAGUAUCAUACUAUCACAAAAUUUCACAUGUUAUUCAACAUAUUCAAGGUACUUUUGUCGUGCCCAUUAAAACAAAAUUGGAAUCCAUGGACCUUUUGCUCUAUAAGACCAUAAAUAUGGUGAUUAGUUUGGUCAUGAUCUUCACUGGAUAUUGGCCAAAGCUUAUGUUAACACAUGUUAACAUGUACUUCGAUAAUGUAGAAUUUAAUUUCUCGCUUGGUUUAAUUAUAACACCUUCUACUUAUAUUCUAUUAUUGAUGUGUAUGUGUGAAAUUGACGUAUAUAACAUGUCAAUGGAGGUGGAAGGAUGUGAGGCAAUGAUUUUCAUUACGUGUGAGGGAUGUGGAUGAUUGAUGACUAAAAUUCAAUAACUUAGGUUUCAUGUUAUGUGUUUUGAACUUUUUAUUGUUUAUUUUAUUUUAACGUUCAUCUUUUAUAGAUAAUUUCUAUUGACAAAUGAAAAACGGUCAUUUUUGCUUUUGCAUUCACUAUCAUUUUGCUUCACUAAAACUGCCAAAAGAAAAGAAAAGAAAAGAAAAGAAAAGAAACAAAAAGGAACAUGUUAGANNNNNNNNNNNNNNNNNNNNNNNNNNNNNNNNNNNNNNNNNNNNNNNNNNNNNNNNNNNNNNNNNNNNNNNNNNNNNNNNNNNNNNNNNNNNNNNNNNNNNNNNNNNNNNNNNNNNNNNNNNNNNNNNNNNNNNNNNNNNNNNNNNNNNNNNNNNUCAUUUUGGCAUUUUUUCAGUCCUAUGUGACCCAAGAAAAUCUUUUCUUGGGUACUCUCACUGUCAAAGAGACAAUAGCUUACACAGCUCAUCUGAGGCUUUCUUCCGAAAUGACGAAAGCCGAGAUCGACGAGUUGGUAGAAGCAAACAUAAAGGAGAUGGGACUUGGAGACUGCGCAGAAAACAAGAUUGGUAACUGGCACUUGAGGGGCAUAAGCAGUGGAGAAAAGAAAAGACUCAGCAUCAGUCUUGAAAUGGUCACAGACCCGCUGAUCUUGCUCCUUGAUGAGCCUACCACAGGCUUAGACAGUGCCUCGGCUUUUUCCGUGGCAAGAGCUCUAAGAAAUAUUGCAGAUGAAGAAAGAAUAGUUAUUUGCUCAAUCCACCAGCCCAGCAGUGAAGUUUUCGAUCUUUUUGAUGAUUUACUCCUUCUGUCGAGUGGAGAAACUGUGUUUCUAGGAGAAGCCAAAAUGGCCAUUGAGGUAAUAAAGAGUCAACACUUCAUUCUUACUCAGACAUUUUGGCUGUGCAGAAGCAAGAUAAUGUAAUUUUAAGUCCUGGUGCAGUUCUUUGCAGAUGCUGGAUUUGCUUGUCCGAGGAGGAGAAAUCCCGCUGAUCACUUUCUACGGUGCAUUAGCUUGGACUUCGAUUCUGUAACUGCUACUAUUGCUUUCUAAUAGAAACUAUGUUGAGUUUUAAAUCGAGCACUUCUAUACUCUGCAUCAGUUCUUGUGAUAUGUAAAGUGACUUCCGAAUAUAAUUAUCAAGGCUUGCUAUUUUAUCUUGCAGCAACUCCAGCAUCAUCUGGUUUUUCAUGAACAUGAAACAGCAGAGAUUAAAGCCACACUCAUCCAAAGUUACAAUCCUCAAGUAUUCAUGCAAGUUAGGAAAAAAAUNNNNNNNNNNNNNNNNNNNNNNNNNNNNNNNNNNNNNNNNNNNNNNNNNNNNNNNNNNNNNNNNNNNNNNNNNNNNNNNNNNNNNNNNNNNNNNNNNNNNGAAAUUGCAGCUACUGUAAGCACUCCAACUCAGAAGAAAUAAAAAUCAAGAUAAUGCUUGUGCAGUCAUUUUUCCUGUCUUUCCUGCUUACCAUAGUUAAUGAACAAUGUCUCCAACUGUGAUUUUUGAAACUAAUGGAGUUACAUCUAUAUUGAAGUAGCAAUUUCCAUAACUGAUGUUGUCAAAAUUGAAUCUCCUGUUGAAUGCUGAAGGAUUAUCAGGUCUGCGAGUUGAAUAAGAAUACUAAUUCCAGCAAGUGGAAGCAGCUCAGGGUUUUGACUCAUCGGUCCUUCAUCAACAUGUAUAGGGACAUUGGAUACUCCUGGUUGAGGAUCAUGCUCUACAUUUUAUCAUCAAUAAGUGCUGGAACUCUAUAUUUUGACAUCGGAUACGACAAUGGGGCAAUUAUCAACAGAGGAAAGUUUGUUUCAUUCCUCUUCGGCCUCAUGGUAUGUUUGUCUUGUGGUGGUGUCCCUUUCUUCAAUGAAGAACUGAAGGUAUAGCAAAGGAUCAAGGCUGAUCGAUUUUCAGCUAUUAUAUAUCACCAGUAUCUUCUUACUUGAGGUGAUAUUAGAAUGAUUUGUUGUUAGGACUAGAACUAAGUUUCCUCUGCAGGACAGACAAGCUCCACCACGAUAGGUGUGAAGUUGCAUGUUGAAGCCUAAGACACUGUAAAUAACACAAAUCUAACUAAAGAACUUUUAGUUGAUGGCCUACUCCAACUCAUAGUCACAGAGGAAUGUGAGUAUUGCACAAUCAAUUGGAGAGAUUAAAGCUAAAUCAACUAACUUUUUUCAAGGGAUGCUUAAGAUUAUUCAUAUGGGAUCAAUCUCAUCAUCAAAGCAAGAAUAUACAUUAAUUACAUAAAAAAGGAGAAAUCUCGACAGCGUAUGACAUCCUUUUCUUGUGUAUCUCAGGUUUUUUAUGCCGAGAGACUCAAUGGACAUUAUGGCGAGACCCUGUUUGUGCCUGCGAAUUUCCUUUCUUCGCUCCCUUUCUCGGUGGCGAAUUCUCUGCUUUCAGGAACAACGAUAUUCUACAUGGUGAAGCUUCAUCCAGGACUCUCUCACUAUGGUUAUUUCUGCAUUAACUUCUUCUGCUGCACCACCAUUAUUGAGAGUUGCAUGAUGGUUGUGAACUCAUUUGUCCCCAACGCCUCGAUGGCUGUAGUAAUUGGAAUUAGUGUCAACGUAAGCAAAUUUUCUCUCUUAAACUUCCCUUAAAUUACGUUGUCAUUCAUAGCUAAUUUUUGUGGAUUCAGGUUCUAAUGAUGAUGGCAUCACAGAUCUUUAGACUUCUUGCUGAUCUUCCCAAGUUCUUUUGGCGGUACCCCAUGUCCUACAUCAGUUUUGCCAAGUGGGCAGUUGAGGUAGUUAGUAUAUAGUGAUUAGCUAUUUUUUUCCUAAAUCAAGCUUGAAAAUUUAUCAACAUAGUUAUGCAUAGAGCCAUGACAUGGAAGACAUUUAUCUUCAGUUUCAAUAAUAUCGUCUGCCUAGUAAAACAAAACCAGGAGCAUGCGCUACUACUUGCAUUGCAUAUUUAAACUCAUUGAAGUUAAAAUUCUCAUCUUCCGCCUAAGGUACAUUUAUGAGAAGGAAAUCUCAAACAACAUAAAUUAAGUAAGAUGCCUUUUAUUUUGAUGUGAAGAAAUGGGUUGAAUGGUCAGACAAUCCCGCCACUCCCUUCUUCCUUUUCGGAUCGUUGACCUGCUCUUCCAUAUGCUAGAGGUUAGGUUAACCGAUGUAAUAAUGUAAUACUAUGAAAAUUCUGUUAUCAAUCUCUUUCAUAGAUUGAUCAAAACACCACCAGGCUUCACCACAUGUUUCACUCCGUCUCUUUACUCAAGCUAGAGCUUCAGAUAAUCAAGGCUUCUCAGAAGUAGUUCUGCGACUAGCCAUGGCAGUCAACAAUACAAGCAUAUGAUUUGGAUCAGUGACUUCGAGUUCUCCCAAAUAUCUCAUGAAUUACAAGUCACUCAUACAAAUCAUUCACACGCCUUGCAGGGUCAAUACAAGAAUGUCAUGACCGGUCUUGAGUUUGAUUCAGCAGAGCCAGGAGAACCACAACUGAAAGGCGAGAUGAUCCUCAAAACAACUUUCGGCAUAUCACUGGAUCAUUCCAAGUGGUGGGAUGUAGCUGUGCUUCUGUUUCAACUGUUUGUUUACAAAGUACUGCUCUUGUUAGUGCUUAGGUACAAGAAGAGAAUAGCGCCCCAGUUAUGGUUGUCGUCACAAGAGUUACUCAGGGUGUCUUGACAGAUGAUUUCGGUGCCAAAUAGCAGCUAGCAUCCCUUAUGUUUCCAGAACAUACUUACUUUAUCGGCAACUAAUGCACCAUGGUUAUGUAAACGAUGCAUAUAUCUCUAGUUGUCGCAAGUUCUAAAUGCAAUUCAACUUUUUCACUUCAAUGUUAUGACUAAUUUGAUAUUGGUAUACGUAAUGUGACAAAAUUUAGACCUAAUGCUCGGCCUGAGGUCCACCCCUUCCUCUUUGUAAUUAAUGUAGAUUAUAAACCUCUUACAAAGCACAAAAAUUGGACAUACGGCAUUGGACAGACGGCCCGUUUAGUGCCUCUCUCUCUCUCUCUCUCUCUCUCUCUCUCUCUCUCUCCUACAAGCUACUGCGAGAUUCGAUCUAGUGGAUAAUAAAGUACAUUGAUUACAAGCAAAACAUAUGUCACGCAAUGAGUUACAACUUAUAUUGAAAAUAAAGAUUAAGCAAUUCAAGGGUUGUACAAGAGUCAGAUAUAGCUUGCACUCAUUUCCAAAAGCGAAAGGGCCAAAUAUGUAAAAGCCAAGAAAGUGUACUUGUCCUCGAAUGCCCAACUUUUGAGGCGCCCAGGAUAAACAAAAUCAUCGUGACUUUAAGAUGCUUUGCAAGAAAAACCGGUAUCCUCAUCCUUCCUACUUAUUUCUUCUGUUUUUUCCGCACAGCAUUAUUGCCAUUGCGUGCUCUGGAAGCUUUAUGAUUUCUCAUUGAGGUUUCCAUGCUCAUGCUACCUUUUAGUUCCAUCUUUCUCUUUUCCCCGCUUUUAAGUUUGUGAAAGGUCCUCUUCCUUUUCUUUACAGAUUCGUUGGAUUGAAUCUUAGAAAAUUUCCCAGAAGCCAAAUCACCAUUCUUUUUAGAACCUUCUAAUCUGCCAUCAGCAGUAAGAGAAGUUUCAUAUUCUCCUGAGUGGGGGGAGCCAUCUUUGUUCUUCAAUCUCCUUUUCUAUCCUCGUUCCCCGACAUCUUUCCGAUUUGCGGAAGCUUCCUUGUUCUCUAUCCUGCCUUCAUUUGAGGUUUUGUUUCACUGAUUCUAAAAGGUCAAACAUGCGAUCAUUUUACAAAACAAUAUUACGACCUCCAGAAAUCAUGCACUGCUAAAUAAUAUUUCUGUAGGAUACACAUCCAAGCGUUGUUGAAUUCAUUACCUCCAUAACUGUCUUAAGAAAACCCUUGUACUUUUCUGGGGUAACAAGCUGAACAGCAGCAAAACCACACUUCCUAGUCAUUAUCUCAAGAAUGACCGUGACCUGCAAAAAAGAGGCCCUUGGAAGGAUGUGUGCAUGGAAUUAUCACAAAAAAACUCAGCAAACUCCCAGUAAAUUUCACAUGCCUUUGAUCUGAAGUGAUGCCUGGAGACAGAUGACCAUGAAAUAACACCAUCAACAAUGUCUGAAAGUAAACUCUGAAGGUCUUCAUUCCGUAAGCAAGACACUACUACUUUCACAAAACCUAGAACAGCCUGCAAAAUGUGUACGAAGUAACUCUCAAGCCAUGCCAAUUGGGGCAAGAAUCUACUUUGGUAAUGGUAUACUCACUUUUAUCACUUCCACCGCUUUGCUUUGUAGCAGAGAAAGAACAGAAGGAAUAAGAUCAGGAAUUGAUAGACAGAUAUCUGUAUCCUUGUAAACUAGUACGGACAAUGCAGAAACAGCUCCACUUGUAAUUUGAGGUGAUGAACCAGAAAGAUAGCCCACUAUCUGAAAGCACGUUAUUUAGAAUAAAAAAACUAUUACUUGAAUAAAAUUACAAUCCCGAGUAUUGCAAUUGUCCAGUAAUAAAUCACUGUUAAGAACUACAAGCAGAAAGGAAAAUUGCAGAUUAGGUUAGACAAUUUCUACAUAAGUAUGCUCUCCCGAUCAUCUGACAGAAAGUCCUGUAAGCAAAUAAAAUUCCCCGAUGUUCACAAGACACUUAAAGUGUUCAUCUGUGCAGUGCAUAUAAAACUUCUUUGGGCAACCAUUUACACGAGGAACCCAAGCUUUAAUAAUAACACAUGAGAAAGGGACUCCACUACCCCUUGAUUAACCAAUUUGGCUUCUUAAAAUUUCUCAACUUUUCAUCGGAUGAAACAAAUGCAAAAUUUCGAUUGAAUAGCCUUAGGGGCCAACAAGGCAUCCACAAGAUACAGACCACAUGAUUUUAAAUUUUGCCACUUGUAUUUCGGUUCUUCGUUUUUCUACUGGUUAGAGGGCAUUAAUCAUCUUCUCCUCUGGCUGCAACUGCAAAGCCUAAUCCCUUGGCAGAAGCAGCUAGACAUGAAUAAAUGAAGGAAUAUGCCGUGACUCAACCAUACUGCAGCCAUGAAAUUAGCUUUAUUCUUUUAGAAGAGAAAUAUGUUUUAAGGCCUCUGAAUCAAUUCGUAGCCAUACCAGGCUUACAAUCUUCAAAUACAAUGCACAUACUUAUAAAGAUUUUAACCAAUACCAGGAAGCAGUAUACACAAGACCAUGAGGACUUCAGUCCACUGUUUCCCAAUUUUGCAGGAACAACAACAUGGCCAAAGAAGAGGAAUUUAAAUAAACUACAUUCUCCUUCAACUUUUCCCCCAUCUAUGGAUGUUACGUGAGGCAGAGCAGAAACCCAAUUAUUUACAACACGAAAGCCCCUCCAGAUGACAAUUUACAUAGGAUCAACCAUUGUAAAAUACGUACUUCAGACAAGAUAGAAGGAACUGCUUCAACCUCUUCCAUUGUUGUUACUUUCAACUCCCUAUGCCUCAUGUACCCAUUCUUUUAAAGUUCUAUUUUUGUUUUCCUUGCAUGUUCCUGAUGUUCUAGAAUGUAUGUAGUAUCAAACAUGUCUUAAAAUAUAAGCAGUAAUUUCCACCAAAGCUACACAAAUAUGUCCCAUAAUGAAGAAUACCGUACCAUGUUAAUCAGUUUCUGACAAGGUGCAACUGAACUAACAGGCGAAAUGCUUCUCAAGCUGGAACAUAUGUUGAUGAGAACAUCAUAAGCUUCCUUCCUAGAUUCCUCCUUAGCCUGCAAAUUUCAUGUCACAACAGUGAUUAGUGCUGAAAGUAGAUCAUCACCCCCACACUGUAAAGGAGGUUCUUACAUCCUUUAAGACAAGUAUAAUCUCAUUGAGGAUGAAAAAAGCUUUUGAAUCUUCUUUCUCCUCCUCCUCCUCCUCCUCCUCCUGCUGCUCCUCCACAGAGUUUAUCUGCAUGAAGAAUCAACUUGACAUGUCAAAUAGAACAGCAUAUGACAUCAACAAUAGACGUGCUUAUAUUACUUAAUUUUGAGCUACAAUUGCAAAUGCACCAUAACCAAAAACUUAAGAAUCCGUUUGCAAGAAGUACAUAUAUGAUUCCUUCCAUGUUGAGACACAGCCCAAAAGAAAAAAGAAGUUUUUGGCCUUAAAAGCGGAAAAGCCAUUCAUGGCAUUCAAUAUUAUUUUAACGAAUUAAAGGGAAGAUGGGUGAAUGAUGAUAGUAGGAUCAGGUUAUUAGAAAUUUAAAAAAUUGUGAGAUUGGCGAAAACUGAUCUGUUAGGUUCUUUAAGCAAAAUACCACUUAUAUAAUCAUUUUUAAUUUUUUUAAUUUCCACAAAGUUCAAUAAAAAACAAAAGGGUGAUGAAAUACUCCAUGCUUAGCUCUGUACAAGAACCUGUUAGCCAUCCAUACAUUAGGAGUUUGGAAAAGUGAAAAGUUUAAGAGUCUUCAUAUUCACAAAUACAGGCGUUACACCUGCUGUGAGGAUGAAAUUCGAAUUUCCUCUAGGAAGGGAAAGGCCUGCUCUUAGAUCAAGUCUUAAUGUCAAAUUUCCAAAGGCAAACUUCAACUGAAGGAGAUCCAUUAAACAUUUUAAGAAAUUCCUUAGAGAUGGAGGGAAUUGCCCAAGUAGGAGACCAUGCGAAUAUAUUGUGGGGCCAGAACAAAAAAUGGAAUAGUAUUUAAUUUAAGGAUUGUGAUAUAGCUGCUCACCUGCAGCAUACAAUCUAGGCAACAGAAAUAGAACAAAAGCCAAACUCAAAGAACUGCUAAAAUAACUGUUCUAGCACAUCAAGAAUAUAAAACCAUGAAACACGAGGAGAAAUUUAUUAUGAAGAACAAAUGCAAUUUCUUCUUGAAUAAAUGUUGUAUACUUUGCUUUUCGGUGGGACUAAUCUUGAGCUGUUUUCACAACACAGGAUUAAGACAUUUCUUAAAGGCUCAUUGCACUCUUAUUCCAAGACAACCAGCCCAGGACACAGCUCAUAUUCAGUUUAUGAAAAGAACAAGAAAUGGCUUCUAUUUACGUCAAAACGUGAUAUAUACACCAAAAAUGAAGGACAUAAAAUUCUGCACUUUUUUCACAAGAAUAGUAGACACCAAACAUACAAAAGAAAACAAGUACUGCAUUGCCACAAGAAACAUUCUGACCUUUAAUGCAUGAACUAUCAGAACAUGGAAACAGGCAAAGCGGCUUCUCAGAGUUGCAAUAUCAGAUGGAGUCCUUAGGCCAAUUAGUAAAUCAAUCAACUGCGAAUAUUGAGAUGAACAAAACCAGGGAUGCACCUGCAUAAUAGAAAUGACAGAAAAACAAUCACUUCCAGUAAGAAUAUGUCUUGAAUGGAGAUACCACACAAACAUACCUCCAAAAUUUUGCUCAAAGCAUUAUAGGCUUCAGCAUGGCCAUGGUCAUUGCUUUCCUUGUGGAAGAAAAUUCAUGAAUGAUUUAGGCUAUAGAAAUCACUAAACUCAUCCAUUAAGUCAAGAAAACAAAGCUACUAUUCUUAAAGUCAAUGCACACCUGAAAAGUGUCCUACUAUUUUUUUUUUUUUUUUUCUGAGGGUUGUGAGGACCUUGCAUAGAACAUGACAGGAGUGGAUUUAUUAUUGGAUGCAUCCUCAUGAUGUUACUGUACUUGCAUAGAACAUGACAGAUGACAAAAUGUCAUCAAGAAGAGGAAACAGCAGUGCCCAAUUUCCAUAACAUGGUAGCUCAAAAUUUUGCUAGCAGAAUAUAGAAUCUAUGCAUACGGACGCAACCUAGUAAUCUCUGCAAUUGCUAACAGUAGAAAAAAGUUCUGGAUGCUCACAAAUAGAAUUGGUCUGUCGAUAAUCAAACAUCUGUUACAAUAAAUUGUCAAAUGUGACCUAAAGGACCCCUCCUUUAUCAAGUGUUUCAUCAGCAGUCAAGUGUAUAUGCGUAUGUGAACAUAUAUGAAUCUGUCAUUUUAAUCAUUAAUAUAGCUUGCUAACAAUUCUAUCCACAAGCAUUCUAUCUCCAUUGCCUUUUAGCAUUUACAUCAAUGGCAUGCUCAUUUCCUAGUUCUUUGUCCGUUGAUGCAUCCAUUUCAUCUCUUCCCCUCUCGAACUCAUCUCUCUUAUUUAGAAUGCCAAAUCUUUUGAGAAAUGACAAAAAUAUCUCUGGUUGCAGAAGAAUCCGUGAUAGAAGCUAAGCAACCAAUAGGAUCCUGAGAAAUUAAAACUGAGCAUGAUAAUCUAACUCAUAUAAUGUAUGUCAAUUACUAACCAAUGGGAAAAGUAAAAGGUAAUCCGUGAGCAUUGACUGAAUAUAUAUCUCAGAGUUAAAGUUCUUUAAGACGGCUACUCAAUACAGCUUCCUUUUGCUAAUUCAAUGCAAUCCACAGGACUCAAUCCUCUCUUUCAAAAAAUUCAUUCGCAAAAUUAUUGAACUCUUUAUAGCGCCCAGAAGUUUGAUCCAAUUAACAAAGCAUCCACAAAGUUCUAUAACUCACAUGCAUGACGAUCCCUUCCACAAUGACCAACCUAAUCAAUCUGACGGAAUCUAGUACUUCAAAGUAUUUUGGUGUUCUAUGGUGAGUUCAGGGAGGGUAGACACUUGGUACACAACAUUGAUGCCACUUCACUUCUCAUAGCUUUAAUUCUUUUUAACUUUUCCUUUGAGGUUUUCUAAUAACAAGUACGCAAUCCAUUGUUUCAAUGCCAACCCAACCUCACAUAACUUUGACCUUUUUUUUUCCUUUUUUUUUUUUUUGGUCCAUUUCUAAAGAAUAAUUUGUUGUCAGUAAGAAUAUAAUAAAAAAACCAUAAAAAUUCUAGCUUAUGCAUGGCUAUCAUGCUUCUAACAUAUUUUUUUUUUGGUAAAUGGUAAUAAUAUAUUGAGCUUUAAACCAACAAUAUACACAAGAUCCGGCGCCACAAAACUUAUCUAACAUAUGUUUUUUUUUUUUUGUGAAAGUAAGUGAUAUAUUAGGAAAAAGUCAAACUGUACAACCCAUCGGCUUCAAAAACUUACACUCAAGAUGGACAUGCCCAUUAUGAGUGGAAGGAAGCUGAGGAAAAAACCAAGGGGCAGCCGAGAACGGCCAAAAAACUUAUCUAACAUAUGUUUCUACCACACAAAAGCAAUACCAUUAUUUUCCUUCACCAUUUUACAUUAAAAUAUAAAAUUACAACCAACAAAUAUAGAAAAAUAACUAAUCAAGUAAAAUAAUAUUAUCUAAUCCAAAUUUUAAUGAUAUGAACUUGUUUUUGUGCAUGUUAACACAAAUUUCAACUUGCUUAUAAUAUUUUACAAAUUUAAAAGAAAAGGACAUGAAAAAGUUCAAGUUGAAUCUUAAAUUGACAGUCAAAAUUAUAUUUUCUCAAAUCAGUUCAACUAUAGCUUCCUGAAGUGACAGGACCACAUGUCCUAUAGAAUCACCCUAAUUUAUCAUGCCAAAAAAAGUUGCAUUAGCCUCUUUAUACCAACCAAACUUACUUUCAAUAGUCAUGGAAUGUUGCAUUAUUUCAAAGCUACUCGGCCGAUUCUCCACCUAAUGCUUUUCUCCAUAUAUAUAAUUUUUCAUCUGAAGAUUCGAUAUUGUCAAUGACAUGAGAAAAGGAAAGACGAUCAUGCCAAGUAGAGGAUUCCAAGUAAGUUGUAUAAUUUUAGGAUCACUGCAUCUUGAAUUCACACUUCAUUCUAGGAGUCAAAGGUAUAUAACUAUUCCGACAGUGAAGGUUUUUUUUUUUUUUUUUUGGUGAACGGUAAUUGUAUUAAGCUUAGCCAAAAUGUACAAGCAAAUGGCAUCAGAGCUUACACUCAAAACAAACAUGGCAUAAUGAGUGGAAGGGUGCCGAAAUAAAGGAAAAGCCAACAAGGCAAAAGCUAGAAGGUGCAGUCAGCACAACGACAGCCACAUCCUAAAGAAUGACCAAAACAAAAGAAGGUUACCAGCUAGCAAAACAAUGGCAACCCAAGUCCAAAACCCAACACAAAAACAAUAGAGCCCAGCACGGCAACCAAGAACAAGGCAGGACGCAGCCAGGAGAAGAGAAGAAUCCCAUGCGGCAGACACUCCGCAGUAGGACUCCUAAGGAACCACCGAGGAUGAAUGAAAGAUGCAAGGGUCAAUCCCCCAGCUACAUUGAAGUCUUCUGUUUCAUGGAUUGUCCUCCACAUUUGUAAAAGUCAAGGCCUUAUCCUUGACCACCUUAAUGAGGUGAUUCUUCACUGCCUGGACCGUGAAGGUAAGGUUCCUGGAAAGGAUCUCAUUCCUAUAAUUCCAACAGUGAAGGUUUUUCUCUUAAUUUUCUGAUUUUUCAAAGGGUGCUGUUGUCUGGUGGGGCACACUUGGGAACUAUUCUCUCAUGCAAAGCAGGGAUGGAACAAUACUUUUCCCAUAGGGCAGGGAAUGGGAACAAAAUUCCUGGCCUGCUCCUCCCAAUGGCAGCCACUAGUGCGUGCAAUUCAAAAAGUGCCUUGAAUGAUGCAAUUGGAAGUAUUAAUUGUACUUAAGGAAAAUUUACACGUCAAAAGGGCUGGAGGGAGGCCUAAAAACACAACAGAAACUUCUAGCUAGAAUCCCAAAAUGUUUUAAGCUUCCAUAGGAUAUCAAAUAGCACAUAAUGACCUAAUAUAUGUCCAUGUAGCCAACCCCAUCUACGUGAACUGACUCCACAAUACUUUCUGCAGCACUUAUAAGAAUGAUGCGCCCACACUAGGAAGGAGAUUAGGCAGGUCUGAAUCUGACCAACCCAACAAUCAAAUUUAGCAUGUCAACUGCCUCAUACUAAACAGAAACCUUCGAAUUCCUCUCUACUUCUUCCAGCAAUUAACAUUGACAGAAAGAGCUCCUACUAGUUAUACUACUUUCAAUCUGGACAGGACUGAGGAGGAAGAUGGAGCUUGGAUUAUCAUAGAGUAUUAGUAUCCUAUUAUUAUCUUAUAGUGCACUGAGUCCUAUUAGCAUCUUUGAGAUGAGGCAUAUGCCUAAAAAAUUGGAGAAAAAGUUCAGACAACCAAAGUAAGUGGAAAAUUAUGAAUAUGAAAGGGGAGAGGAGAAAACAAUUGUGCAAUAACUAGUAAGAAAUUUAGUAUAGAGCCAAAAAAGACUUUAGUGAUUGAGGGAGAACCUUCAAGUAUGACCUUGUCGCAGGAAUGGAAUCGACAAAUAAGUCCAAUAAAAGUUGAAGCAACUCAGUAGAGCAUGAACUUAAAAGCCUUGAUAUUUCUGCUUGCAGUUUUCUUCGAGUAAAUCGGUAGAGUUUGCAAUUCUAAUCCGGAUGCUUGCACAUUACAGGUGUCUAAAUCUUUAACUACUCUAGAGCUGAGUACACUUGUAUUCUGAUUCACAAGGAUCUGCAGAAUUAGAACAGUACUAUCAGGAGAUAUGAAAAUGGUAUAACAACCUCUUCCCAGCUAAAGAACAAGUGUGAGCCAAAUGUCACCAAUGUGGCAAGAAGAUCACCUUUAAAGCAAGAGCCACACUUUCAUGCAUAAAAGAAUAUUUUUAAAGAAAAUCAGUCAAUAAUACUGCCAAACAUCUAAACUGUUUGUCUGUAUCACUUGAACCCCGGCAAAAGGCUGGUAACAGUUUCCAAAGGUCAUGAGCAUGACCCAGCAGCUCCUUACCAAGCACUGAUUUCUUAACUGGAGAAAAGAUAAACAGAAGCACAAUCACAUCCCCGAUGUCACUAAAAUGUUAAUGAUGAACUGAACAAAACUCAAAUCAAGUAAUGCUGAUUAAGGACUCCACUACAUACAUGAACAAUCGGCAUUCAACCAAAGCUCACACUAAAAAAUAUGCAUCAAGGAAGGAAAAGUUAAUGUCACAGAGGCAGAUGAAAGAAUAAAAUUGCAUAAACAACAAUAUUUUGCUCCCCAGACCUGUCCCUCCUAUCAAAUAUCUACAGAACGCAAAAAAACAUACCUUGAGAUGAACAAUUGCGAUAAGAAAAUAUUUAUAUGCAUAAUUCAAUGGGUAUCAUAAGCCAAGUAAGGAGAGGUCAACGCUUUGGGAUGGUAUCUAUCAAAUGGGAUCAACAUAUAUAAUAAUAAAAAAAAAAUCAAGAAGUUGACAGUUCUGUUAUAACGUUUCAGGCAAGCUUUCAGCACAGCUUACAAGCAGGUUGAAUUACCCAGCUUGAUAAGUCUAUGGAGACUCUUAUUGAAGACUAAAGCUCCUUCUAGCAUAGCUUGUGAACAUGCAAAAAUGAUCUCUCGUGAUGAUGAUCUCUUGCGAGGAGUUUAUGAUGGACAAAAAAGUUUUUGUAUUGAGUUUUGGUUAAACGCACGAAACUUUGUGCACUUAUUCCUUAUAAAAUGUGUCUCCUGUCAAAGAACAUUUAGUGGUGCCUUUGCAAAAAGCAGGACUUUUACCCUGCUUAAACUGAUUUGAAUCUGAAUACGGAUUUAAAGAUGGAGAUUCUAGGUUGCUUUUAAUUGAUAACUCAUAAGUUAUGCACAACCAGUGGUGAAUCUGUGCCAAACAGCCAAGGAUCUCCACACUUAUUAUGACGUCAAAUAUGAUAUCUGAAAAAUGAAAAUCACGGAAACAAAAGUCAUGUAGAAUGAUGACAUACCUCCAGAACUAGCACGCUUGAAAGAUUUUGCGAGGGGCACAAUAUAAUCCAUGUAAUACUCAAGUGAUGAACCAACCACAUAAUCUCUUAGAAUGGGCACCAACCAAACAUUACUAGAACUAAAAUUGUCAGGAUGCAGUGAAAUAGGCACAACAGAAAGCAUCUUUUCUGGGCCCAUAGCAAUUACAGCAGAACCAAUACAUCUCUGAAGCUGUGAAUCACAGUAAAUUAAACAAUGAUGAGUUACCAUUCAAACAAUCUUCAAACUACACAAGUAUUACUUUUAUAAAGCUAGACAGUCAAUUAUUUGUUUCAUCAGAUAAUGGCAAAGUACUAUGCUCAAAGCUCUGUUAACUUGUCAUCUACCCAAUUUAGUAAAAGAAACUUUUGUUAAUCCUUAUAUGUAAGUAAAAAAAAAAAAAACCUGCUGUUAACGCUCCAAUCAACAAUUCAAUCUAGCUCUAACAAAAUUCAUGACGACAAGCCGAUUUGGAGUUUGCUAUGAACCCCAUCUUCUUCUUUGCACACUUCAACAGGAUAAACAUAUGAAGCAAAGAUGACUUGAAAAAUCAAAUUUUGGAGAGCAAGAUCAAGUAAUAGCCUUUACAUCAUUCUCUUGAAAAUCAAUUUCGAGAUCAAGACAAAUCAAUUCCCUUUAAAUCAUUCUCUUUUUCCUUUAUACAUAAAAUUAAAUCAAUAACAAAGGGGGUGCAAACCCAAGUACCAAAGGAGAUCAAGAACCAAAAAAAAAGCUCAAUUCAUCGAUAAUGACAAUAAAUGCAUCUACAUCGACAUGCAUUAUUUCAAGUCGCAUUUCCACUUCCAUAAGAACAUUGACAAAAAACAAGGACAAAAAAAAGUCUUUUAAUUGAGAAAUCUGCUCAAAAUAACGACAGGAAUAGUAAUUCAAGAAAUGAUUAGAGCAUGAACCCUACUUAUUAAAAUCAGCAAAAACAAAAUCAAGAGAAGAUUAAGAUAUUUGAAUUGUCCCUUAUUCCAUUCUUUUCCAAACUCACCAUUUAAGGCAAAGAGUAGGAGCAUUUUGGGCUGAUUUGAAAUGUAGAGGAGUAUGGGAAAACAUGACAUGAUUGUAGAACCAAGAUCGCAAAAUUAGCUAAGAAACUACCAAAACAAAGCAGUCAAAGCACCUCCUGCCCCAAGAAAGUUAAGAAGCAUACCUGCUAGAGACUCCCAAACUACAGGAAGGUUCUUAAUCCACAAACUUGAUCCUCCAGUGUGGAAUUUAUUCAGAGCAACUCUUAACAAUUUUGCAGCAGUCAUGACAGUGUCCACCGAGUUCUCUUUUGAAGAAACAUAAGAAGCAAGAGAAGUGAUGACAUUUUCUAUCUCUUGAACAGUAUCUCCCACUGCUAGAGUUUCCAAUAAUGCCUCGAUGAUUUUAAGAAUCAGUGUUGUAAGCGCUGAGAACCCGAGACUGUCUAAUUCUGAAAGAAUCUGAAUGCUUACUUUGGCAGACAGAUACGGACAAACAGAUACCAGCACAUUAAGCAUAUGUAAGAAUCCUAUAUUCUCGGAUUUCAACAGUUUAUCAUCUGUAGAUCCAUCCUCAGGACUCGUAGUCCUUGACCAAUCUGCUGAAGAAAUGCAACUUUCAAAAGAAGACAGUACCAGCUUGCUUGCUUUCCUAACAACACUAGAGGACUUAAAGCAUUUAAAAACCUUUUCAAGACAUUCUUGCGCACAUCGCCGAACCUGAGAAAACAACAAAACAUAUCUUCAAUUGCUACUCAGUUCUUACGAUAUGCAAGAGAAUAGGAACGCAUUUCCACCUUUCAAAGCCCAAUUGCAAUCAACAAGGCCAUAAGGGGAAGAACACUGACCUAAAAAAGGUGAAAAUUACAUGUUGCAAAGUCUAACAAAAAAAAAAAAAAAAUUCCCAAAGAGCUUACAAGAGCAGAACUGGAUACGGCAAUGCAUGGUUUGCGACAAUAUACCUUAGGACGCUUGGCCAGGGAGAACUUUAAAAGCGUCUUUUACCCGAAUUUCACCGAAUCCCAAUCCUCCAAGUCGCAAAACCCAAGCAAAACCCCCAAACACUUCACCGCGGACCUCACGCGGGACACGGCCAGCUUCUCCUCCUCCCUCGGCAGCACCUCCGCCAACACCUCCGCCGCCUCCCUCGCCCUCGCGGGCGCGAUCCCCUGCGGCGGCACCGCGGGCAGGACGAUCACGAGGAACGACAUGAGCGCCGCGACCUCCGUGGAGUCCAGGGCCUGCAACGAGGACGUGGUCUCGACGGCGGACAUGGCGGCGCCGAAGUAAGAGGCGGGCGUGAGGGGGAGGGACUCGGCGUCGAGGAUGGCGCGCAUGGCGGCGACGGUGGCGAGGAGGUGGCGGUGCUGAGGGGCGGAGGAUUUGGCGUAGCGGUCCAUGAGCUGUUGGCAGACGUCGGCGCCGUCUCGCAGCGGUUCGUCGGCGCUAUCUGUUGAUCCUGUGGAAGCAACGAGGGUCGCUCUUCCUGUUUCCGUUGUCUGUGCUUUCUGUGGCUUCAUGGCGGCGGCGGGGGCGGCGGCUUCGAGCGCCGCCGUGCGGUGGCUUCUCCUGGCUGUGGAAUGUUUCGGGGUAAGAAAUUCGCCUUUGAUGCUUAAUCCAUGUUUUUUUAUAUUUUUACGAUAACUAAAACUCGGGGGGUCGUUAUUUUCUUCGCAUUUGAUCUAUAUUGCUUAGCAAAGAACAUUUUUUGGUUACAUUGAUUAGGUUUGCCUCGUCCGUAGUUCCUAUCAUGUAACUCAACUUUCAAGAAAAUACAAAAGGUUAAUCUCACAAAAAAUUUCAAAAUAUGCACAUUGUAACUCAAAUACUCCAAAUCUUUUUUUAUCACAAAAGAUCUUAAAUUUAAUUUUUUAUAACAUAUAUAUCCUAACCUUUUCUUAUGUCAUAAAAAACCUCGAAAUUAUAUUAAUGUAACAAAUGUAUAAUAAAUUGAACUGAAAUAGAAAACAUAUAUAUACAUGUUACACAUGUAAAAAUUUGGAUUUUUUCAUGAUACAAAAAAAAUUGAGAAAUUUGUAUUGCUAUGGACAAAUUUAGGGUUUUUGGUGACAUAAAAAAAAGUUAAAAGAUAUUUAUAUCACAAUAAAUGUAAUUUGUGGGCAAAUCAAAUUUAUGGAGCAAAAGUGGUACUUCUGAUCUUUUACUUUCAAUCAUUAUUAUUUUCUUGUUUUAUAAUUAAAAGGUGUUAAGAUUUCAACGGGAAGUUUUCCGUUUUCAAUUUCAUCUUAGGUAUGCUAAAGUAUUAUCAAAGGACUCUAGUGAUAUAAAAACAAACAAGUAAAAUGAACAUACGAAAAAAGGUUAUUAUUGUGAUAAGAAAUGAAAUCACAAGAUUCUUUUUGGAGGAAACAAAGCAUCACUUUUUAAUAGGAGUAUAUACGGGAACCGCACUGAAUCGGCUAGUUUUGAUUAUUCUCAAUUACAAAUUUUUGGAAUAGGAAUAAUCAGACAAAUUCUUAAUUUCAUAUGGGAAUCAAAUUGCUCGGACGAUAUAUAUAUUUUUUGGAAUUUCCCUCUUCUUUUAAAGAGUAAAGAAAAGGAAAUUGCCAAAAUCCUAAACUGAACCGGUCUAACCUAGGAAUUAAUCUAGUUUCCAAUUCUAAAGUGAAAUCGACCAAACUCGGGAAUCAAUCACCUUUCCUUUUUAAUGAUAUGCAAGAAAGGAUUAAAAAGGAUAGGAAACUUUAUAUUCUAUCGCAAAGUUGAUUAAAGUAGCCAAGAGAGAGGAAGAAAGGAAGGAAAAAUAGAGAGAAGAAGAGGAAGAAACAAAUCCUAAAAGCCAACAAGGGGUGCUUCAUUUCCAUGUUACCGAAACCGUAUGCCUAUUGCAAUAUAUUUACAUUGAAUAUAAAUUAUACAUUACCAUGAUGCCCUUAUAUACGUAAAAAGAAAUAAAACCUAUAAAAUAAAACCAACACCACUAAAGUAAUGUAACAGUCCCCUUUUUUUUUGGGUAAAAAGUAACGACUUCAUUGCAAUAACUAAACUAAGUUUGGAGAUAUUACAUUAAACGCAUCAGCACAUAGUAGAUCAAAUAGAGCAGGUGGGGGAUUUUCUAACCAAUUUAAUGGUAGAGAAUCGGUUCUACACGCUUUCACCAGCCAGUCCACGGGUUGGUUUGUGUCCCUGUUGCAAUGGGCCAAGGAGAUGGCCCGAUAUGCUUUCAUUUUUAUCUUGGCCCGGUCCACGACGGUCUUCGCAUCCCAACUGAAGUCUUCCGAAGUGUUGCAGCUGUUCACGAGUGGGAGGCAGUCAGACUGUACGUGGAGUUGAAGUUGAGUUCGGUCUGAGAAGAAAAUUAGGGUUUCGAGGAGGGCGAUUGCUUCCGCCUGUUCUGCCGAGGAUGCGGCCACUAAUUUCGCGAAGCCGUCGACCACCCGUCCCCUGAAGUCGUGACAGAUGCAGGCGAUUGCUCCUCUGUUUUCGCUUUCUCCCCUGUUUGCCCUAGUUUGUGAUUCGUAGUCGCUGCUUGGGAGGAAUGAAGCAUCUAUGUUGAUUUUCAACGAAUCUGGUAUUGGGGGCUGCCAUCUUUGAGGUAGGGUCUCUCUAUGUUGCUCCCCUUUCGUUUUUUUUGUUCCAAGUGGUGUAAUUCUCGUGCAAAGCCGCGGCCUUUAAGAGUGUUUGCUGUGGGUGCAGAGGGCGAUGGCCAAAUAUAAAAUGGUUUCGGUCUUUCCAGAUGCUCCAGAGGGUAACUACGAUGAGGUCAAACCUUUUUGCACUGGUUGGAUUGGUUUUUGCUAUGUACAACCAUUCGUCAAAUCUGGUUAGCUCUAUUCUUGACACUCUGAUUUGCAGGGGGCAACUUUCCAAAUCCGGGCCGUCCAGGAGCAUAGCAACACUCCCCUUAAACUAGAGCAUAUAGGUCACUCAUACCCAAUUUGGAACAACCAUUGACAAAGACAGGACAAAACAACACUUUAAUAAACAUAUCAACCAAUUAAUCUCUAGAGUCAAUAUAAAGAGUAGUGACCAACUUCUGCUUCACAAAGUGACGGUCAACUUCUAUAUACAUAGUUCGCUCAUGAAAAACAGGAUUCCCAACAAUAUAAAUAGUUGCCUAAUUAUCACACAUCAUAUCAUAAGUUGAUUAAUAAAAAGGAUUUCAACCACAAUAAUUUAGUCACAAUAUGUGCCAUAGUACAAUAUUAGGCCUCCACACUAGACUUAGGAAUAGUUGUCUAUUUGUUGCUUCGUAAUCAAAUUACCACCAAGAAAAGUGCAAUACCUAGUCAUGGAUCAGUGAUCACAUGCUAACCUAGCCCAAUCGGCAUUAGAAUAGCCAAUUAAAGUGAAAGAACCAUUAGGUGUGUAAAUCAGCCCCUUAUUAGGAGAGCCUUUAAAGUACCAGAGAUGCGAUAAACAGCAUCCCGACGAGCCUUCUUUGGUAACUUCUUUAAUUGACUCACCACACCAAUAACAAAGGAAAUAUCUAAAUGUGUAACAAUGAGAUAAAUUAACUAAUUAGCUUGAAUAUUUAGUCUGCGUGAAAUGCUAUGCAAGGAGAUGCCAAAAUGCCUAACUAAAAUGACAUGUAACAUGCAACGUAUAUUGCGAACUAUAUGUCACGACAUGAUCUAAUGACAAUGUAACUAUCCUAAUAUGUCACGCACUCAAAUGAUCCUAAGCAUGCUAUGACUAGAUGACGAAAUGACCUAAUUCUAAGUUACACACGCAUGAUAUUUUGUAUUUCUUCUUUUCCUUUUUUUAUAGAAUUCGAAAUUAAAAUUGCUUAAUAAUUGAACAUGCAAUUAAUGAAAAGAAAAUCUAACAUCUUUUUGGUGUUUUUAUUUCAAAAAUUCGGAAUAAAUAAAAUGCCUAAUCUAAAUAUGCAAAUUAUCCUAAAACAAGCAAUAUUCUAACAUAAACCUAAUCUAACUCAAAUAUAUAUAUAUAUAUAUAUAUAUAUUUUUUUUUUUCUUUUACGGAAAUAAAAUCAAUUCAAACAAUACGACGGCAAAUCAGGCAAGAUAUGAUUGAUAUCCACCAAAUAAAUUGAUAAACUCAUGAGAUCGGAUUGGCCAAUUUUAACAAAAUCUCGAGCAUAAGAUUGGAUUGGCGAUUUUUCCGUGCACUAAUAUUUCGGACGUGAAAUCAGACUAUCAAUCGUGUGCACGUUGUGAAAUUAGGAAGAUUUCUCAAUAUAUAAGGCUACUCGAGAUUACGGAUAUGAUAGCAUAUCGGGAAUUUCAAUUAUGUGCAUCGACGAAUAUUUCAAAUAAGAAAAAGGAAUUUUUGGAAAUCAAAAUAGAUAAGAUUUUCACCUAAUUUGAAUAUUGGCUUUCAAAUUCCGAUCCUCAAAUGGCUACUCGCGACGCAAUGUGGUGGUGCGCUCACAGGAUGGCUACUCGUCAAGGGGCUUUGCGUGCGGCUCCUUGAUGAUUGCUCGAUUCAAUGAUAUGUGCGUAAACCUCGAAAAGCAAUUUGCAAAACAAUAACUUUUGUUGUUGUAGCAAUAGCAAGGCUUACCCGGGAGACCUAGAGAACCACAAUGGGGAGAUGCUCCAAAUUUCAAUAAAAUAAGCGUGCGAAAUCCUCCCUCCUUUCAACGUAUACGUCCUCCUUUAUUGAAAGAACGUGUGCCCUUCUCUUGCCCAGAUUUUAGCGACUCGGAUGCUUGCUGAAUUUUGACCGAGCUCAAUCACCUCGCUGGAAUUCGUUGGCAACGCGAGUAUUGGUGCAAAUCGUCUGGGCGCGACGAAACAAACCCGAGGAUCGGGCUGAUUGGGAUGGGUGACAUGAGCAGUGGCUACUGGCGUUGGGGUAGCAACGAGGUCGUGGCCAGGAAACAACCAGCUCUGUUCACGGAUGCGGAGCAGCAGCGAUGGCGGCGUUCGGGUAAUAGUCGGAACAGCAACUACGAGGGGCGGAGUUGCAGUGACGUCAUCGAUGAAGGGGCUGCGGUGGCAUCGUCAAGCAGUCGAGUAAUAACUCAACAGGGUGGCAGCUCAUUGACAAUGUAUCGCAGACGAUGAAAGCACCGCGGCAGAAGUGUUGGCAUGGGUCUUGGCCAAGAAGAUUCGCGCUCUUUCCUCUCUCACGUCUCUCGCUCUCUCUUGUAUCAUUUAUAGUGAAACGGUGUAAACCAUCGAGGAAAGAAAGCAUAUUUUGUUUCCUUCUGUGCAUGCUUUGAAAUAUAUUCUAUUUCCUUUCCUCUUCCUCAUUGACCAAAUGCCUUCUUUUUUGCAGGGAUAUCUUUUUUUGCAAAUCCAUGUGCCCGUAGUGUAGAACGUGCCCAACAUUCCCUUCUCAUGCUGAUCUUCUGAAUUUCCAUAUGCUCGUAUCUUUCUACAUAGGGCCAUUCAUGAUGAAUAUUCUCUGCCGAUUUUAUUUCUUUAAGUUUUAACCCAAAUAUCAGUUCACAAAUUGAUCAAGUAUUGCCAAAAAUUCAAUAUUGCAAUAGACUUUUCCUAGAUUCCGAACCUUGCAAAGAUGAGCUCGCAAUAUCUCCUUCCUAUGCUUGUCCUUACCGAAUAUACGAAAGAUUCACCGAAUAUUGGAAGAAUAAUAUAAAUCUUUUCCAAAAAAUAUCGAAUUGCCAACUCGUAAAAUUGUAGCUCAUCCGCAGCCGAUCAAAUGCAAAAGUGAUAAACAAAUAGAUAAAUGUAACUAAAAUUAUAUGCCAUGCAAUUUUAAUUCUAUUUUUUAGCGGUUAAAAAUUAAUCCAUAAUUUUCUAUGCAAUAAAUGGAUGACCGGGUCGCCAAAAUUUAGGUGUCAAUAGUAGACUACGCCAUGACGUUGCUUCCUUAAAGAUGACCUUUUAAUUACUGUAUUUUUGGUCGAAAACCUUUUAAUUGCACCUUUUUUUUACUGUUGGCAUGGUGAUUUUUGAACUCGACAAGGACUGCCCAAUCAACCAUGCAACAAGGGGACAAUUUCUACGACGAGAAACGCGCAUGCAUGCAUUGACUAUGGGAGUCUCCGGAGACAAUCAUACAUUCUUGCCAACACUCAGAAUCCGAUCUCCACGAUUGGCAAUUUGCUUUUGCAUGGGAAAAUUGUACAAAAAAUUCUAAAUUUAUUACACUUUUAUCAAUUUAGUCCUAGAUCUUUUAAUUUGUAAAUUGAGUUCUAAACAUUUUUACUUUUUACCAAUUCAGCUAUAAACCUUUUCACUUUUUGCCAAUUAAACCAUCCGGCCAAUUUUGACGGGAAAUUACUAACAUGAAUAGCUGAUGCUGACGUGGUACUUUUUUAAUAAUAUUUUGAAUAUUUUAUGGUUUUUUUUUUUGCGACCUCACCCGUGGCUAGCAAGAGUUGGCCAGCAACUCUUGUCUGCCCUGGAUCCACAAACCCAAAAAUAAAGCAAAAGAAUUACAAAAAAAAAGAAGAGAAAAAAUCAUCUAGAAUGGAGUAGUGUCCAACUUUUCAUGUGAGAGCAAGAGUGAGAGCAAGUCAGAGACAAAGAGUGAUGUCUGAAAGUGAGAGAGAGAGAGAGAGAACCUCAUGUCUUCCUCCAAUGUAGGGAUAUUCCAUUUAGAAUGAAGUAGUAAAGCUUUUGUCCAACUCUUCUUACCUAAUCUUUUUCUUCUAGUGACAAUAGUCUUUUCUGUUGCUCUAAGUUUGCUAUGACCAUGUCUCAGAUUUAGAUUAUUAUACAGUUUAUUAAAGGCGGAGUCCAAAUUCCACGAUUCUUAGAAACUUCAGCAGCUCAUGAAGUUGUCCAAAAAAUAAUUAGAUUCACUUUUUUUGGGACAAAUCUUUUUUCCCCUCUUUCUUUUGACUUCAAUUGUAACAAAUUACUAUUCUUCUAAAAAAUAGUCAAGGGCUACGGCCACCAAGACCCGGUUAUGUGGAGGCCAAUGAAAUACCUUGCAAGUCCUACAAAUUGGUUAAGUCCAAUUCUCCGAGCAAGUCAGAGACAAGUUUGCGCGCCAUUGGUGGUAUCAUAUAUGUUGAACAUAAAUAAUGGAAAGAGUUAUCCUAUUAAAGUUGUUAAAAUAUAUAUAUAUAUAUAUAUAUAUAUAUAUAUAUAUAUAUAUAUGUACAUAUCAUAUAUGUCGAGUUUGGGAUCUAAUGUCAAUGGACUGAAUAUUAUCUUAAGACUUUUCAGGACAAUAACUGAAUUGUAUAGCUGUGGAAACUGAAAUAUUUGGCACCAUGGUCUAUCCCGUUCAUUAAUGGGUGCUUGUACAUUAGCAUAUCUAAGUCUCUAUCGAUGUUGACAGGUGUUUCACCAAGUCAACUAUACAACGCUCUUUUUUAGAUAAAAUUACCAAAGCAAGUUCUAAAUCGAUUGUAUAUGUAUCAAUUAAGUCGUAAUUUUUUCAAUUAUACCAAUUCAAUCCUAAAUUUUUUUACAAUUGCUGACAUAAUCCAUCCGGCCCUCACCUCUAGUCGGCCACGGUUACUAGCGGAGGAAGAAGGAAAAAGAAAAUGAAAGAAAAGAAAAUUAAAAAUUAAAAAAUGUGGAUUUUUUUAAAUUGCAAAAAUUAUCUACAUGAGCGCCAACUAUGCCACGUAAGAUGGCCAGUGGGCACGACCAAUAUUCAUAUCAACAAUUUCCUAUCAAAAUUAGCCAGUGAAUUUAAUUGAAAAUAUUUAGGACUCAAUUAAUAUAGUUGAAAAUUUUAUGAUUAAAUUGACACUAGUGCUAUAGAUUUAUGAUUUUUUAAAAAAAUAAAUUUUCCAUCUUUCUUGAGCUGCUCGUAGACUUGUCCACACACACACACACACACACACACACACAUAGACACAUACACACGAUUGUCUUUGUUUUUGGCUUCUAGAGAAGUCCAAUAAUUUUUAAACUCAAAUAUUUAAAAAAAAUAUAAAAAGAUUAUAUGAGAACUAUUGUGGCAAAUGAAAGGUUUCAAGUGCUUGUAAUUUUUUUAAAAAGUCUAAUUAUGUGCGUAAAUAUUGAAAGAAACUUUUAACUAUUUAAAUAGUCAUCGUCGAAAGAGGCUGAAAUUUUCCAAUUACAGGACGAGUCAUGGAAUCGUAGCAAGGAGGGGUUCUGUACUUUGACUUUGCUUUGGCCUAACAUGGCCUUUUUUCUCUCCGUUCCAUGUUAUAAACGUGGACACCAACCACAGAAAAAUCAAGGCACGUAAAACAAAACUUGACUUAGACCAAAUAAUAAUAGUUCCACGGACCACCUCAUGCACAAUACCUAAGCAAAACAUAAUCUUCUAUGCAUGUCUAAUCAAAUUAAUGUCGAGUUGUUAAGGGUUGUUUUAAUACUGUCAAUCAAUGCCGUUAUAUUCAACACGCAAGUUUCAGAGCUUUGAAAAUUCCAGGUUAACUUUAAGUAAUGGAUUCUAAGCAUGGAAUCUCGUCACUUACCUUGAAAUCUUCCUUGACUACAAGAAACCAUGUAAAUUGGAACAAUUUUCUGUUGUAUAUUUCAAUAGUCUUGAAAUUUCAAAAGCUAUUAUUUUUUUAACGAUUUUCAACUGUCAUCAAUUUGUAACCAUUUUUAUCUGCCAUUACUUUAUUACAGUUUUAUACUUCUAAUGGGGUUGGAGUAAAUCUCUUAAUUAGACAAAUAAGAAAAUAGUCAAAUCUCAAUCACCUCUCCUUUCGAGCUUCUAAUUAAAGAUAAAAGAUUUCUCAAGUCCUAAUUAGUCAACUGGACUAUUAGAGAUAUAUUUAAAAUAUUCUAUGAUUCUAUAUAUUAUUAUACGAUUCUAUAUAUUUCCUUUUAUUGGUCCUGAUUUGUUACCCUAUAAGUUAUUAUAUAAAGCCUAUAAAUAAGCUUGUGUAUUAUUUAUUUGAUGUUCUACAGAAUAUUACAUCUUUCAGUCAUUAUGAUUCUUAACUUGGAUGAAAAAAAAUCAACUCCUCAAAAGUAGAACCUCGUCAGUUUACUUGCCUAGCCGCCUGAAACGUUAUUAGUAGACUACACUAUGACGUCGCUUCCCUAAAGGUGAUUCAAUUAUUGACCUUUUAACUAAUGUUUUUUUUUUUUUUGGUUGAAAAUCUUUUAAUUGCACCUUUUUAUUAUUGUUGGCACGGUGAUUUUUUAACUCAACAAGGACUACAGUCAACCAUGCAACGAGGGGACAAUUUCUACGAUGAGAAACAUGCAUGCAUGCAUUGACUAUGGGAGUCUCUGGAGACAAUUAUUCAUUCCUACUGACACUAAGGACCCGACCUCCAUGAUUUGGCAAUUUGCUUUUGCAUUCAUAAUCUACAACACGGAAUUUAUGCUAAAGAGCUUAUUUGAAUUAUCAAUGUCCCUCUUUUCUUUGUGAUAGAAAACUUUCCAUGCGGAUGUUUUAUCGUGUUCAAAAGAAAUGUCAAUCUUUCAUAUCUACAUCAUGUUGCCAUGAAAGUCUUUACACAUUGCACUGCAAACGUAUCAGUACAUGCGUCAAUGCAGUUGAGAGUCGAUUCGGACACCAAUGAGAGUAAGUGCAGGCUAGGUUGAAGAUCUCCAUCAACCGGUGAAUGCAUCAAAUGCGGGAAAUGAUAACUCUAUAAAAAUAGAGUUAUUUUAUCUAUUUUAGGCAACAAUUAAUGCAAUAUCUAUGAGAAGAUAUUUGGAUUUCCUUCUGAUUAUUAGAAUUUUCCUUAUUUAUGCAGAAUAAUGAGAUAUGGAGAAAAUAAGAAAAAUAAUGCAAAUAUCAAGAAUUCAAAUAAAUAAAUAAAUAAAUAAAGCAAUUGAAGAUAAAUAUCAAAUCAGGAAAUUCUUGAUUUUAUUCCCUAAUGUUAUCUGCAAGCGUUGAGAGAUAGAUAGCUGGGAUUAUAUCUUUUGAAGAGGAGAACAUUAAGAGCCAAAGAGAAAGUAGCGAGUUAUAUAUCUUUUGUUUUUGAUCUUUCUGAGAAUUUUUCAAGUAUUUUGAAGAGAAAACAAAAGUGAUGACAUAAUUCUUGUUCUUUAAUUCAAGAUGCUGGGUUUGAUUUAUAUUUUUAUUUAUUCUUCUACUAUGUUCUAAUUUUCUUUUGUUAGGACUACGAUGUAGCCUAACCAUGAUGAUGUGAAAUUCAUGAUUUUUAUGUUUUACAAUUGAUUUCAUUUAUAUGAGUUAUAUAUUAUUGUGUUUAAUGUUUUUGAGUGACUAGCCAUCACUUGAAUGAUUUGAUGUGCAUGUUUGAGACUGAGAAGUGAAAAUAUACAAUUGCUCGUUAUAAUAUAUAACCAUAAAUUAAACAUGGAUAGAGAUAUACCGCGUUAUUUGUGUAGCUUUCGAUGAUAAGGUGAUCCAAAAGACACAUUGUAAGCCGAGAAUAUUCAUAGUUUUUAAUGCACUUAUGUUUAUUUUAAUUCACAUAGAGAUAUAGUAGAUUAAUAAUCUGAGUAGGUUUACUAUUGUUCUUGUAUCCAAAACAAUCUUAAAUUUAUAUCUAGUGGUUAUGGUGAAAUCGGAUGCUCUAACAUAUUUAUCUGAUCGAUUUAUUGCAUUUAGUCUACAAAUUUUGUUUUAAAUUUAUUAUUAAUUAUAUUUUGAUCUGUUAGAUAAAGUUUAGAAUUAGUCUAUUUUAGUAUUUAAUUGGUUUGUUAAUCAUCGAUCUCCAUGGGACGAUACUUUUUCUCAUCAUUAUAUUACUUGUUCGACACGUGCACUUACAUUUAGAAUUUUACGAACAAGUUUUUGGCACCGUUGCCGGGGAUCGUUUGUUUAAUACUAAUUAAUAUUGAUACCGGAUAAUUCUAAGUUUAAUCUAGUUUUUGUUUUGUUUUAUUAUUCAGGGUGUACAUCAGUUUAUGACACAUAGCCAACAGAGGAAACUUGUUGAGCUUGAUCCAAAAAUCGGGCGUACAUUCAAAAGGCGACUGAGAGAACAGAGAAAUCACGCUAAGAAGAUGGCAGACAGUGAGAAUGAAAAUCCACGUAAACUGUUAAGAGAUUAUGCCGCGCCAAUAGUUCAAGGUACCACAUCAAGUAUCAAAAGACCUGUAAUUCAAGCAAACAACUUUGAGAUCAAGCCGUUACGCAUUCAGAUGUUUCAACAAUCAGUGCAAUUUAGCGGGCUACCAAGCGAUGAUCCAAACACUCACAUCGAUGCUUUUCUUGAAAUCCGUGACACCAUUAAAUAUAAUGGAGUUACAAAUGAUGCUAUUAGAUUGAGAUUAUUUCCAUUCUCUCUUAGAGACAAAGCUAAGAGUUGGCUUUCUUCUCUUCCUGGAGGAUCAAUCACUACAUGGAAUGAUAUGGCUCAGAAAUUUCUUGGUAAGUUCUUUCCACCUGCAAAGUCUGUGAAGAUGCGUAACGAUAUUACUACUUUUAUGUAGAUGGAUAAUGAAUCAUUAUAUGAAGCAUGGGAAAGAUUCAAAGAAUUUCUUAGGGGAUGCCCACAUCACGGACUACCCAUAUUAAAGCAGGUAUAAACUUUUUAUAAUGGCUCUAGUACAAAUCUUCGUUCUAUGAUUGAUGCAGCUGCAGGAGGAACUCUAAAUAAUAAAACACCAGAAGAAGCCUACAAUUUAUUAGGGGAGAUGACAUCCAAUAGUUACCAGUGACCUACUGAGAGACUACCAAUACGAAAAGUUAGCAGAGUUCACGAAGUUGAUGCUUUUGCUACAAUUGUUGCACAAUUUGAAACACUCAACAAAAAGCUUGAUAAUAUGAGUGUUUCAGUCAUGAAAAUUCAGAAUUUGACAUGUGAUUUUUCUGGUGGAGGACAUGUUAGCAUAGAAUGUCAGGUAAAAUACUUUUAAAUAAUCUAAUGAAAAUUCUAACUUUGUUGGGAAUUUUAACAGGUCAUAGAAUAAUCCCUACUCCAAGUUCCAACACGUACAAUCCGGGAUGACACAAUCAUCCAAAUUUUUCAUGGAAUAAUCAGAAUGUGACGAGACCAUCGGGAUUCAAACAAUCAAAAAGAGACAAAGUCAAAUUUGGAAGAUAUAGUCACCAAACUUGCUUAUACGACUCAUGACUUCAUCAAAAGCACGGAUGUGAUAUUUCAAAAUCAAGAGGCGUCAAUCAGAAAUCUGGAAAUGCAAGCGGUCAGUUAGCAAGCAUAAUGUCAAGGAGACAACAAAGUUCUUUGCCGAGCAACACAGAGAAAAAUCCAAUUGAAAACAUAAAGGUUAUUACCCUGAGAAGUGGUAAACAAGUGGGAGAAGAAGAGAUUUGCAGAGACAAUGAAGAGGUGAUCAAUCAACAAUCAAAGGAGACAAGCAAGAGUAAACUUUUUCCAGAUAAUCCCAAGCCAUAUGUGCCGCCAAUUCCAUUCCCUCAGCGACUCCAACAGCACAAAAUAGAUAAGCAAUUUUCUAAACUUCUUAAUGUAUUUAAAAAAUUGCACAUUAACAUUCCUUUUGUAAAUGCCCUAGCGCAAAUGCCUAUGCAAAAUUUUUGAAGGAGAUUUUGGCAGACAAAAAAAAACUGGAGGGUUAUGAAACUGUGAAGUUAAAUGAGGAGUGUUCCUACAAAACAAAUUGCCUCCGAAAUUAAAAGAUCCAGGGAGUUUUACUAUUCCUUGCACUAUUGGGGAUUUGUACUUUGAAAAAGCAUUAUAUGAUUUAGGUGCAAGUAUUAAUUUGAUGUCUUAUUCAGUUUUUAAGAAAUUAGGGUUGGGUGAGGUAAAAGUAACCACAGUGUCACUUCAACUAGCUAAUCGAUCAAUAAAAUAUUCGAAAGGUAUUGUGGAAGAUGUUUUGGUAAAAGUUAACAAAUUUAUUUUUCCUAUAGAUUUCAUAGUUCUUGACAUGGAGGAAGAUUUUGAGGUACCACUCAUCUUAGGUCGACAUUUUCUAGCAACAGGAAGAGCUCUUAUUAAUGUACAACAAGGGAAGUUGAUUCUUAGAGUUCAAGAUGAUCUUGUUUCAUUUAAUGUUUUUAAAGCAAUGAAAUAUCCAUCUGAUGAUAAUUCUUGUUUUAGAGUUGAGAUAAUUGACAAGUUGGUGAAUAAAUUUUUUCAGGAAAAUAUUUUUAAAGAUUCACUUAAAGCAUGUCUGAUUCGACCAAGGGACAAAGAUAUUCAGAAUGAGGAGAUAAAGGAGUACGCAAAUUUCAUGGAGGCAAUUCCACCAUAUUCAAGGCAAAAGGCAAUUAAACUUUAGAAGUUGGGACAACACAUAACAAAGUCUAAACCAUCAACUGAAGAGCCUACAAUUCUUGAACUCAAACCCUUACAAUCUCAUUUGAAAUAUGCUUAUUUAGAUAGAGUUUCUUCUUUACUGGUAAUUAUAUAUUCUUCUUUAACAGAUUUGAUGGAGAAGAAAUUGCUCAGAGUAUUAAGAGAGCAUAAAGGUGCAAUUAGAUGGAAAAUAGUUGAUAUCAAGAGAGUUAAUCAUUCUAUUUGCAUGCACAAAAUUUUGAUGGAUGAGCAAUAUAAACCCACUAUCCAACCUCAAAGGCGUUUGAACCCGAAGAUGCAAGAAGUAGUGAAAGCUGAGGUAAUUAAGCUACUUAAUGCAGGUAUCAUCUAUCCUAUCUCUAAUAGUUCUUGGGUAAGUCCUGUACAAGUUGUGCCAAAAAAAGGUGGUAUGACUGUUCAGAAAAACGACAAGAAUGAACUGAUUCCAACUAGAACAGUUACUGGGUGAGUGUGUGUAUGGAUUAUAGAAAAUUGAAUGAUGCCACUGGAAAAGAUCACUUUCCUUUACCAUUUAUUGAUCACAUGUUAGAAAGACUUGCAGGGCAUAAGUUUUAUUGCUUUCUUGAUGAAUAUUCGGGGUAUAAUCAGAUUCCUAUUGCACUAGAAAAUCAAGAGAAAACUACUUUCACUUGUCCCUAUAGUACUUUUGCUUUUAGAAGAAUGCCGUUUGGUCUUUGUAAUGCACCAGCUACUUUUCAGAGAUGCAUGAUGGCUAUUUUUUCUAAUAUGGUUGAAAAAUAUAUUGAUAUUUUCAUGGAUGAUUUUUCCGUUUUUGACUUAUCAUUUGAUUCUUAUUUAAAUAAUUUGGCUUUGGUCUUACAAAGAUGUGAAGAGACUAACCUUGUUUUGAAUUGGGAGAAGUAUUACUUUAUGGUGCAGAAAGGAAUAGUGCUUGGGCAUAAAAUUUCUCAAAACGGAAUAGAAGUUGAUCGAGCCAAAGUGGAAGUCAUUGCGAAAUUGCUUCUGCCAACAUCUGUGAAACUUGUCAAAGGAUUUUUGGGGCAUGCAAGAUUUUAUAGACGGUUUAUAAAAGAUUUUUCAAAAAUUGCUAAACAUUUUUUCUAAUCUUUUGGAAAAAGAUACUCCUUUUAAUUUUUCUGUUGAAUGUAUGCAAGCUUUUAACACUUUAAAGAAGUUAAUUUCAGCACCAAUUAUGGCAGCACCAAAUUGGGAUUUACCCUUUGAACUGAUGUGUGAUGCUAGCGAUUCUGCAGUAGGAGCUGUUUUGGGACAAAGGAAGAAUAAAAUUUUUCAAACCAUAUACUAUGUCAAUCGAACUUUGUCAGGUACAUAGUUGAAUUAUUCAACAACAGAAAAGGAACUUCUGGUGGUAGUUUUUGCUUUUGAUAAAUUUCGUUCUUAUUUAAUUGGCUCAGUUAUAGUUUAUUAUGACUACUCUACUCUUAAGUAUUUGCUUGAAAAGAAAAAAUCAAAACCUAGAUUGAUCAGGUGGAUUCUAUUGCUGCAAGAAUUUGAUUUGAAAAUCAAAGAUAAGAAGGGGACUGAAAAUUUAAUUGCAGACCACUUAUCAAGAAUUCCAAAUUCAAAGGAAGAGAUAAGACCAAUUUUGGAAGAAUUCUCCGAUGAUAAAAAAUUUUCCAUCAAGUCCACAAAAAUUCUUUGGUAUGCUGACUUUGUAAAUUAUUUAGUACGUAAUGUUCUUCCUCCUAAAUUAUCAUAUCAAUAUAAGAAAAAUUCUUUUCUGAUGUUAAAAAUUAUUUUUGGGAAGAACUUUUCUUGUUUAAAGUAUGUGCAGACCAAAUCAUAAGGAGAUGUGUUCCAAAUGAAAAGAAGGCAAACAUUCUACAUCAUUGUCAUAAUGGAGAGGUAGGUGGCCAUUUUGGUGCAACCAAAAUUGCAGCUAAGAUUUUACAAUCUAAAUUUUAUUGGCCUGCACUUUUUAAAUAUGCAUACUCCUAUGUAGUUUCAUGUGAUAGGUGUCAGAGAACUGAAAAUAUUUCAAGAAAAAAUGAGAUGUCUUUAAACAACAUUAUUGUGUGUGAAUUAUUUGAUGUUUGGAGUAUUGAUUUCAUGGGACCCUUUACACCUUCUUAUGGAAAUUUAUACAUUUUAGUGGCUGUGGAGUAUGUGUCUAAGUGGGUAGAAACUGUAACAUUGCCAACUAAUAAUGCUAAGGUUGUGUUUAAAUUUUUGAAGAAAAAUAUUUUUACCCGAUUCGGCAUUCUAAGACAAUCAUAAGUGAUAGGGGGACACAUUUUUACAACAAACAGUUUGAAGCACUUUUAAGUAAGUAUGGAGUCACACAUAAGGUUGCAACCCCUUAUCAUCCUCAGAGUAGUGGUCAAGUAGAGAUUUCAAAUAGGGAAAUCAAGAGAAUUUUAGAAAAAACGAUGAAUGCUUCUAAGAAAGAUUGGUUAAUAAAACUUGAUGAUGCACUUUUGGCCAAUAGGAUAGCGUUCAAAACUCCAAUUGGAAUGUCUUCUUUUAGACUAGUGUUUGGGAAGGCUUGUCACUUACUAGUGGAAUUAGAGCAUAAAGAAUAUUGGGCAUUGAAAUUUUUGAAUUUUGAUAUGUAGUCUGCAGGUGAAGAAAGAUUAUUGCAACCUAAUGAAUUGGAGGAAUAAUCGAGAGUUUAAUUAUCAAGACAAAAGAUUAACUUUUCUUUAUUUUAUCCAGGUUAAUUUUUUAGGGGGCACAUUUCAAGAGUUUAAUCAUCAAGGUCAUCUAUGAACUUCUCCUACAAUCAGGAGAGUUUUCUUCAUCCUAUUUUUAUAUUUUGCAUUGAGGACACUGCUUCAUUCAACUUUAGGGGGGGAGACAAAUUUUUUUGAUAAUUUUUUUUAUCAUGAUUGCAUUCCUAGUUGUGAAUUUUUGCGAUUCUUAGGGAAAUUUAAAUUUUAUUUAAACUUGCAAUUGGUGUGUGAGUUAAUCUUAAUUCUAAUUAUGUUGAUCCACUUAAUGAGCACUAAAAGUCCUUAAUUUUUUAAUUGUGUGUAAAUUUAGAGAACAUUCAUGUGAAGUAUGUGAUUUUCUUGGAUUUUACCAAAAUCUUAGAAUUUGUUUGACUUUCUCUUGAGGCGAAAUCCUAAGCUAAAUCUAAUUGAGAAAAUGAUUUAGGCAAUUUUUGGAUCGAUUGAGCCUUUUAAGCUAACCUUAUUUAUUUAUCCCUAGUCACCCCGUUGAGCCUUAAUUAUUACCCAAUUUUUCAUUGGCACCCAUAUAUGUUUAGCUUAGCCGUUACCAAAUUAUAUCAUUGUCCCAUGCCCUAUGAACAUGUUGAUUUUCUUUUGGGAUUAAAAAAAAAACAAACUGUUUGAGCUUAAUAGAAAUUUAGGAGGAAUGAUGGAGUAUGAAAAAAAAAACAAAAAAAAAAUGAUUGCUAUGGUUGUUUGGGAUGUAUUAUUAAAAAAAAAAAUUGCUAUUAUGGUUCCCUAUCCAACUUUCAGUUGAGUGAGCCUUUUGGAUGUUCAAUGAGUUGGAAAUUUUCAUGUUAUAUUAGGAGGGAUUUUGGGAGAAACUCCACCAUAAAAAAAAAAAGAAUGAUGAUAUAUGGUGGCAGAAAAAUUAUUUUGAAUGAGUGAAAUUGGACAGUGACAUUGGCUCUAAUUAGAUCCUAGAAAUCAACAUAUUGAUGGGUGAUUUGAGCUUAAAAUUACCGUUAUCUCACCUUUAGCCCAGCCUUACAUUACAAAUCAAGAAAAGUCCUGUUGAUUUUUUGUUGAAGAAUUAGCCUACAUUAGUGGAGAGAGGAAUGAAAAAGCAAACUUAUGAGAUUUGGUCAUAAUUAUUGAGAAUUUUUUAGAGGUUGCAUGUCAAUGUUAAUUUGAAAAAAAUGAGGACUCUCACACACACACUUGGAUCACAUAGUUAGAAUUUGUCUUAACUUAUAAAUCAAUUUCCAUGUUUGGAUGAAAUUUAUGUUUUUCUUUGAAUUGUGAAUUUGAGCAAUUAUGGAAAGAUGUCAUGGAGGAGGUUGUUAGCUUGAGUAUGUGUUAUGUCUUAAUUUUGCUUGAGGGCGAGUAAAAUGUUAAGUUUGGGGGUUUGAUAAACCUAGUUAUUUUAUCUAUUUUAGGCAAUAAUUAAUGCAAUAUCUAUGAGAAAAUAUUUGGAUUUCCUUAUGAUUAUUCGAAUUUUCCUUAUUUAUGCAGAAUAAUGAGAUAUGGAGAAGAUAAGGAAAAGAAUGGCAAAUAUUAGGAAUUCCAAUUAAAAAAAACAGUGGAAGAUGAAUAUCAAAUCAGAAAAUUCUUGAUUUUGUUCCCUAAUAUUAUCUGCAAGUAUUGGAAGAUAGAUAUCUAGGAUUAUAUCUUUUGAAGAGGAGAAUAUUAAGAGCCAAAGAGAAAGCAACGGGGUUUUUGUUAAAUUGUUUUUGAUCAUUCUGAGAGUUUUUCAAGUAUUUUGAAGAGAAGACAAAAGUGAUGAUAGAAUUCUUGUUCUUUAAUUCAAAAUGCUCGGUUUGAUUUAUAUUCUUAUUUAUUCUUCUACUAUGUUCUAAUUUUCUUUUGUUAGGGCUAUGAUGUAGCCUAACCAUGAUGAUGUGAAUUUCAUGAUUUUUAUGUUUUACAAUUGAUUUCAUUCAUGUGAGUUAUAUAUUAUUGUGAUUAAUGCUUUUGAGUGACUUGAAUGAUCUGAUGUACACGUUUGAGACUGAGAAGUGAUAAUAUGCAAUUGUUCAUUGUAAUAUAUAACCAUGGAUUAAACGUGAAUAGAAAUAUACCGCGUUAUUUGUGUAGCUUUCGGUGAUAAGGUGAUCCAAAAGACUCAUUGUAAGCCGGGAAUAUUCAUAAUUUUUUAUGCACUUAUAUUUAUUUUAAUUCACAUAGAGAUAUAUUAGAUUAAUAAUCUAAGUAUGUUUGCUAAUAAUAAAUUGAUUAGGAAAUUCUGCUAUCACAUGUUUGAUAUCGUUCUUGUAUCCAAAACAAUUUGAAAUUCAUAUCUAGUGGUUGUGGUGAAAUUGGAUGCUCUAACAUAUUUAUCUGAUCAAUUUACUGCAUUUAGUCUACAAAUUUCGUUUUUAAUUUAUUCUUAAUUAUAUUUUGAUCUGUUAGAUAAAAUUUAGAAUUAGUCUAUUUUAGUAUUUAGUUGGUUUAUUAAUGAUCGAUCUCUAUGGGACGAUAUUUUUUCUGAUCAUUAUAUUACUUGUUCGACAUGUGCACUUACGUUUAGAAUUUUACAAACAAAAAAAUUAUCAUAUUAGGUAGAUAGAAUAUGAUUUUUGGCAUAUAAAUAAUAUGAGUCGAAACAUACACUAUGACCCAUCUUAAAUUUUGAGACCCAUGUUCUCCCUUUAGUCUAAUCACUGAAACCCAUGACCCACACGUAUUUAAAUUCUCUAUCCCUUUGUUUUCCAAUUCAAUUUACAUGUUUCUGAUCUUGAUAUUUUCUAACUUUAUUUUGAUCUUAAAUGCACAUGCCAUUUUCUAAUGAGAGGAACACAGAUUAAAAGACGAUGUGAAUAGAUGAGAUCCGCCACUUAUUUUGAAAAAAAAAAAACUAUUUUUAUGUUUUGUCAAUUUCCUGACAUUACACAUUUCCAAUCUCUAAACCUUCCAAUGUCCUAUAAAAAAAGUCUAAACCAUUCAAUGCUUUUCCAUAGCGAUAUUGGUUGUUAGUAUUCAUUUGAAAGCCUACCCCUUUCUUGAGUCAAGGAAAAAUUACCUCUAUUGCUUGCCACCUAUUUUAUCUUAAACUAAAGUUUAAGUUCAUUUUUUUCAUAGUGACACAAUUAUUAAACUGACGAUAGUUAUAAAAUUGACAAAAUUUUUUUUCCAAAUAUCACUAUUUAAAUAAAUUUUCACUAACAAUUACAUCUAUAGUCAUAAAUCAAACCUAAACCUAAGUCAUUUAAGAAAUAUAGAUAGAUGGAAAAAUAAAUCAUCUUACCUUAUAGUAAUGGCCCACUCAUUGAACGCGAUCUGACUUGCAUUCUCUGACCCACCGAAGUUGCAAAAGCUAACCAACAGUCAAUGUCAACUCAGUAUCGACUUCACUUACUUCCCAAAAUUCAGUCCUUGCGUUGCAUAAAAACAAACCAUUUUUAUGGCAGAGUAGAGAGAGAGAGAGAGAGAGAGAGAGAGAGAGAGAGAGAGAGAGAAGGAAUGGCGUGACAUUGAACUAUCAGAUUCUAUUUAUUAAUUUGAUGAGAAAGUAAAAAAGUAACUAACAGAAGUAAUGGUCCACCGAGAUACAGGUAUUUGUCGGAUUCUACUUAAAGCACCCCUUAUUUUUUGUUCUUUUUCGGUUUGUUAUUUAGGAUACAAGAUUUGGUUUCCAGUUUCGGUGGAGGUCUGCCGGUUUAGAAAUCAGGAUUUACGAAGUUGCAACAGAUCUGUUGUUUUGCUUUGCUGGGUUGUAGUUGCAAUAGCAGCAGCAAAUCACCCACCUUUGAUGUGGACACUUCAAUUUUCGUUGUGGGAUGUUAAGUGUCAACUUCGUCCAUAUUCACUCAGCCCCCACCUCUCAUAUCUCAGGCGGAGAAGACUAACCCAUUAAGCUUUCGGUUUCAGUUUCAAAUUGUUUGAUUCUUUUGACAUUAACCUGGUCGUUACCAUUGACUCAUAAUAUAGAACCAUUGAUGGAAUGGAAGUAGUCUGCUGAUGAGGUAGUAAUCCAACAUUUGUAAGAAACAGUGACUGGACAUGCAAGUUUCUCCAGAUAAAUUUUGCGGGUAGACAUACAAGUUUCUCUUUCAUCAUUUCUCAAAGAUGGGAAAGAUCAAAUUGGCCGACCAUCAUCCACACUAAAGACAAAAAAAUGGCAUCUGCUAAGUGAAAUUCUUGAGUAGCAACAUAUAACAAGUCAAGCUCGUGAACAAACACAUCCAGAGCAAGAAGGUGCCACUCCACACAUCUCGCCAUUCAAACAAAUGAAAAGCUUCCGUAAUAGAUUCCCUCCCUUGCAGUGGCCACCAUCCACAUCAUUAUUGUGUGAAAAGGAAAAAGUUGCAACAUUUACAAAGGGGAAAGAGACAGCACGAAUACAAACACCAAACCACAAGCCAUUGUCUUUAGGCUUUCCCCACUAAUUAAUUCACAAUACCCAAUUACCGCACUGCAUAACACUCGUUGUUUUGUUUAUAUUACCUAUACCUUCAGUUCCACAUGUGAGCGAAAGAGAAACUUCGAAGCAACAUUUAAGAAUUCUGCUGCAAGGAUUACCCAAUGAAGCCCUAGUUCUUUCAAGAACUAAUUUACUUAGAACACAACAAACCAUUUCUUACUCUCUCUUGUGCCAGUAAUCAGUAUCCAGAAGUACUGGCUAGAGAUCAUUACCAGAUGCAGACGAAGCGGUUCCAGUCAAUGGCCCUUCAAUAGACAUACUCUUGGUGAUAUUCUCACCAACUGUCUGAUGUUCGUCACCUCUAAAAUGCUUCCUCAUGGCCUCAAUUUUCUCCUUAGUCAUGAUAGCGCCCGCAGAGUCCAGCACUGGAACAGCAACCUUGCCUUCAAGCAUGCUAACCACAGAUGACAUUGGCGGCCUUAGUGCUGGAGUCACAUAAGUACACAUCAGAGCUAUCUUUAUCAAUGCCAACACUUCCUCUUUGUCAAAGUGAGAACCAAGCCUCGGAUCAACUAGUUCUAUCAAAUUUCCUCUUUCCUUCAGAAAGUGUGCCUAGAUACAGAAAUGUAAAGUGAAGAUAUUUCCCUUUCAAGCUUCAGGUAUUGAUCAGUUGCAAAAUAUGCUCUAAAUACUGAAACAGGAAGAAGUAUAUUAUCUCCCUUGAUAAUUACGUGGCAAAUGCAGUUGAUAAGCACCUGCUAGAUUUAGGGUAUAAAUGGAUAAAAAGAAUCGAAUGAGUCAAUACAGAUCAAACAUGAUUUUUUUUACCGAUUUUAAAGAAAAGGUAGUAGACUCCAAAAUCACUUACUAAUGGUUAACCGGUUGCCAAGAAAUCACCUACACCGCUUUAAAAUCACUAGCUAUUGUCGAGUUUUAUCAGCACGAAUUAUUUGUCAGUGUCAUUACAUGAAACGGUAGACUCGUCUUUCAGAGUUCUUGAUUAUGCAACUCAGGCGACAAUCAGAUUUAACAAGGACUAAUAAUAUGAUUGUUUGCUCUAAUGAUUGCUCACUCAAAGCAAAACAAAAUCUAACUUAGGGAGUCAAUUAUAUGAAUGUGAAAAAAGUUAUACCUCAAUCGAAAGUAUAUGGAUAUUCUGGUUAAGACAUGGUCUUGAAAACUUUUUAAUUUAACAGUAAUUGCCAAAAUAAAAUAGUAGUCGAAGGACUUGUUUGGUGCCAAUGAAACUACAGGGAGUAUGAAUGUCAAGCAUAAAAACAUAAAGACUAAAACUGAACUUUCGAGAUCCACCCUAAAUUAUGGGGUCAACUUCCCCAAAUAUCAAGGAAUAGAAUUUCUUCGUUCAAAAAAAAAAAAUACAUGAAAAUUCAGAGUAGACCAACAUGAUAAGAAGAGUCGGAUUAAUUUGAAAUAAAAAAUUGCACUUAACAGCAUGACAAUUCGAUAAGCAAAUUUCAAUAGCUGUUAACUGUGAAACUCCUUUGCAACCAUUGAAAGUGCAUGUGAGGAUUUAAAUACAAAUAUGAUCAUAAUUGAAAUGAUAGAGUUGAUUACCCAAUCGAGUAGAAUAAAGCAUUCCUCAGUUUUUUGGGAGCUAGUGUUGCUCCGGCCACUAACAACUUCUAAGGCAACAAUGCCAAAACUAUAGAUGCCGGCUUUGUCAGUGAGGUAACCAUGCAUUGCGUACUCCGGUGCCAUAUAUCCACUGCACAACAAGAAAAGAGCUUGUGUUUGCAACAAGGUAACUGCCUUAAAUAGCACAUACUUAAUAUUCCUAAAAUUCAAAAGAAAGAGUCAUUCCUAAAUGUGACGCUAUGGUCUAAAGAGUAGAGGAAAAAAACAAAUGCAUCCUAAUAUAUUCUAAUAUCAUUUACCGAGAAUAUUUCAGGAAAAAAAAAGGACCAUUGUUGUUCUUUGUAAUUUUUCUUUUGGUUUGAAAUAUAAGUAUCAUUUAUAAGAUGACCUACAUGAGCUUAAGGGCAUUUCCCAGCAUUACACAGAUAUCUAAGAACGUGCAAAAAUGGAGUGAGGGAAUCUCCAUAUAGUACCCAAUAUUAAAUUUAUUUGGGAAGGGCUAAAGUUUUUGUAAAGUGAAGCUCGCCUUGUAACAAGUUUACGAAUUUUAGCCACGAUAAUGGGGACAUCAUUUGACUUGUUUUGGAAAUGUCUAUAGUUACGUUUAUAGUUCUUUUUGUUGAAUUAACGUUAGAGUUAGUAGAAUGAACUUACAAUUUUAUCUUUCCCCUAAUUAAUCACGUUCCUUUCACAAACAAGUUGACUUUUCACACGCAUUAAUGCAAACUUCUAAAACAUGUGAACAUGCUUAUCUAUGUUUCUCCAUGUGCAUACAAUAGAAACAUGGGCGAAUUUGCUAUAAUACUAAGUUAUAUUCAAAUUAACAAUUACAUAAGUCAAUACCAGAGUAUCAUUACUUAAUGGUAGAGUAUGACACAAUUUACAUUUUUUUCCUAAUUAAUGUGAAGAGUGCUGGGACAGUCAUAAAGCUUUGUGGUUAAGCCGAAUUUGUUGAGCAACAUGCUUUGGGAUGAUGUGAAUCCACCACAAAGCUUCAUUCAACUCACUUUUCUUAAAUCAGAAUAUAUGUUUCUAUUCCAUGCUUUUAUGUUGUCACUGGCUCCUACUUAGGUUAACAGGAACAAAAAGCAAGAAACUUACUAAGUUCUAGCAAUCUUGGUGCUAAUAUGUGUUUUGUCCUCCUCAUCAAGCUUUGCUAAACCAAAAUCUGAUAUUUUAGGGUUGAGAUCCUUAUCCAGUAAAACAUUAGUAGCCUUAAUGUCUCUAUGCACAAUCUUCAGCCUUGACUCUUCAUGAAGAUAUGACAAUCCCCUGGCAAUACCCACGCAUAUCUUGUGUCUUGUCCACCAAUCCAACUUUAACUGAAAUUCUUCAGGACCUUCAAUUGUAUCAAAAGACAUCAAAGCUGCUUUACUGCCAUGUCAUUAACUGAAGUCAAUGAAGCACAAUGUGAUAUCAAAUUACCAAAUAAAGCGCGAGCAAGACUGUUAUUUUCCAAGUACUCAUAAACCAGCAAAAGUUGAUUUCCUUCAAUGCAGCAUCCAUAGAGUUUCACAAGAUGUGGAUGCUGAAGAGCAGAAAUCAUCCCAAUCUCAGUCAGGAACUCAUUAUUUCCUUGUUGUGAUUUGGAUGAAAGCUGCUUCACUGCUAUAGUGGUGCCAUCUGACAGAAAACCCUGCAAUUCAACUUUAGCAUCAGAUCUAUGUUGUGAAAAUUGAGUUACAUUGAAUGCUGCUUUCUACAUAUCUUCUCUCUUGGGAAUAAGGGGAAUUUGGUUAGCCAAUUUUCCAGCAUACCUUGUAGACAGAACCAAAACCACCUUCUCCUAUCUUAUUGGCAGGGUCAAAAUUGUUUGUGGCAGCUUUAAUCUGUCGCAAGGUAAAUAAACCAAUUUGCAACGCUAGAUACUUCAAAUCUGCAACACGUUUUGGAACUUCUAUGAAUUUGGAAAAGUCAACAGUUAAAGUAUGUAAUCCACUAUCUAAAAAGACGUAUCAAUUCCUUCUCAAUAUUCCAGAAAACCUUUUUGUGACGUUUUGGUCUGAGCAAGUUCAGUACAGAAUAGCUUAGCAUCUUGAAAAUUAUUUUCUAGGAAAGUCUGGCAUCAGUUGGCAGUAUGUAUUUAUGAAAAGUAAAAUGAGAUUGUCCCGAGGGUAUUUAAUAGUGAAGGAAAAUAAAAAUCAUACAGAGAACCCCCUUGGAAACGUAGGGUAUGGUUUGUAUGUUUUAAUUUCUCAUGCACGUGAAGUUCUGGCAGAUAUUUUUGGUGUCUUGAAACAUAGACUUUGUGUGUAUACACACACACACAUCUGAGAAACAAUCUACCGUCUCUCCCUAUAACUAUCUAUUCCUUUAUUUUUCGGAUUUCUAAAUAAAAAUAUUAGUUCAUUAAGCAAACCAAAUGGUUCUACGACACUUUAGCUGUAUAUCGCCUAAUAAUAAUCUUUGGCUUUUUGCGUCGAAUCAAAUUCCCUAUGGAAUGCACAAUGUCAAGAAGGAGGAGGAGGAGGAGGAGGAAGUAUCAUGUGAAGAAGAAGAAGAAGAAGAAGAAGAAGAAGAAGAAGAAGAAGAAGAAGAAGAAGUAUCAUGUGAAGAAGGAGAAGAAGAAAAAGGAGGAGGAGAAGAAGGAGGAGAAGGAGGAAGAGGAGAAGGAGAAGGAGAAGGAGAAGCAGAAGAAGAAGAAGAAGAAGAAGAAGAAGAAGAAGAAGUAUCAUGUGCCAACAGUUUGAAGAAGAAGAGGAGGAGGAGGAGGAUGAGGAGAAGAAGAAGUAUCAUGUGAAGAAGAAGGAGGAGGAGGAGGAGGAGGAGGAGGAGGAGAAGAAGAAGAAGAAGAAGAAGUAUCAUGUGCCAACAGUUUGAAGAAGAAGAGGAGGAGGAGGAGGAGGAGGAGGAAGAGGAGGAGGAGGAUGUGCCAACAGUUUGACAGGACAACUGUGCGAUUUAGAGGAAAUAUAAAUGAAGAAUAGUCCAGGUAAGCAACUACCUUGUGCCAUUUUAUCUUUACAUCCGAGGCAUCCUCUCCACCAAAGGAUAACCAGGAUAAGGAAAACUACAAAAACUAUAGCAGCCAGAAUCCCAGCCACUGUGCCAGCAGAUAUGCUGGCCGGGGGAUCAAAGUCUGCAAUGAAGAAAGAACAAACAAAUAUUUAACCAAAACUGUUCAGUUAAAUGGGGUAGACGUAAAUGCAGAAAAAUAUCUGUAGCUUCUCAUUGAACACAGAGAAAUUGAUGGACAACACAAUAAUCGAGAAUCAAGAGGGCAUAAAACCGCCCAGAGUACUCCACAGAAACUAUCAGAUAAAUGAGCACCAGAAGAUAUCAACUAUGGAACAUGUAAUACAAAAUACAAAGGGAAAAAAAAAUCUACUCUUCAUUCUCAAGGCUGUACUGUAUGAUACAGGCACCAUGGUCGUAAUCCAUAGCGGAAAAGUGAACAAGGCUAUCAUUUCAUAGUCGAAUGGAAGGAUUGAAGAUACAUAGAGAAAACACGCUCAGAUGGAAAGAACACAAAGCAACCUAUAACCAAUUUUCGACUCUAAGAGAAUAAUAAUAGACCCCAGUCAGCUAUUAUGCGUAAUUGACUUGAUCUAUAGUGACAUAUGCCAAUGGCCUGAAUCCAACAGUAGGCAUUUGCAACCAAGCCAAGUAACUGAAUAGCCUAUUGAUGACUUCUGGUGCAAGAACAAAUAUGGGUAUUCUUUUCAACAUGAAUAUGAGUAACUUUCUCAACAGAGAAGCACCAAGUGAAACAUGGAAGCAUCCAUCCGCGUACCAGAGUAGACAGAGAUAGCAGAUAUAAGAGGACCAUAGACUCCAUCCUCAGGUAUACCAGUGCUUCCUUUCCCAGCCCAAUAGAAGCGUAUCUCCAGAGUGCCCUUGGUCACAUCGGCAGUAAAAUUUCUCAUGACCUCCUUUCCAACUCCACCUGCUUCAAUCUCAAUGUUGAAAUCUUUCCACACCAAUUUCCCCUGAAAUAAUAUUUCAUCUAAUUCAAGUUGAGUGUCUCCACACUGAACAAGGUAAAAAUUUUAGUCUCCAUAAAAUGUACAAAUUGUGAGAAAAUCACGAUUUGCAAGUACAAGAUACUUGGAUAAACUUCCCAACCAUAACAUAUUGAACGCUUUAUGUGCUUUAUAUAUUAGAAUCAGCACUCCAUAAUGCUCCGAGUUUACCUGUAUAUAAAUAUUAAAAUCUCUCUUUCCAAGGCUUUGAUAACUUUUGUCGCCUGUGAACAUUAUCUCCGCAAAAUGAAGAAUUACAUUGUAGGGCCCAUCCAUCAGACAAAAACCGUAAUAAGUUAGAGAGAUAGCAGAACGUCGUGCUUUUUUGUAAAGUUGGGCAUCAUUCAUGGACAGUGUGGAUGUGUUUUUAACUACAUAGCUAAAUGCAGUGCUACAGUAAUCGGUGAAGUAACCAGUGCUACUGUAGGCCCAGUAAUCACUCCUGAAGAAACUUGAAGGUGUAGCCUCCUCUGAGUCAGCUUCGUAUGUGGUGCCCUUUACUUUUGCUUUGCUCCCACCGCAAUUUAUGAAGAGGUUAUACUGAGCUGGAUGGAGAAAAGAAGCAGCCACAGAGAAAAUUCAGUUUCUUCUAUUUGUUAAUAUGGAGUGGACUUUCCAGACACUAAAUAAGCUAGCAUUCACUCAUUGGAAAAUUACAUAGAAACUCCCAAGUUAUGAGCAACCCAUUAUUUCAUGCAGGUAGCUUUUGAAAUUAUUAGGGUAAUUAUGCAUCAGCCAUCAAAGAUCGACACAAUAGCCAAGAGGAGAGUUGACAAGGAGACAAAUUUGAUGAGAAAUUACACAGAGAGUAACAUGCAAUAUUAGAAUCUGAUGAUAAUGAUAGGAUAUGUCAGAAUAAUUUAAAUAUAAAAUCAUGUAGUCAUCUAACAGUUUAAGCUUUUAAAACAGUUGGCUGUUAUCUUAUAAAAUUUCAUAUGGUAUCAGAGAUGGAUUUCAUGAGUUCAAAUCUUUCGAAGCCUCGUUUGCCUCCCUAAUUAAAUAUGUCCACACUUCAUCUAAUAGUCUAAACAUUUAGAACAGUUAGCUGUGGUCCCACAAAAUUUCAUAAGAUAUAUAGCACGUCAAUUUACUUUUUAUACAACAAUGACUCUGCAGCAUAUUAACUUACUUUUUGCACAACGUUGACUCUGCAAACAUGAGACAAGUCCACUUGUGGCAGAACAUGAGGUUCUGAGCAAGUCAGCAAAGAUUUUACUGUUAUAAUCAUCAUCAUUCUUAAUGAAGUUCGAUGCUAAGCACAUAAACAAUAAAAAUGCGGGUCCUUGGAAAUCCAAGUCUCUCGUUGAAAAGUUAAUCGCAAACAUACGCAUUCUCAACCUCGGAGCUUGCGAACAAGUUGCUGUAGAGAAAAGACAAAAUCAACAUUCAGCAGAGAAAUGGAAAUAUUAUACACAAUCAGUAUAUAAGUUACACAAUAAGUGCACAUUUGGGGGGAGCCCUGGACUGACUGAAGGAAGUAGGACAUACACAUAUCCUUCUUGACAUUCUGAGCCUCGAGCAGUGAAGUUGUUGUAUGACAAAUCACUACACAGAGAAACAGUCAACCAUUUCCAAAAUCUCAUCAAUUUGAAGAAUACACUGAAAGUCAUUCCAUCAAAUGAUUUUUUUUUUUAAUAAUUCCAUUAAAUGAUUAGUAUGUACAUAAAUGCAGAUAAGUUGCAAAAUGUGUACAGGUAAGGCAAGAUAAAAGGCGAAAACAUCACAAGAUGAUGAAAUUGAUAUUUUAUUCCUACUGAAAAUAUUUUAUCUUAGAAUAUGAAAAGGAGAAAGACUAAGUGAAGUAAACGGAGACUUUAAAACUAUUUAUAGUGUAUAAAAACAUUUUUACUCAGUAACAGUACCACAGUCAUGAUGUCUAAGGCAAAGAGGCUUUAAUAGAACUGUGAUUCCACCUACUAGUACGUCGCAUCUUGUAAUAAGAAAUUAUCCAGACCACAUUUAUCUGUUUAAACUACCUCACAAGAGCUUCAGCCCAAGCAACUAAUCAUAUACUUCAGGUGAUACGUUAGACAAACUUUCAAAGAGGAUUAAUAGGAGGUAAAAAUUUUCUAAACAUAACUUUAAUCAUUCCAAUAAGUCUGAAAAUGAUCUACAGCUGGGAAUGGCUUUUUGUAUAAGUCUGAAAAUUCACUUUAUAUUCAUGCAUAUCAUACAGUUCAGCCUCUUUUGUUACAUACAUCCAUCCAAUUAACAGAUCCCAACGAGGAGAAAGGUACUUAUAAUGUUUCCAUUUAUCUCCAAAGGCUACUAACCAUAAACAUGCAAUAUGUGAAUGCAUAAUUGCUUGGUACAGAGCAAGAUUAGCCAGAUAAAGCUAGAAGCAAAUUCAUGAUUAAACAAGAUAUUUUCUUCAGGCAGUGAAGCUUACACAUUUUUUCCUUUCUCCAGGAUCCAAUCAGGGACUGCUCCAGUCAACUGGUUUCCAGUUAGAUACCUAAACAAGAUUAUUUGAAUGAGUCAGCUCCUCAUGUACUUUAUACACUCUAACUGAAAAUUAUUUAAGACUUAUACCUCAAAAACGCAUUAUUUAGCAGAUUAUUAGCAUUUGUUUAUUAGCAGUGUAGAAAAAAAUCAGUUUAAGUCAUGAUAACAAUAUAGAGCUUUCAGCUGGAGAUGAAAGAUUAAGGAAAUCAAUGACAGAGGAAAACCCUGAUCCCUGCGAAACUUGGAGCGCCUGGAGAAAGAUUACCAUAACAGUAGUUCACAAAGCUGGACUAGUGAAGGGUACCUCCAAAUUAGCUUAUCAACUAUUUCCUCGUGAUAAUGUUUUUGUCCUUCUAAGACAUAAAAUAAAUAAUUAAGGAAGAUGUGCCAUUGUCAAGCUUCAAUCGUUGGGCAGAAAGAUGAAAACCAAUGUUAAACAGUCCAAGAAGCUUAGGACUAUAGUUUCUAAUAAUUCUCAAAACUAGGGUUAAGAUACCAAGGUCCUCCACAGACCUUCCAAAUAGCACUUAAGAGCUGCACUCACCAAACUUCUAGAGCCAUUGUUGUGGAAAGAACCAAGUAGAGAGCCUAAGGACUUUUGCUAUAUUUAAUCUCCUAUACAUCAUAAAAUAGGCACACAAGAUGUGCAUUGAGUACAGAAACAUACAACUGUCAAAUGCUAAAGUACCACUGAUCCAUUUAACUCUUCCAGCGUAAACAAGUAACUUUUUGAAACUUGUGAAUCAGGCAAAGAAAUGAUCAAAAGGGCUGCUCCUUAAGCGACAGAAUAUCAACAAUCUACGCCUGCUCCAUGACUAAAGUCCCACCAAAAUAAUUACUUGACAAUAAUCAUAAAUUCUUAACUCAAUUCAUUACAAAAUUUGGAUGGUGAAGUAAUAAGCAUUCACGACCUGAGGACUUUGAGAGUUAAAAAAUGAAUAUGUUAUCAUGGUCUAAGUUCUAUUGAUAGCUCAACUACUUUAUGGUAAAAGUUGCCUGUAGCUUGACCACUAGAAAACUUGAGACUUUAGAUUCUUCUACAAAAUACGAAAAGAAGCCUAAGUUCAGCAUCGAAGUACUUACAUAUAUUCUACGUUUUCCAGGCUGCUGUAGGAUAUAGGGAUUUUGCCACUCAGUUUGUUGAAGCUGAGGUCUCUGCAAAGCAAGUUUAUGUGAAUAUAUAUUGAGAAGGUACUUUUAACUGACCCCCUCAGGACACUCUUUGAGCAUACUUCAGACGAUUGUACAAACACAGACUACAUCAAUGAACAUACAAAGUCCAGUUCAGAUUUUUAGACAUACAGGUCAACUGUCUAGUGCCUAAGCUUUCUACUAGACAUUCAUCUCCAGAGGCAUUCAUUGCCUAAAUCCAAGUUUCAAGUUGGUCACGUGCUAUAAGUAUACAAAACUGCUGUAAAUCAAAUUUACAAAAUGGAAAUUUCAAUUUAUAUAACUAGAAAAGCUAUUUGGGCACUAAAUUGAGUGCAUCCCAAGGAAUGCACCAUAUUAUAGUUCAGAUUGGGAGAUUUCACUCAUCUAAUAGGACCGAAACUAAAGCUAAUCAUAAUUUGUUGAAAACAUCUCCUUCACAAUAUAUUAUUUAUGAAUAAUGGGAUGCCGACUCAAUACUAGGGUGCUUAGAAAAGGAAAUAUCAGCUUCAGUGAAUAAAAAAAUAAAGAACAAAAUGAGGAUUUCAAAAAAUAGGUUAGGGAAUAGAGUAUGCGAUAAGCUGCAGCAGAACCACAGAAAUUUGGUCAUUCAAGAAUGUCAGAAAAACAAAAAAUUAAAGCUCCAUAUGUUUCGUGAAAAAUGUAACGUUUUUAGAAAAAGAAUUCCAUGAAGUUAUUUUUUUAGGAAAAUGAAAAUAUUCCAGUGCUUGACUGAAAUCCUGAAAAUACCCGGAAAAUAUUUUCCAUUGUUUAGUAUGGAAAAUUUAAUUUGAUUUUCUAGGAAAAAAUUGCCAAAAAAUUCGAAUUUUUUAAGUUAGUUUUUUAAUCCUUUUCUUUUAACUUCUUCCUCGGCUGGUUGUCAGCUAUGGCGACCGGCCAUGGGAUAAAAAAAUAUUUUUAUAAGAACAAACAUUUCAUUAACUAAGGAUCCGAACUUGAGCACCAAGGACCUGCACACGGCCUUCGCGGACUCAACCUAACUGCUGGGGACUAGAGCUUGAGUGUCAAGGACCCAAGCACCGCUUUUAUGUACUCGGGGUCACGUAUUAGGGCAUUGGGCCUGAGCACCAGGGCUUCGGGCCCAACCUCGAUGGACUAGGCCCGGGCACUAAAGACCUAGUCCUGAACACUGAGGACCAAGAACCAGGUGUUGGGGUUCCCGUGUCCAAGCAAAGAGUUGCGGGUCCAACCACCGAUACCAACUCAUAGUUUGGAAAAUGUUUUCUGACUUUUCAAAAGAGGAAAUCAUUUCCUAAAUUUAAACAUAGAUCUUUCAUUGACUCAGAAAAUAUUUUCUAUUAACUCAUUUUCCUAAACAAACCAAGCGCUAGAAAAUCAGGAAAAUGUUUUUCGCAAAACAAACAAAGCCAUGAUAGAAUGGCUAAAUGUUGCUGUUAAAAGUAGCGUUUAUUAAAUCUUACAGAGAUGACCACAUGAACAAGAAGAAUUGACUUGUAUAAAGAUGAAUUUGAAGCCAUGCUCUCGUUUGAACUAUGAAUGUUAUGUCUGACAAGUGUACAACAGUCAAGCAAAAAACUCCAGCUAGAUAUUGUAGGGCUGAGAUUCGAGAAUGUAAACCACCGGAAGGAAAGUUUCUAGACAAUCAACCACUAGAAGCCUCCAUUUUGCAUUAAUGCUCUUAAGAAGUUAAGAUAACAUAUCAAAGCAAAAGUAAAUUAGACGAAAUGGGAAACCACAACCAAGGUAAGAAUUCUUGCUGGAAAAGUGAAAACAAGCAGAGUGUUAGAAUAUUUAAAUAACAAACCACGCUUUCAUCUAAUAGCUUGAGUUUUUAGAACAGUUGACAAUAGUUUCACAAAUUCUCACAGAGAGAAAAAGUCCAUAUACUUUUGUGCGAAACUGUAUAUUCUACAGCAGAGACCACAAUCACCAAGAUUUUAAAUGCCACAUCAUUCACAAUUCAGCAUUAUCAAUAGAAAAUAUCAAAACACCAUUGAAGUCAGUAAGGGACCUUCAAGCCAUCUUAAAUGGGUUCUUUAACUGCAACCAAUAGUCAACCAAAAACUAGUAGAAAUUUCACUCCUUAAGGGUAAAAUUAUUUAUUCUGCUUGGAAUAGCCAAAGGGAAAAGGCGCUUUCUACUCACAAUAUUUUUAGAUUUGUCAUAUUUGCUAGAUAACCAGGUAGCUCUCCCAUGAGAUUGCAGCUCCUCAGAAUCCUAUAUGAAAAUAACACCGAUAUUGUCAAAUUGCUAAGACGAUUUGGCUCUUUUGCAUAAAGUAAACUAUCUGUGAAGGAGCAUCGAUCUCACAGUGUUUCAAUUUUUUUACUGUUGAGUUGUGGAACACGAGACUCGGGUCCAUCGAGGUCACUUAUUCUCCUGCAUAUCAAAAUCAAAUAGGAGCUUUAUUUGAUUGAUAACAUCUUAAAGAAAGAGAGAUCAGAUCGAAAUGCCAAAAUUCCAUACUGACAAGUCAUUCAAUCGCUCCAAACGUGCGAUCCCAGAGGGAAUCGGCCCUUGCAAUCCACUUCCUUGAAUAGACCUGAUGAUACGAUUCAUAGAUGGAAUUGUCUUGGGGGUAUAUCUAUAGAGACCGACUUAAAAGGGGAAGAAGCAUCAAGCCUUACAGUUUUUGGAGAUUUGUCAAGUUCUGAAUAAAAUCGGGUAUCUUUCCCAUGAACUGAUUAUCACCAAGUUGCCUACAGUCCAUUAAACAACAUGAUUCAUAUGAAGGAGAAAGAAUAGAAUGGCUAAAUAUUAGCUGAGUUUGUGGAUACUGGAAACUAACAGGUAACGCAAUUCCCUUAAGUUAACAAAUGUUUGAGGCAGCUCCCCCGUGAAAUUAUUUGACGUAAGCCACCUGAAACAAGAAAAACCCAUGACAACACAUUGGUUAAUAGAACCUGAAUGCUGUAUCUCUCAACCCAUGAAAAAUUAUGGAUUAAUUUUUAGCCUUUAAAUUAAAAAGAAAAAAAUUCCAUUAAAUUACACAAUAGAGCACAAGUCAACGCCAGAGCAUGGAGGAGGAGAAGGGACCACUAGGGUAGCCUAAGGACUCGCCAGUGUGCGAGAGACUAGAGGGUGAAGGGUCUCCCCUGAUUGUAGGGGUGUCAAGAACCGAACCGAACCGAAAACCGAACUAAACCGAACCGAAAAAAUCGGUUUUUUCGGUUCAGUUCGGUUUUCAGUUCGGUUCCCGUUAAAAACCGAAAUAUCUUUUAUCGGUUCAGUUUUUAUCGGUUAACCGAACCGAACCGAACCGAAAACCGAACUAAACCGAACCGAAAAAAUCGGUUUUUUCGGUUCGGUUCGGUUUUCAUUCGGUUCCCGUUAAAAACCGAAAUAUCUUUUAUCGGUUCGGUUUUUAUCGGUUAACCGAACCAAACCGAACCAUAAACCGAUAAAAUCUCUUUUAUCGGUUCGGUUUAUUCUCUCCCGUCCCGUCGGUCCCGACUCUAGGUUUUAUUCUGUCUCAACUUUGGCCCUCUCCUCUCGUCUCGUGUCUCCUCUUGGUCGGCUUGGAGGUGCAACGGCGAUGGCGGCAGGGACGACGACUGCAACGGCGACGGCGGUAGGGACGGCGAUAGCCAUAUAAAAGCCCCUCGCCACCUCCCUGUCCGAGUCGUCCACCUCCAAUUCCUACUCCAGUCGCCGCCGCUUCCUCGCCCUCUUCCUCUCCUUCUCUCUCUCGAGCCAUCGAAGGUACCUCCUCUCUUUUGAGUUCACCUCUUCUCAUCCAUCGCUUCCUGCGAUCGUGGGUCGUCGUCCUCGAGGUUCCAGUUUUUGCUCUCGCAUCUCUAGCUCGAUGUGCCCGGCUUUGUUUGGUAGUUUUCGGUUUGCCUGUUUCGGUUUUGCUGAUGCUUGGACUUCGAAAGAUGUGAUUUUUUUUUUUUUGUGCGGAUUGACGUCCUUGUGGUUUGCAAAUGGUGUCGGAUCUCCGGUCAGUGGUGUUGGUGUCUCUGAUCUUGUAGUUGAAGGGACAAAAUUACACCGGGUCGGAUCUUAUUUUCGUAGGGAAGCAUGGCGUUGGCUGGAAUUGAGCUUGUUGAUGGACUAAAGGGUCCUUUCUUUUUCACGCUUUGAAGGAGAUCAGAUGGUCGGAGAGGAAAGAUGUGAAGUGUCUGCCCGUUUGUCUCCGAAGUUGGGAGGAAGCGAUUUGUGGGCUCAGGGGAAUUAUUUAGUUGUUUUGUAGUAGCAUCAGUUUGCUUCCUCUUUUUUGCCCAAAUGGAAGGAAGUAUUUCUCAUAGAUCAGUUCUGUUCACUUUAAUCCAAGUCUUUCGAAGCGAUGAUUGGUUGGGUGGAGUCUGGCGAACGGAAGGUAAGCCGUCCCGAAAAAAAUAAAAUAAUAAAUAAAUAAAUAAAAAUAAAAAAUCGAAAAAAAUCAAAAACCGAAACCCAAAAUUUGAAAACCGAAAAACCGAACCGAACCGAAUAGUUCGGUUCGGUUCGGUUCGGUUCGGUUCAGAAAUUUUCUCUAACGGUUCUGUUCGGUUCGGUUGUGCAUUUUUUAUAAUCUAUUUCCUUAGCUAGUUAAGAAUACAUUUCUUGGACUCAUGAAUGCUGCAUGAAUACUUUAUUUGGUGAUUGAACAAGAAAAAGUAUCGAAAAUGCAUUAGUUGGUUAAUUAGUGUAAUUAAGUUUUCAACUUUAGAUUAUCUGGUUCAAAGUAAGUAAUCCUCCCAGUACUUUACUUAGGAUCUAAUUGAUCCACCUUAAAUUGAUUAAUGUCGUAAUUUGCAUGUUAAAAACUCAAAAUAUAAAUUGCGAAUUAGUAUGAGCUUGAGAGAGUUUGAACUAGAUUUGAACUUAACAAUCCAUUAGCCAAAUUUUUAGUGGUCCACCUGAGGAUAGGUCGCAACAAUUUUGCUAUGACGAUAUCUCAGAUUUAGGUUAUUAUACAAUUUAUCGAUGGUGGAGUCCAAAUUCCAUUAUUCUUAGAAACUUCAUUAGCUCAUUCAGGGUUAUGGCUGUGGAGACCCAAUAAUGUGGAGGCCGAUGAAAUACCCUUCAAGCCUUACAAAUCGGUUAAGUUCAAAUCUUUGGACCUAGACCCAAUAUUAUUUGCACGCUGUUGGUGGUAUCAUAUAUGUUAAAUAUAAAUAAUGGAAAAAAAUUGUCCUAUUAAAGUGGUUACAAAACAAAAAUAUCAUAUACGUCGAGUUGGAAUUCUAAUUUAGAUAACCGGAAUAAUAAUAUCUUAGGAUUUUUUAGGACAAUAAUUGAAUUGUACGAUCGUGAAAAAUAAAAUAUUUGGCAGCAUAGUCUAUCCCAUUCAUUAAUAGGUGCUUGUAAAUUAGCAUAUCUAAGUCUCUAUUGAUGUUGACAAGUGUUUUACCCAUUUAACAUGGAAUUAUUCGAAAUAGAUUUGAUCGAAUUUGGAUUCGGAGCGUGAGGAUUUUGUACUUUGACUUGCUUUGGCCUAACAUGGCCUCUUUUUAUCUCUGUUCCAUGUUAUAAAUCUAGACACCAAUUGCAGAAAAAUCGCGGCACAUAAAACAAAAGUUUAGACUCAAACCAAAUACUAAUGGUUCCAUGGGUGAGGUCGUGCACGAGACUUAGGCAAAACGUCAUCUUCUAUGUAUGUUUAAUCAGGUUAAUGUCGAGUCAUGGAGGGUUAUUUUAAUAUUGUCAACCAAUGCAAUAAUAUUGGACCCGUGAGUUUAUGAGAGCUUUGAAAAUUCCAAGUUAACUUUAAAUGAUGAAUUCUAAGCAUGUAGUGUCGUCAUUUAGUGUCAACCCCUAAACUUCGAGCGUGCGAACAUCCCACAAUGGUCAAUUAAAAUGCAACUUCUCAAGACGUGUCGCCGACUUGCCCAUUCGGCAACAGCCUUAGGCUGAAGUUUGAGAGCUGUGCUGGGAUAUACAGAGGAAGAAAACCCUUCCAUUACUCUUCAGCUCAUACACCCAAUCACACUGACCAUCACCACCGUGCCAUCACCAAUCGCCCCUUUGCCACCACCCACGAAGACUCAUAUGAGUGAAUAGUCGAGAUUCCUUUUGUUCAAUAUGGAACUUUCAGAAGUUUGUUUAAUGAAACUUGACUGUCCCUUUGAAAUUAGUUGGUGAGAUUGAAUACACGAGAAUUCGCUGGUUGGGUUUUGUGAUGAUGAUUGCUGCUCUUCUAGUCCAAUCAUAGCCCGCACGUGUUAAGAGUAAUAAAUUACACCUUUAACAGUUUAAGCUUUUAAAACAGUUGAUAGUGGUUUUACAAAUUUUCUCGUUGUAUUAGAGCUAGAGGUCCUUCGUUCAAAUUUUCUAGGCCUUGUUUGCUUACCUAUUUAAAUUUCCAUGCUUAGAUAUUACGCAAAAAGAUCAGACUAAGACUAAGUGUCACCUCAAGACCUUUAGGAAGAUGUACAAGAGGAGUUGCGGAACAAAUAACUUCAUGGUCUAAUAUGCGGUUAUAAGAAAUGUCAUAUUGUCUAAUAGGACUAUGAUUAGAGGAUGGUACCAUCACUUUCCAUGAAGUGACGGAGCCCUCCUCACCACACAUCCUAAUGUGUAACAUUUUGGGGAUCAGAAUAUCAAAUUGACAAAUAUGUUGUCAAAAAUGUCAUUGCUGUAGAAUUGCCCUACUGUAAAAUUGACCAUACAAAUUUUGAGCUUGUAUGAUGUCAACUAAUAUUUUGUGAAAUUUUCAAUUCAUCGAAUUGAUGUAAUCCCCUUUGAUCACUCAAUUCCAAACUGAGUAUUAAAUGAUAACAAAUUAAAGACAAAUGAAAAACAGAGGCAAAGCAGAAGAUAGGAACUGGACAUAGAUAAAUAGUGGUGCUGGCAAUGGCAGCUGUAGGCGCCGUGCAUAUGGAGGACAACGAAAUGGUGGUGGGGCUGGGUUUAAAUGGAGGGAGGGCGAGGCUGUUGGGUGGCGAUGGAUGUUGCGAUGAGGAAGGAGAGGUGGUGACAACGGAGACGAUCCUACAACCGACUCUCGCCGAAGCCAACGCCUUUGUGUCUAAGUUAUCCUUCACCCUUGCUAUCGAAGCUUGCGGUCGCUCCCUAUCCAUCGUCCAAUCUCCUUCUUUGGUACAGACUUCAUUCUGGAAAUUCAUUAAGUGCCUUCAUUCUCGCUAGGGUUCAGUGGAAGAGAAACUUUUCUUUGAUCGGAGCAAUAACUUGAGAAAAUGUAUGGAGGAAUACAUAGCAUGGAGGAGACAAUAGCAUGUGGGAUAUAUGUGGCUUUACAACAAGGCCAUUUUUGGCAAUUGAUUUUGUCAAUUUGAUAUUCCUAUUCCCAAAAUCUCACACUUGAAAUGUAUGGUUGGGAGAGUUCCCUUACUUUGUAGGAAUUGACAAUACAAUUCUCUAAGCAUUUCUUUGUCUAAAAAUACCUAAGUAGAUACGUUUUAGUGUUGAUCGGUUCUUGUUGAUAAUUUUGUCGAUCAACUUCUCAAAUCUUUUUUUGCUAAUAAUUUUCAAGUUGUGUUGUCAAUGACUUUAUUGGCAAUUUAUCGAUCCCUUCAAAUCAUGGACUGUUUUGUUUUAUCAGUGAUUUCUAUUUUCAACAAACCCCACUCUUAUCUAUUAGAAUAAUAUAAAAAUGAUUGUUGAAGAUUUGAGUAAGUUGGUUAUUGACUCUAGAUUUGGUGUGAAGAGGAGAAGAAGAAGAUUGCGCACGGCUUCCAUGUAAGAUUGUCAGCCGAAUAAGAAAGUGAAAAGAAAAGGGACAACAUAAAUGAAGAGAGGGAGGAGUCGAAAGAAAAAUUGGCCAGUAAAAAUUGUGGGCUUCGUUUGUCCUCUUUCAUUCAUUGCAUGGAUCAAAUAAAGAGGAAAGAAGGGUCCAUGAAGGCCCAUUAAUGCAUGCGCAUGUAUGCAUGUCAUGAAAAAUGGAGGGGGCCGUUGCUAUUGCAGAGAUUUGUCUUGCAGGCACCGUUGCUAUUAUUUAAUGUCUGUGUGUUUUCCUUUUAGCUUUGUUGACUUUUGUAGUUUCACUUUAAUGUUAACAGAAGGAGUGUUGAAGAUUUCGUGUGCUAUGUUUAUCUCCAUCUCUAUUGUAAUUUAGUGUUAUGCUAUUAUGUAAGAUGUGUAAGGGGGUGUUGUAAAAGAGUAGCCACCACAAAGCAUUCUAAGAACAACUUCUCCCUUUGGUCUUCACUUGUGCCUUGCUCCGAAAUUUUCAAAGUUGCCAUUAAUUUUUUCUUUUUGGCUCCAACAUCAUUGACUAGUCUUGGUCAUCUUUUGGUGUCAACAAUAAUGAAAAUGUGUCAAUACAUCUUAACGGGAACUAAAUUAGUAAAACACAGAAAUUAUAUUAUGUUAGUUUGAUUUAUGUCAAUGUCAGUAGGGUAAGUAAUCUUUUGCUCUGUUGUGAUUAAUGAAGAAUGGUGACGGAAUUUUGUGAUCAAAUGCAUCGCUAUCUGCUCCCACCUCCCCAUUUAUUAUUAGAUUAGAUAAACACAUUUUACUCAACUUUCUUGAGGCGAAAGUGACUGAUGCUAAAACAUCACGUGGAGAGAGAGAGAGAGAGAGAGAUCCAAGACUAAAAGUCAGCUGCUACAGUGCUCGUAAAUAAACAUGCAGGGGUUACGAGCAAUCGCCAUACCCAUGUAGGAGACUGCAGAAAACGAAGCCAAGCUGACACAAACUGCUUUCUUUGUUCUUUCUCAUUGUAAAGCCACCAGUGUAUGUGUUUGCGUGAUCGAGUACCGAGUGUGUGCAGGCAAAUGUUCAUCAAACCAGCGAUAUAAAAUAAAAUGAUCAACAAAUCAAUCAUAAUAAAGUAAAUAUGUGAAAAUAUGUCUUCUUCUUCUUCUCCUCCUCUUUCUGAAGUAUGGCGCCUCAGAUGGAUUAGGUCUAUCCAGGCAUGUGCAGUUGAAUUGAUCAUGUUGGACGAGUCUAAGGAGUAAGUUCUUGCAGCCUCUUGAUCGCGCUUGGGUCACUCUGUGGGCUGAAGGUUAAAAAUAGCUAGGUUAUCGAUGCUUCUUUUACUUUUCCUAUCAUUACAUCUUCAAAUGGAAAUCAAACUUGGUAUACGCAAACAACCCAGUCAAGAUCCAAGAGAUUCAAAUGUACUUAUGAAGCCCUGCAUCAAAAUGACAAAAACCCUUGAAAAGGAAAGGCCAUGGAGUGGGAGAGAGGGAUCAAACCAGCGUUCAAUUGAAACACCCCACGGCCAACUCAUCUCAAUCUGUCACCAUCCGGGACCACAUAAGCAUGUCAUACCUCAGGCCCCCUCCCAUUCCUAUAUAAUUGGUAUCCAUCCUCAUAGGCCUUUCCCACUUGCACUACAUAUCCAUUAUAAUCCACACUGACCAGCACUCGCAGCUGUACUUGGCUGGGAGCUAGAAAACGAGACCACCGAGACAGAGAGAGAGAGAGAGAGACAUGAAAAUGAUGGAGGCGAGGAAGAAUGUGAUAAACAAUGACUUUGCAGAGAAAGAGAGCAACUGCAUCAACGGGCAAUCGUCCGCGUCCUACCUGGUGUGGGACGACUUGACGGUGUCGGUGCCCGCUGGUUCCAAGAGGAAACUGCUAAACCAGCUCAGCGGGUACGCUCAGAUGGGUCGGAUCUUGGCCGUCAUGGGUCCUUCCGGCUCCGGAAAAUCCACUUUCCUCGACUCAUUGGCAGGUUUCUCCGCUUCUCUCUGCCAACCUCCUCAUUUCGGAACAUUUUCUGGAAAUAAUAUAUCCAUUUACUUGGCCUUGUUGUAUUGCAUUUUUAUUUGAGUUAUUAAAAAGUCCACCGCCGGUGAAAUCCGAAUUCCACCUUCGAAGCUCUACGUACGAAACUCCUAGUGAUACCGAUACGGUUACCGAAAGAUCGAGACAACAAGCAUUGCCCAUAUAUGGAAAAUAUAGCAACUUAAUAUAGUCACCAAAAUCAUUAAAAGCAUCGAAAAAAUUGCAAGAGGCUACGAUGAUUACCCCUUUCCAUAGCCAGAUCUAGUAGUGUAGAAACGAAAGUGCAGCAAACUGUUUAUUCUCAUAUGAAUUGGGUCUCCCAUGUAUAUUGAUGCUAUUCUCUUUCGAUAUCUAUUAUGUAUAGUUAAACUCACUUUAUUUAAAGAUUAGAAAUAGAAUUACAUAAAAAAAAUAAAAAAAGAUACGGCUUAUAGAAGUAAAAUAGUGAUGAUAUAAUUAUUUUUGUAACUAAUAAAUUCACUUGAUAAAAAUUCUAAUGGCAUAAUCAAAUUCUUACAAAAAAAAGCUGAAUAGUAUUUAAGUGUAACUCUUCAUAGUUAUAUCAUUUCAUUUGGCUUGAUAUCAAAAUCCUUUGAGGCACAAACAUGCUCUACAACGAUUUUGUCUCUCAUUUAUAUUGAUGUUAUUUUUUUUUCUUUCUUGAAUUAUAAUAUGUAGUUGAAAUCAUGUCAUUAGAAGAAGAGAAUAAAAUUAGCUAACGAAAAAAAUUAAGAAGAUACAACUCUUAAAUUUCCAGUAACUAUAUCAAUAUCACUUGGGAGUUUCCAUAUAUGGUGCACUGAAAGUGGGAUUCGGAUUCCACUAGCGGAGGACCAUAGAAUAACUCUAUCUUGUUCACCAUGGUUUUAAAAGAAAAAGGAAACUCUUGAUUUGAUCAAUAAAACCGCAUUAAUUAUAUCAUGUGAUGAUAACAUAGCGUAUUUUUGUUACACCCAUGCAAGCUUGAGGGUUUUGGUGACAAAAAAGGGUUUUUGAGUAUUGAUAUAAAUUAGGGAUGAGCGGUUCCAGAUUUCUUACAAGUUUCACUUGGAACCUGGAACCUACCCUCGAGUACAAGUUCCUCAUUUUUUGGAAUCUAGAACCUACCUGUUACAACCUACCUGUUACAGGUUCGGGUCGGUUCCAAGGUCCAACAAGUUCUUUUAUUCUUUUCUAUUUAAUUUUUAGUUUUAAAAAAACGAAAAUGAAUGCAAUAAUAAUAAACAAGCUUGUCUUUCAUCAAAGAGAAUACAAAACGAACAAAACUAUCAACAGAGGAAAGGAAUUCUUGGCAAGGAAUUCGACUAAAUAAAAUAGAGGAAAUUAGUUCACGGAACAUCCUAAAUAAUAAAGCUGUCAGUCAAUAACCGACACAAAAUAGAUGAAGAAAUACACUUUCAGAUACACAUUCAGCAUUGCAGAAUGAGUCAAGGGGUAUGGUUACUUCACACUAGAGUGUCACUAACAAUGUAAACAAAUGCCAAACAGAGAGAUAAAGUAAUUCCAAUUCCAACGGAGUUCUUACAUGAUGAAUGUUGAUAGCAUUCAAGAACUUUUCAAAUGCCUAAAUCCAUUCAUGAUGGUUCCAAACAAGUGGAAUAUCAACAAAAAUCACCCAAUAACCCCGAAAGUUUUUAAAAUAGGCCAAUUAUGGAAAACCCAUGCUCUAUAUCCUUGGAACAACAUUAACAACACCAAAGAAGUUUGUUGUGCAGUGACCAGUAAGUGGUCAAAGUGUAAGAUGAUAAAAUUGGAUAGCAAAUAACUAGAAAUUCCUAAUCAUUACUCAUAUUGCUGUUGCUGAAAAAUCUUUAUGAUACUGAAUUAACUACCUUCAUCACCAAACACAUGACCUACUUGUAAUAGACAUCAACCAUUCCUGCUGUGCCAGGAAGACAAACAAGCAGUGGCACCACUUUUUGACCAAAAUCGUAAUAUCUCCAUUGCUUUAUGCUAAUCUGGCAAAAAGAAAAAGACGUCAGUUCGGUAGCUAUGAAACAACGUAAUGCAUGGAAUUUUGCUAGAGCAAGCUGAGAAGUUGGGGCUCAAGGGUGGUCUAAGCAUGGGAACUUUAGCUUAGAGUACGAGGACAGCUAAGGUUCUUAUGAGGACUACAAUAGACAACAGAUAAGCUACAUGAAAAUUGACCAAAAGAGCAAAGUAGUACUCUUGACGAUUUGAAUUCGUGAAUGUCACAUGAAGCUACUUGAAGCAUCAAGUUUCAACAAACUGUCAAAACAAAAAGUUGUCAAACUAUCGAAUGUCCAUUAAUUUGUAAAAUUGGAAAUGUGUAAGAUGUCAAAUACUCUAUGGAACUUUAGGAAGGACAUGACAUGCUAUUGCAUAUCAUGGAAGCAAGCAUAUGUCGAAACCAUUGUAAGCUAUCGAACAUCCAGCAUUAGUCACUUGAUAUCUUUGCUGAACUUGAACCCAGAUAUGAUGUUAUAUGGUAUGUAUAUCAUUACCCUCAUUUUUCCAUUUGACAACUAUGAUUUAGUACAAAGUCACAUGGUAAGAAUAACUAAACUCUACAUCAUAUCAUUAUUGCAGAGAGGUCACUGCCAACACAAGAACGAUUCACAACCAGAGCUUUAUAGUCCAGUUGCAACAGCAUUAGAUCAGAACCUGACAUAAUCAAACAGAACACAAAAAAGGGGUUGAUUUGAGCAACCAAGUGGUCAGCAUCAAAUGGUUGAUUUGUGAACUUUCGAGAACAAAAAGAACAUAAUGUAGAGACAGAACAAUUCUUGCCAGAUUUAACCAUCUCACUGAAUUCAUUACUAUGUGAACACGCUCGGUUCUUGGGCGUAAUUUUUACUGCAAAGAAGAAACUUUGGAACUCAACCAGACUGAUCGAGCAAGAAGCAAAAAUGAACAGAAGAAUUUCCAUGUCACAAUUAGUAAACUAAACACAGCAAAACAAGAAUUGACCAAACUGAAAGGAAAAAAUGGAACCCAAAUGCCAACAUCCAGGCGCACGCACAAACAACACGAAACUAAUCCCACAAACAAACGCAGCAAUUCCAAGCUCAUGGGUUCACGGAACAUCCUAAACAUGACAUUGUCCUGUUUUAUAAUCAAGAGAUUGCCAAUCCUUUUGGCUAAGUGUAAAUGAAAAAAUGGCUAGCUUGUACACUCACAUAUAAAGAAAAUCAAGGAAUCUUGAAGUGGCAACCCAAGACAGUCCACAGAAACAAGAUAUGACCUACCAAAUCGAUGCUCAGAGAACGGAAACAACAUUCCAGAAAGCACACGCAUAAAAAAUGUUUAGGCUAGAGGAUCUACCCAAUAUUUUCGAUCCUUCCAACUAAAGAGCUACUCAACGGCAACUGAAGCGCCUCCUUCACGCCAUACUUCCUUUUAGCUUCCGUCUGUCGUCGAUGGUAAACAUUACAAGGCUCGCCUACCACUCUAUCACCAUAUCCUAGUAAAAUAACAAAAAGGUCGUCGAAGAACUAGCAAUUACAAGAAGUAAUGUUCAUUAAGGCAGGAAUUUGGAAUCUACUCACAUUCGGCUAGCAAUAAAUUGGACUAGAUCUCGCAGCUGAGCUGAGUCGCAACCACUUGCGGUGAGUCGGUGACAGCAAACAGAACCGACGUUCGGUGAGCUUGGGGUUUAGUUCUGGGUUGAAGCAACGUUCGGCGACCUCAAGCAACGUUGGGCACGACGCGGGCAAUGCUGGAUUCGGCAAGGAUCGGCAACAAGGACGUCGAGGCGGUAGUUGCUUCUGUCCUAGUUGCGGCGCGAAUAGCAGCAACUCGUCAUCGGGAGGCCGAGAUGCGGCGGCUCAUCGUUGAAGUCUGAACAGACGUGGCGUCGUCGAUGGCCAAACAGCGACGGUGGAGCAACAGCAGCGUCGGGUGGCGGCCCGGCAACAGCUUGUCGUUGGGAAGCCGGCAGCGCAACGGCGAGAGCCGGCGGCGUCGUCAAACGGAGCAGCAAUGGUGUCGACGGCAACAUCGUGGAUCAUGAUGGCGGCAUCGAGGGCGGCGAGCAGCGUCGGAUCAUCGUCGGGAACGUGGAGUGUUGCAAAGAGGAAAUGGAAAGAAAUGGAAAAGUGAAGAAUGAACAUUGAAGAAAAGGUUAGGGUUUUGGAGAGGGGGAAUCUCGGUUCCGGUUCCAACUCGACUGAGAACUGGAACCUAUUUCCUCAUGACCUCGGGUUCGGUUCCCCGGUUUCCGGUUCUACGCGGGAACCGUGCUCACCCUAGAUAUAAUAGUGGUCAUAAUUUAGGAUUUUAAGGUUGGAUUUUUUUUUUUUUUUCAUGAUCUAAUCCUCUUAAAAAUCACAGCUCCCCUAAAAAAAUCUUCUCUCCUAAAAAAAUCUUCAACUUUAGAUUUACAUCCUAAUUUUUCUUCGAACUUAAAAAAUUUCUAACUUUCACUUUAGCCUCAAAUCAGUUUCACAUCCCAAAAUCGCCACUAAUUUUUUCUUUAUGUCAUCAGUAUUGGGAGGUUCUUGUCAUUCCAUAUGAAGGUGAGGGUGUUUAAGAAGAUGUGAGUUUUGAUUGUAAACCUCUAACUAGCUCUGGUAUUGAAAAUUUCAAAGAAAAUAAUUACUUUUUUUGAACGCAGGGGCAAAUUUGGAACUAUAGUGAAAUUUUGUGAUUUUUUUUCAUAUAAAAGAAGUUUGGGCCAUAAUAAUUCAGGUUUUUCUAGAGAACUAACCUCGAAGUUUUGUCAUGUUCUUAUUAUGGCCCAAUUUUUUUUUUUUUUAUUUCAUAAGAAAACCACAUAUCAAUGUUACACAAAUCCAGUAGUUUUCAUCCAAUGAUGUUGUCCAAGAUUCGACCUGCCAAUUCAUGUGUACUUGGCAAAAUCUUAAUGAGGGUCAGAUGUGGGUGCCAAAUGAAAUUGGUAUUUUAUUAUGGGAUGGAAAAAAUUUGGACUAAAAUUAGGCCACAAUUUGAAGUUAAUGUCUUUUUAUGAGACAAAAUUUAUGGAUCAGGGCUUUAAUCCAAAGCCAACAUUUUUCUAUGAGAGAAAUAAUUGAGUCAACAUUGAGAUUCAAGGUAAAGUUGAUGCAUCUUGAAAUGAAUCACGCUUUAUGAAAGAACCUUUACGGAUUAUGGCCCAGAGACUUUCCCGAAUUCGGGGUCGACCCGUCCACUUCGUCCCGAGGCUUGACAAGACAACUUCAAUUUAAAGGGAUUAUUUGGUUGCUUCUAGUUGAUAUGGGACAAGAAUAGUGUAGGUAGAGAGAGUUAAUUAUGACUUAUGCAUUCCAUAUUUUAGGUGCAUAAUUACAUUUACUACAUAAGUACGUAUACACCAAGAAAUACAUGUUUAAACCACUUAGGAGCCACUUUAGUUGACUACUUACUAUGUUUUGCUUUUCAGCAGGUCGGAUUUCUUCUGACGUCAGCAAAGAGGGAAAUAUUUCCCUAAGCGGGAGGAAGAAGGGGUUCCUAAACCACAAUGAUCUGAUAAGUAUAUCAAGUCCUUAGGCAUAAAGUUAUCUUUUGCUGUAAAUUAUUUGUUGGGGGCAGAUUUAAUAUGACAAAGUAAAAUAGAUUAUGAGACGAGUAUCUUGACUCUUGCAGAAGAUAACUCUCUUUAUUUUCAAGAUUACUAUCAUUAAAAAUUUCGAAGUGGCAUUUCAUGACAUAUCUAUCCCAAAAGAGUUUUUGUUUCCCACAAAAUCUCAACUAUUCAUUCGAUUAACUAAAAGAAAACUUUAGUCUAGUAAUUCUUAGAUCAUCAUUGGAAAAACAAGAUUGCUUCCAUCAGCUCAAUCCUGGCAAUAGUUUCGGUUUAGCAUACUAAUACUGUGACCAGUGACCUCUAAAAUGGCGCAUCACUAGGCCACUCUUCUGUCAAUUUUGUUUCAUGAAGCAUUCUUUUAGCCUUCAAAAGAUUAAAUCAUAUUUUCAACUUCCUCUAAUUCAAUCCGGCGGUUUAUGUGUAUGACUAGACGAUAUUCUUAUAAUCAAAAUUUGGCCGAAAAAAAGAGAGAGUCACAAUUUGGCUGGUUUGGCCAUGUUUCUCCUUUCUGAAAUUUGAGCUUGUAACUGACAAAUAAAUUUCUAUCUAAUGAUUGAUGUUUCAACCGGGGUCCCAUGCUUGCAUUUAGAUGUGAGCAUAAUUUUAGGAUUGAGUUGGGAGUUAGAGAACUGGACCAAUCACCAAUUCAGUUCUAGGUUCCAAUGCGCCCUAGUCCGGUUCCAUUUUUUUAGGAACCGAUGGUUCUCGAGGGAACUGGGAACUGAGAAUCAAACCGAUAAUUGGGGAAUCGAGAAAAUCCUGAAGAGAGGCUUUUUACUUUUUCUAAUAAGAACUUAGAUGUGCUUAUAGAGGGGUUUAUACUAAUUUUAUUUGCAAUCAAUAACGAUCAAUGUGCGUGAGGUCGUUAGCAGUUGAAAUAAGGGUUACUCCUAGGAAGAGUUAUAAUUCUCUACUAAUAGUCACUUAUAAAGUUCUAAUAAAGGAAUUAGACCGAGACUUAACAUAAAAGGUUUUCAAAUAUUAGUAGCUAGAUAAAGCGGCAAUAAUGUCAAAUAUCGCACUAAUUUUUCAAGACCAUUAGAUCUAUUCUAGUUUCAUUUCCUGAAAACAGAAUAUAACAUUUGUGUCUUGUUGUAAUUCAUAUCAUUCUAUGUUGUUCAUAGACUGAAUAAAUUACCCUACGUAGCAUUAUCUAGUGGGAAUAUGCAAUGGCGAGUAUCAUACUAUCACAAAAUUUCACAUGGCAUUCAAUAUAUUCAAGGUACUUUUGUUGUACCCAUUAAAACAAAAUUGGAAUCCAUGGACCUUUUGCUCUAUAAGACCGUAAAUAUGGUGAUUAGUUUGGUCAUGAUCUUCAUUGGAUAUUGGCCAAAUCUUAUGUUAUCACAUGUUAACAUGUAUGUCGAUAAUCUAGAUUUUAAUUUCUUGAUUGGUUUAAUUAUAACACCUUCUACUUAUAUUCUAUUAUUGAUGUGUCUGUGCGAAAUUGACGUAUAUAGCAUGUCAAUGGAGGUGGAAGAAUGAGAGGCAAUGACUUUCAUUAUGUGUGAGGGAUGUCGAUGAUUGAUGACUAAAAUUCAAUAACUUAAGUUUCAUGUAAUGUGUUAUGAACUUUUUAUUAUUUAUUUUAUUUUAUACAUUCAUCUUUUAUAGAUUAUUUCUAUUGACAAAUGAAAAACUUUCAUUUUUGUUUUUGCAUUCACUAUCAUUUUGCUUCACUAAAACUGCCCAAAAAAAAAAAAAAAAAGAACAUGUUAGACCACAAAACCGACCUUAGAAUCUAUGACAAGAUAGGUAUAGGUUCCAGGGUAUACAGGAUAAGUUUUAUGUUUUAGAAAAUGGGGAACAUAUUUUAAUGGAUAGGUUCCAGAUUUAAAGUGGAAUCGGAACUGCUCAUCCCUACUUAAAUCUUCUCAUUUUGGGCAUUUUUUCAGUCCUAUGUGACCCAAGAAAAUCUUUUCUUGGGUACUCUCACUGUCAAAGAGACCAUAGCCUACACAGCUCAUCUGAGGCUUUCUUCUGAAAUGACGAAAGCCGAGAUCGACGAGGUGGUAGAAGCAAACAUAAAGGAGAUGGGACUUGGAGACUGCGCAGAGAACAAGAUUGGUAACUGGCACUUGAGGGGCAUAAGCAGUGGAGAAAAGAAAAGACUCAGCAUCAGUCUUGAAAUGGUGACAGACCCACUGAUCUUGCUCCUUGAUGAGCCUACCACAGGCUUAGACAGUGCCUCGGCUUUUUUCGUGGCAAGAGCUUUAAGAAAUAUUGCAGAUGAAGAAAGAAUAGUUAUUUGCUCAAUCCACCAGCCCAGCAGUGAAGUUUUCGAUCUUUUUUAUGAUUUACUCCUUCUGUCGAGUGGAGAAACUGUGUUUCUAGGAGAAGCCAAAAUGGCCAUUGAGGUAAUAAAGAGUCAACACUUCAUUCUUAUUCAGACAUUUAGGCUGUGCAGAAGCAAGAUAAUGUAAUUUUAAGUCCUGGUGCAGUUCUUUGCAGAUGCUGGAUUUGCUUGUCCGAGGAGUAGAAAUCCCGCUAAUCACUUUCUGCGGUGCAUUAGCUUGGACUUCGAUUCUGUAACUGCUACUAUUGCUUUCUCGUAGAAACUAUGUUGAGUUUUAAAUCGAGCACUUCUAUACUCUGCAUCAGUUCUUGUGAUAUGUAAAGUGACUUCCGAAUAUAAUUAUCAGGGCUUGCUAUUUUAUCUUGCAGCAAACUCCAGCAUCAUCUGGUUUUUCAAUGAACAUGAAAACAGCAGAGAUUAAAGCCACACUCAUCCAAAGUUACAAAUCCUCAAAGUAUUCAUGCAAAGUUAGGAAAAAAAUGCAAGGAAUUUCAGCUACUGUAAGCACUCCAACUCAGAAGAAAUAAAAAUCAAGAUAAUGCUUAUGCAGUCAUUUUUCUUGUCUUUACCGCUUACCAUAGUUAAUGAACAAUGUCUCCAACUGUGAUUUUUGAAACUAAUGGAGUUAUAUCCAUAUUGAAGUAGCAUUUUCCAGGACUGAUGUUUUCAAAACUGAGUCUCUUCUGUUGAAUGCUGAAGGAUUAUCAGGUCUGCCGGUUGAAUAAGAAUACUAAUUCCAGCAAGUGGAAGCAGCUCAGCGUUUUGACUCGUCGGUCCUUCAUCAACAUGUAUAGGGACAUUGGAUACUCCUGGUUGAGGAUCAUGCUCUACAUUUUAUCAUCAAUAAGUGCUGGAUCUCUAUAUUUUGACAUCGGAUACGACAAUGGGGCAAUUAUCAACAGAGGAAAGUUUGUUUCAUUCCUCUUCGGCCUCAUGGUAUGUUUGUCUUGUGGUGGUGUCCCUUUCUUCAAUGAAGAACUGAAGGUAUAGCAAAGCGUCGAGGCUGAUCGAUUUUCAUCUAUUAUAUAUCAGCAGUAUCUUCAUACUUGAGGUGAUAUUAGAAUGAUUUGUCACUAGGACUAGAAUUAAGUUUCCUCUUCAGGACAGACAAGCUCCACCAUGAUAGGUGUGAAGUUACAAGUUGAAGCCUAAGACGCUGUAAAUAACACAAAUCUAACUAGAGGACUUUUAGUUGAUGGCCUACUCCGACUCAUAGUCACAGAGGAAUGUGAGUAUUGCACAAUCAGUUGGAGAGAUUAAAGCUAAAUCAACUAAGUUUUUUCAAGGGAUGCUUAAGAUUAUUCAUAUGGGAUCGAUCUCAUCAUCAAAGCAAGAAUAUACAUUAAUUACCUAAAAAAGGAGAAAUCUCGGCAGCAUAUGACAUCCUUUUCUUAUCUAUCUCAGGUAUUUUAUGCCGAGAGAUUCAAUGGGCAUUAUGGCGAGAUCCUAUUUGUGCUUGCAAAUUUCCUUUCUUCACUCCCUUUCUCGGUGGCGAAUUCUCUGCUUUCAGGAACGACGAUAUUCUACAUGGUGAAGCUUCAUCCAGGAUUCUCUCAUUAUGGUUAUUUCUGCAUUAACUUCUUCUGCUGCACCACCAUUAUUGACAGUUGCAUGAUGGUUGUGAACUCAUGUGUCCCCAACGCCUCGAUGGCUGUAGUAACGUAAGCAAAUUUUCUCUCUUAAACAUCCCUUCUUGUAAUCCUUAUAGAUUACGUUGUCGUUCAUAGCUAAUUUUUGUGGAUUCAGGUUCUAAUGAUGAUGGCAUCACAGAUCUUUAGACUUCUCGCUGAUCUUCCCAAGUUCUUUUGGCGGUACCCUAUGUCCUACAUCAGUUUUGCCAAGUGGGCAGUUGAGGUAGUUAGUAUACAGCUUUUUUGAAAUCAAGCUUGAAAAUUUAUCAACAUAUUUAUGCAUAGAGCCAUGACAUGGAAGAUAUUCAUCUUCAGUUUCAAUAAUAUCGUCUGAUUAGUAAAACUCCACCAGGAGCAUGCGCUACUACUUGCAUUGCAUAUUUAAACUCAUUGAAGUAAAAAUUCUCAUCUUCCGCCUGAGGUACAUUUAUGAGAAGGAAAUGUCAAAACAACAGAAAUUAAGUAAGAUGCCUUCUAUUUUGAUGUGAAGAAAUGGGUUGAAUGGUCGACAGUUCCGCCACUCCCUUCUUCCUUUUCGGAUUGUUGACCCGCUCUUCCAUAUGCUAGAGGUUAUGUUAACCAAUGUAAUAAUGUAAUACUAUGAAGAUUCUGUUAUCAGUCUCUUUCAUAGAUUGAUCAGAACACUACAAGGCUUCACCACAUGUUUCACUCCGUCUCUUUACUCAAACUAACGCUUCAAAUGAACAGGCUUCUCAAGAACAGUUCUGCGACUAGCUAUGGCAGUCAACAAUACAAGCAUAUGAUUUGGAUCAGUGACUUUGAGUUCUCCCAAAUAUCUCAUGAAUUACAAGUCACUCAUACAAAUCAUUCACACACCUUGCAGGGUCAAUACAAGAAUGUCAUGACCGGUCUUGAGUUUGAUUCAGCAGAGCCAGGAGAACCAAAACUGGAAGGCGAGAUGAUCCUCAAAACAACUUUCAGCAUAUCACUGGAUCAUCCCAAGUGGUGGGAUGUAGCUGUGCUUCUGUUUCAACUGUUUGUUUACAAAGUACUACUCUUGUUAGUGCUUAGGUACAAGAAGAGAAUAGCACCUCAAUUACAGUCGUCGUCACAAGUGUUACUCAAGAAGGUGUCUUGACAGAUGAUUUCGGUGCCAAAUAGCAGCAAGCAUCCAUUAUAUUUCCAGAACAUACUUACUUUAUCGGCAACUAAUGCACCAUGGUUAUGUAAAUGAUGCAUAUGUCUCUAGUUGUCGCAAGUUCUAAAUGCAAUUCACCUUUUCACUUCAAUGUUAUGACUAAUUUGAUAUUGGUAUACGCAACGUGACAAAAUUUACACCUAAUUCUCGGCCUGAGGUCCACCCCUUCAUCUUUGUAAUUAAUGUAGAUUAUAAACCUCUUACAAAGCACAAAAUUUGGAGAUACGGCAUUGGACAGACGGCCCGUUUAGUGCCUCUCUCUCUCUCUCUCUCUCUCUCUCUCUGUGCUACAAGCUACUGCAAGAUUCGAUGUAGUGGUUAAUAAAGUACAUUGAUUACAAGCAAAACAUAUGUCACGCAAUGAGUUACAACUUAUAUUGAAAAUAAAGAUUAAGCAAUUCAAGGGUUGUACAAGAGUCAGAUAUAGCUUGCACUCAUUUACAAAAAGAUUAAAAAAAAAGAAAAAAAGAAAAGAGAAAGUGGGAGGUAAAGUGUACACUGUCUUUGAACAGCCUCUGUGUCCCCUUAUGGCGCACCAAACAAAAUCAUACCCAUGACCUCCAAAUCUAAUCCAUGGCUGUGAAGCAGACCCAGGUGGAAUAUUCAGAUCUCUCUUUUCCCCCAAAACCGAAGGGCCAAAUAUGUAAAAGCCAAGAAAGUGUACUUGUCCUCGAAUGCCCAACUUUUGAGGCGCCCAGGAUAAACAAAAUCAUCAUAACUUUAAGAUGCUUUGCAAGAAAAACCGGUAUCCUCAUCCUUCCUACUUAUUUCUUCUGUUUUUUCCGCACAGCAUUAUGGCCAUUGCGCGCUCUGGAUGCUUUAUGAUUUCUCAUUGAGGCUUCCAUGCUCAUGCUACCUUUUAGUUCCAUCUUUCUCUUUUCCCCACUUUUAAGUUUGUGAAAGGUCCUCUUCCUUUUCUUUCCAGAUUCGUUGGAUUGAAUCUUAGAAAAUUUCCCUGCAGCCAAAUCACCAUCCUUUUCAGAACCUUCUAAUCUGCCAUCAGCAGUAAGAGUAAGUUUCAUAUUCUCCUGAGUGGGGGGAGCCAUCUUUGUUCUUCAAUCUCCUUUUGUAUCCUCAUCCCUGGACAUCUUUCUGAUUUGCGGAAGCUUCCUUGUUCUCUAUCCCGCCUUCAUUUGAGGUUUUGUUUCACAGAUUCUAAAAGGUCAAACAUGCGAUCAUUUUACAAAACAAUAUUACGACCUCCAGAAAUCAUGCACUGCUAAAUAAUAUUUCUGUAGGAUACACAUCCAAGCGUUGUUGAAUUCAUUACCUCCAUAAUUGUCUUAAGAAAACCCUUGUACUUUUCUGGGGUAACAAGCUGAACAGCAGCAAAACCACACUUCCUAGUCAUUAUCUCAAGAAUGACUGUGACCUGCAUAUACAGUGAUAAUGGACAUUCAUUACCAGAUAGCAAAAAAGAGGCCCUUGGAAGGAUGUGUGCAUGGAAUUAUCACAAAAAAACUCAGCAAACUCCCAGUAAAUUUCACAUGCCUUUGAUCUGAAGUGAUGCCUGGAGACAGAUGACCAUGAAAUAACACCAUCAACAAUGUCUGAAAGUAAACUCUGAAGGUCUUCAUUUCGUAAGCAAGACACUACUACUUUCACAAAACCUAGAACAGCCUGCAAAAUGUGCAUGAAGUAACUCUCAAGCCAUGCCAAUUGGGGCAAGAAUCUACUUUGGUAAUGGUAUACUCAUUUUUAUCACUUCCACCGCUUUGCUUUGUAGCAGAGAAAGAACAGAAGGAAUAAGAUCAGGAAUUGAUAGACAGAUAUCUGUAUCCUUGUAAACUAGUACGGACAAUGCAGAAACAGCUCCACUUGUAAUUUGAGGUGAUGAACCAGAAAGAUAGUCCACUAUCUGAAAGCACGUUAUUUAGAAUCAAAACACUAUUACUUGAAUAAAAUUACAAUCCCGAGAAUUGCAAUUGUCCAGUAAUACAUCCAGUAAUACAUCACUGUUAAGAACUACAAGCAGAAAGGAAAAUUGCAGAUUAGGUUAGACAAUUUCUACAUAAGUAUGCUCUCCCGAUCAUCCGACAGAAAGUCCUGUAAGCAAAUAAAAUUCCCCGAUGGUCACAAGACACUUAAAGUGUUCAUCUGUGCAGUGCAUAUAAAACUUCUUUGGGCAACCAUUUACACGAGGAACCCAAGCUUUAAUAAUAACACAUAAGAAAGGGACUCCACUACCCCUUGAUUAACCAAUUUGGCUUCUUAAAAUUUCUCAAUUUUUCAUCGGAUGAAACAAAUGCAAAAUUUCGACUGAAUAGGCUUAGGGGCCACAAGGCAUCCACAAGAUACAGACCACAUGAUUUUAAAUUUUGCCACUUGUAUUUUGGUUCUUCGUUUUUCUACUGGUUAGAGGGCAUUAAUCAUCUUCUCCUCUGGCUGCAACUGCAAAGCCUAAUCCCUUGGCAGAAGCAGCUAGACAUGAAUAAAUGAAGGAAUAUGCCGUGACUCAACCAUACUGCAGCCACGAAAUUAGCUUUAUUCUUUUAGAAGAGAAAUAUGUUUUAAGGCCUCUGAAUCAAUUCGUAGCCAUACCAGGCUUACAAUCUUCAAAUACAAUGCACAUACUUAUAAAGAUUUUAACCAAUACCAGGAAGCAGUAUACACAAGACCAUGAGGACUUCAGUCCACUGUUUCCCAAUUUUGCAGGAACAACAACAUGGCAAAAGAAGAGGAAUUUAAAUAAACUACAUUCUCCUUCAACUUUUCCCCCAUCUAUGGAUGUUACGUGAGGCAGAGCAGAAACCAAUUAUUUACAACUCAAAAGCCCCUCCAGAUGACAACUUACAUAGGAUCUACCAUUGUAAAAUACGUACAUCAGACAAGAUAGAAGGAUCUACUUCAACCUCUUCCAUUGUUGUUACUUUCAACUGCCUAUGCCUCAUGUACCCAUUCUUUUAAAGUUCUAUUUUUGUUUUCCUUGCAUGUUCCUGAUGUUCUAGGAUGUAUGUAGUAUCAAACAUGUCUUAAAAUAUAAGCAGUAAUUUCCACCAAAGCUACCCAAAUAUGUCCCAUAAUGAGGAAUACCGUACCAUGUUAAUCAGUUUCUGACAAGGUUCAACUGAACUAACAGGUGAAAUGCUUCUCAAGCUGGAACUUAUGUUGAUGAGAACAUCAUAAGCUUCCUUCCUAGAUUCCUCCAUAGCCUGCAAAUUUCAUAUCACAACAGUGAUUAGUGCUGAAAGUAGAUCAUCACCCCCACACUGUAAAGGAGGUUCUUACAUCCUUUAAGACAAGUAUAAUCUCAUUGAGGAUGAAAAAAGCUUUUGAAUCUUCUUUCUCCUCCUCCUCCUCCUGCUGCUGCUGCUCCUCCACAGAACAGCAUAUGACAUCAACAAUAGAGGUGCUUAUAUUACUUAAUUUUGAGCUACAAUUGCAAAUACACCAUAACCAAAAGCUUAAGAAUCCGUUCACAAGUACAUAUAUGAUUCCUUCCAUGUUGAGACACGACCCAAAAGAAAAAAGAAGUUUUUGGCCUUAAAAGCGGAAAAGCCAUUCAUGACAUUCAAUAUUAUUUUAACGAAUUAAGGGAAGAUGGGUGAAUGAUGAUAGUAGGAUCAGGUUAUUAGAAAUUUAAAAAAUUGUGAGAUUGGCGAAAACUGAUCUGUUAGGUUCUUUAAGCAAAAUACCACUUACAUAAUCAGUUUCAAUUUUUUUAAUUUCCACAAAGUUCAAUAAAAACAAAAGGGUGAUGAAAUACUCCAUGCUUAGCUCUGUACAAGAACCUGUUAGCCAUCCAUACAUUUAGGAGUUUGGAAAAGUAAAAAAAGUUUAAGAGUCUUCAUAUUCACAAAUACAGGCACAUUAUACAGACGUUACACCUGCUGUGAGGGUGCAAUUCGAAUCUCCUCUAGGAAGGGAAAGGCCUGCUCUUAGAUCAAGUCUUAAUGUCAAAUUUCCAAAGGCAAACUUUAACUGAAGGAGAUCCAUGAAACAUUUUAAGAAAUUCCUUCAAGAUGGAGGGAAUUGCCCAAGUAGGAGGCCAUGCGAAUAUAUUGUGGGGCCAGAACAAAAAAUGAAAUAGUAUUUAAUUUAAGGAUUGUGAUAUAGCUGCUCACCUGCAGCAUACAAUCUAGGCAACAGAAAUAGAACAAACGCCAAACUCAAAGAACUGCUAAAAUAACUGUUCUAGCACAUCAAGAAUAUAAAACCAUGAAACACGAGGAGAAAUUUAUUAUGAAGAACAAAUACAAUUUCUUCUUGAAUAAAUGUUGUAUACUUUGCUUUUCAGUGGGACUAAUGUUGAGCUGUUUUCACAACACAGGAUUAAGACAUUUCUUAAAGGCUCAUUGCACUCUUAUUCCAAGACAACCAGCCCAGGACAUAGCUCAUAUUCAGUUUACGAGAAGAACAAGAAAUGGCUUCUAUUUACGUCAAAACGUGAUAUAUACACUAAAAAUGAAGGACAUAAAAUUCUGCAUUUUUUUCACAAGAAUAGUAGACACCAAACAUACAAAAGAAAACAAGUACUGCAUUGCCACAAGAAACAUUCUGACCUUUAAUGCAUGAACUAUCAGAACAUGGAAAAAGGCAAAGCGGCUUCUCAGAGUUGCAAUAUCAGAUGGAGUCCUUAGGUCAAUUAGUAAAUCAAUCAACUGCAAAUAUUUAGAUGAACAAAACCAGGGAUGCACCUGCAUAAUAGAAAUGACAGAAAAACAAUCACUUCCAGUAAGAAUAUAUCUUGAAUGGAGAUAGCACACAAACAUACAUCCAAAAUUUUGCUCAAAGCAUUAUAGGCUUCAGCAUGGCCAUUGUCAUUGCUUUCCUUGUGGAAGAAAAUUCAUGAAUGAUUUAGGCUAUAGAAAUCACUAAACUCAUCCAUUAAAUCAAGAAAACAAAGCUACUAUUCUUAAAGUCAAUGCACACCUGAAAAGUGUCUUUAACAAAGCUAAACACCAAAUCAAUGAGAUCCUUCUGUGCUCCUUCAAUAAGAAAUAAGGAUAUCUCCAGUAACAAGCACCUGGGUGAAACUGCAUUCUCUUAGUACUAUAACAGGAGUGCAUUCAUCACUCUGUAUGAAGGGGUGUGAGGGUGUUCUUUCUUUUCUUCAUAUGAAGGGGUGUGAGGGUGUUCUUUCUUUUCUUCAUACUUUUUUUUUUUUCCGGGGGGGACCUUGCAUAGAACAUGACAGGAGUGGAUUUAUUAUUGGAUGCAUCCUCAUGAUGUUACUGUACUUGCAUAGAACAUGACAGAUGACAAAAUGUCAUCAAGAAGAGGAAACAGCAGUGCCCAAUUUCCAUAACAUGGUAGCUCAAAACUCUGGUAGCAGAAUAUAGAAUCUAUGCAUACAGACGCAACCUAGAAAUCUCUGCAAUUGCUAACAGUAGAAAAAAGUUCUGGAUGCUCACAAAUAGAGUUGGUCUGUCGAUAAUCAGACAUCUGUUACAAUGAAUUGUCAAAUGUGACCUAAAGGACUCCCCCUUUAUCAAGUGUAUCAUCAGCAGUCAAGUGUAUAUGCGUAUGUGAACAUAUAUGAAUCUUUCAUUUUAAUCAUUAAUAUAGCUUGCUAACAAUUCUAUUCACAAGCAUUCUCUCUCCAUUACCUUUUAGCAUUUACAUCAAUGGCAUGCUCAUUUCCUAGUUCUUUGUCCAUUGAUGCAUCCAUUUCUUUUUUUCCCUGUCGAACUCAUCUCUCUUAUUUAGAAUGCCAAAUCUUUUGAGAAAUGACACAAAAAUUUCUCUGGUUGCAGAAGAAUCUGUGAUAGAAGCUAAGCAACCAAUAGGAUCCUGAGAAAUCAAAACUGAGCGUGAUAAUAUAACUCAUAUUAUGUAUGUCAAUUACUAAGCAAUGGGAAAAGUAAAAGGUAAUCCGUGAGCAUUGACUGAAUAUAUAUAUCUCAGAGUUAAAGUUCUUUAAGACGGCUACUCAAUACAGCUUCCUUUUGCUAAUUCAGUGCUAUCCACAGGACUCAAUCCUCUCUUUCGAAAAAUUCAUUUGCAAAAUUAUUGAACGCUUUAUAGCGCCCAGAAGUUUGAUCCAAUUAACAAAGCAUCCACAAAGUUCUAUAACUCACAUGCAUGACGAUCCCUUCCACAAUGACCAACCUAAUCUAUCUGACCGACUCUAGUACUUUAAAGUAUUUUGGUGUUCCAUGGUGAGUUCAGGGAGGGUAGACACUUGGUACACAACAUUGAUGCCACUUCACUUCUCAUAACUUUAAUUCUUUUUAACUUUUCCUUUGAGGUUUUCUAAUAACAAGUACGUGAUCCAUUGUUUCAAUGCCAACCCAACCUCAACAUAACUUUGACUUUUUUUAUUCCUUUUAUUUUUUUUUGGUCCAUUUCUAAAGAAUAAUUUGUUGUCAAUAAGAAUAUAAUAAAAAACCAUAAAAAUUCUAGCUUAUGCAUGGCUAUCAUGCUUCUAACAUAUGUUUUUUGGUAGGAAUGCUUCUAACAUAUGUUUCUACCACACAAAAGCAAUACCAUUAUUUUCCUUCACCAUUUUACAUUAAAAUAUAAAAUUACGACCAACAAAUAUAGAAAAAUAACUAAUCAAGUAAAAUUAUAUUAUCUAAUCCAAAUUUUAAUGAUAUGAACUUGUUUUUGCACAUGUUAACACAAAUUUCAACUUGCUUAUAAUAUUUUACAAAUUUAAAAGGAAAGGACAUGAAAAAGUUCAAGUUGAAUUUUAAAUUGAUAGUCAAAAUUAUAUUUUCUCAAAUCAGUUCAACUAUAGCUUCCUGAAGUGACAGGACCACAUGUCCUAUAGAAUCACCCUAAUUUAUCAUGCCAAAAAAAGUUGCAUUAUUUCAAACCUACUGGGCCAAUUCUCCACCUAAUGCUUUUCUCCAUAUACAUAAUUUUUCAUCUGAAGAUUCGAUAUUGUCAAUGGCAUGAGAAAAGGAUAGACAAUCAUGCCGAGUAGAGGAUCCCAAGUAAGUUGUAUAAUUUUAGGAUCACUGCAUCUUGAAUUCACACUUCAUUCUAGGGAGUCAAAAGUAUAUAACUAUUCCGACAGUGAAGGUUUUUCUCUUAAUUUUUUAAAAGCUGCUGUUGUCUGGUGGGGCACACUUGGGAACUAUUCUCUCAUGCAAAGCAGGGAUGGAACAAUAUUUUUCCCAUAGGGCAGGGAAUGGGAACAAAAUUCCUGGCCUGCUCCUCCCAAUGGCAACCACUAGUGCGUGCAAUUCAAACAGUGCCUUAAAUGAUGCAAUCAGAAGUAUUAAUUGUACUUAAGGAAAAAUUACAAGUCAAAAGGGCAGGAGGGGGGGGGGGGGGGGAAAAACACAACAGAAACUUCCAGCUAGAAUCCCAAAAUGUUUUAAGCUUCCAUAGGAUAUCAAAUAGCACAUAAUGACCUAAUAUAUGUCAAUGUAGCCAACCCCAUCUACGUGAACUGUCUCCACAAUACUUUCUAAAGCACUUAUAAGAAUGAUGCGGCCUCACUAGGAAGGAGAUUAGGCAGGUCUGAAUCUGACCAACCCAACAAUCAAAUUUAGCAUGUCAACUGCCUCGUACUAAACAGAAACCUUUGAAUUCCUCUAUACUUCUUCCAGCAAUUAACAUUGACAGAAAGAGCUCCUACUAGUUAUACUAUUUUCAAUCUGGACAGGACUGAGGAGGGAGAUGGAGCUUGGAUUAUCAUAGAGUAUUAGUAUCCUAUUAUUAUCUUAUAGUGCACAUGAGUCCUAUUAGCAUCUUUGAGAUGAGGCAUAUGCCUAAAAAAUUGGAGAAAAAGUUCAGACAACCAAAGUAAGUGGAAAAUUAUGAAUAUGAAAGGGGAGAGGAGAAAACAAUUGUGCAAUAACUAUUACGAAAUUUAGUAUAGAGCCAAAAAAGACUUUAGUGAUUGAGGGAGAACCUUCAAGUAUGACCUUGUCACAGGAAUGGAAUCGACAAAUAAGUCCAAUAAAAGUUGAAGCAACUCAGUAGAGCAUGAACUUAAAGCCUUGAUAUUUCUGCUUGUAGUUUUCUUUGAGUAAAUCAGUAGAGUUUGCAAUUCUAAUCCGGAUGCUUGCACAUUGCAGGUGUCUAAAUAUUUAACUACUCUAAAGCUGAGUACACUUGUAUUCUGAUUCACAAGGAUCAGCAGAAUUAGAACAGUACUAUCAGGAGAUAUGAAAAUGGUAUAACAACCUCUUCCCAGCUAAAGAACAAGUGUGAGCCAAAUGUCACCAAUGUGGCAAGAAGAUCACCUUUAAAGCAAGAGCCACACUUUCAUGCAUAAAAGAAUAUUUUUUAAGAAAAUCAGUCAAUAAUACUGCCAAACGUCUAAACUGUUUUGUCUGUGUCACUUGAACCCCAGCAAAAGGCCGGUAACAGUUUCCAAAGGUCAUGAGCAUGACCCAGCAGCUCCUUACCAAGUACUGAUUUCUUAACUGGAGAAAAGAUAAACAGAAGCACAAUCAAAUCCCCGAUGUCACUAAAAUGUUAAUGAUGAACUGAACAAUUGAUAUCUACGUGAGCGCCAACUGUACCACGUAGGAUGGCCAGUGUGCACAAUUGAUAUUCAUAUCAACAAUUUUCUAUCAAAAUUAGCCAGUGAAUUUAAUUGGCAAAAUUUGAAAAUAUUUAGGACUCAAUUGAUAUAGUUGAAAAGUUUAUGAUUAAAUUGACACCGGUGCUAUAUAUAUAGACACACGCACAACUGUCUUUGUGUUUGGCUCCUAGAGAAGUCCAAUAAUUUUUAAACUCAAAUAUUUAAAAAAUUAUAAAAAUAUUAUAUGAGAACUAUUGUGGCAAAUGAAAUUUCAAGUGCUUGUAAUUUUUUUUGAAAGUCCAAUUAUGUGCGUAAAUAUUGAAAGAAACUUUUAACUAUUUAAAUAGUCAUCGUCGAAAGAGGCUGAAAUUUUCCAAUUACAGGAUGAGUCAUGGAAUCGUAGCGAGGAGGGGUUUUGUACUUUGACUUUGCUUUGGCCUAACAUGGCCUCUUUUAUCUCAGUUACAUGUUAUAAACGUGGACACCAACCGCAGAAAAAUCAAGGCACAUAAAACAAAAGUUGACUUAGACCAAACAAUAAUGGUUCCACGGACCACGUCAUGCACAAGACCUAAGCAAAACAUAAUCUUCUAUGCAUGUCUAAUCAGAUUAAUGUCGAGUCGUUGAGGGUUGUUUUAAUACCGUCAAUCAACGCAGUUAUAUUCAACACGCAAGUUUCAGAGCUUUGAAAAUUCCAGGUUAACUUUAAGUAAUGGAUUCUAAGCAUGGAAUCUCGUCACUUACCUUGAAAUCUUCCUUGACUACAAGAAACCAUGUAGAUUGGAACAAUUUUCCAUUGUAUGUUUCAAUACUCUUGAAAUUUCGAAAGCUAUUAUAUUUUUAACAAUUUUCGACCGUCAUCAAUUUGUAACCAUUUUUAUCUGCCAUUACUUUAUUACAAUUUUAUACUUCUAACGGGGUUGGAGUAAAUCUCUUAAUUAGACAAAUAAGAAAAUAGUCAAAUCUCAAUCACCUCUCCUUUCGAGCUUCUAAUUAAAGAUAAGAGAUUUCUCAAGCCCUAAUUAGUCAACUGGACUAUUAGAGAUAUAUUUAAAAUAUUAUAUGAUUCUAUAUAUUAUUAUAUGGUUCUAUAUAUUUCCUUUGAUUGGUCUUGAUUUGUUACUUUAGAUAGUUAUUAUAUAAAGCCUAUAAAUUAGCUCGUGUAUAUCUUUAUUUGAUGUUCUACAUAAUAUUACAUCUUUCAGUCAUUAUGAUUCUCAACUUGGAUGAAAAAAAAUCAACUCCUCAAAAGUAGAACCUCGUCAGUUUACUUGCCUAGCCGCCCAAAACGUUAUUAGUAGACUACACUAUGACAUCACUUCCCUAAAGGUGAUUCGAUUUUUGACCUUUUAAUUACUGUUUUUUUGGUCGAAAACCUAUUAAUUGCACCUUUUUAUUACUGUUGGCGCGGUGAUUUUUGAACUCGACAAGGAUUGCCCAGUCAACCAUGCAACGAGGGGACAAUUUCUACAAUGAGAAACACGCACGCAUGCACUGACUAUGGGAGUCUUCGGAGACAAUUAUUUGUUCCUGCCGACACUAAGGACCCGACCUCCAUGAUUUGGCAAUUUGCUUUUGCAUUCAUAAUCUGGAACGCGGAAUUUAUGCUAAAGAGCUUCUUUGAAUUUUCGAUGUCCCUCUUUUCUUUUUGUGAUAGAAAACUUUCCACGUGGAUGUUUUAUCGUGUUCAAAAGAAAUGUCAACCUUUCAGAUCUACAUCAUGUUUCCAUGAAAGUCUUUACACAUUGCAUUGCGAAGGUGUGUUGAAGAUCCCCAUUCAACCAGCGAAUGCGUCAAAUGCGGGAAAAUUAUCAUAUUAGGUAGAUAGAAUAUGAUUUUCGGCAUAUAAAUAAUAUGAGUCGAAACGUAUACUAUGACCCAUCUUAAAUUUUGAGACCCAUGUUCUCCCUUAAGUCUAAUCAUGGAAACCCAUGACCCACAUGUAUUUAAAUUCUCUAUUCCUUUGUUUUCCAAUUUGAUUUACAUGUUUCUGAUCUUGAUAUUUUCUAACUUUAUUUUGAUCUUAAGUGCACAUGCCAUCACCUUAUGAGAGGAGCACGGAUUAAAAGCAAUGUGAAUAGAUGAGAUCCGCCACUUAUUUAAAAAAGAAAAAUCAUUUUUUUGCUUUGUCAAUUUCUUGACAUUAACUCCUUUCCAAUCUCUAAACCUUCCAAUGUCCUAUUAAAAAGUCUAAAUCAUUCAAUGCUUUUCCACAGUGAUAUUGAAAGCCUAUCCCUUUCUCGAGUCAUGGAAAAAUUACCUCUAUAGCUUGCCACCUAUUUUAUCUUAAAUUAAAAUUUAAGUUCAUUUUUUCAUAGUGACACACAAUUAUUAAACCGAUGAUAGUUAUAAAAUUGACAAUAAAAACCUUUCCAAAUAUCACUAUUUAAAUAAAUUUUCACUAACGAUUACAUCUAUAGUCAUAAAUCAAACCUAAACCUAAGUGAUUUAAGAAAUAUAGCUAGAUGGAAAAAUAAAUAAUCUUACCUUAUAGUGAUGGCCCGCUCAUUGAACGCGGUCCAAUUUGCAUUCUCAGACCCAAUCAAGUUGCAAAAGCUAACCAACGAUCAACGUCAACUCGGUAUGGACUUCACUUAGUUCCCAAAAUUCAGUCCCUUGCAUUGCAUAAAACGAACCAUUUUUACUAAAUUUUUAUUGCAGAGUUGAGAGAGAGAGAGAAAAGGAAUGGCAUGACAUUGAACUGUUAGAUUCUAUUAAUUAAUUCGAUAAUAAAGUUAAAAAAGUAACUACUGGAAGUAAUGGUCCACCGAGAUACAGGUACUUGUCGGAUUCCACUUAAAGCAGCCCUUCUUUUUCGUUCUUUUUCGAUUAGUUACUUAGAGUGCGUUUGGUAACGCUUUUGUUUCCAGGAAUAAUUUUUUAUCAAAAAUAAAUUAUUUUUUUUGUUCUUCAGAACAAUUUCUAAAUAUAAGAACGCACUUGAUAACUGCACAAAAUUUAUAUUUCUGGGAAAGAAAUGUGUUUGGUAAAAUUGUAUAAUUUUGUUGUUUCUUUUAAUUUUUUAAUAUUUUUAUUAUAAUUUUUCUUCUUUUCUUCUCUCUUUUUUCUUUUUUUGUCUCUCUCCUUCUUCCUCUUUUGUGGCCGGUUGCCAGUGACUAGGUUGGCGAGGUCCGACGAGCUCACCGAAGCCUUCUCGGGCCAAGGCGGGAGUUGGCGAGCUCGCCGGAGGCUUGCCUAACCCCCGCAAGGCUCAGCCUCGCUAAAUUUAGGCGAGGCCGAGCCUCAUCGGUGGCCUCCGAGCAUCACAAGGCUCGACCUUGCCCAGGCAGUGCGAGGUUGGCCUUACCUAGCCUAGGCGAGGCCGAGCCUUGCCAUCCCUCGCCUAGCCAUGGCAAGGCUCGAGUUGACGAGCCUCGCUGUGGCUCGGCAUUUCCAGGGGCCAACAACAUUCCGGCAAGGUCGCCGGCCCUCAUCUAAUCGGUUGCCGAUGCCAGCCAUGGCCAAGGCCAACGACCAGCCAAAAGGAAGAAGAAGAAGAAGAAGGAAAAAAAAAAGCAAAGAGAGAAAUAUAUUCUAGAAAUUGUUCUUGGAAAUAAGAAAUUACUUUUAUCUACUUCUCAUUUCUGUUCCAAAUCUAUUCUCGAAAACAAAAAUUUUACCAAACAAGUUUCUAUUCUUUUUUCGUUCCCCCAAACAAAAGAACAAAAAUAGUUGUUCUAGGAAAUAGAAACAGAUUUUAACAAACAGCUCUUAGGAUGCAAGAUUUGGUUUUCAAUUUUAGUGGAAGUCUGUUGGUUUAGAAAUCAGGAUUUACGAAGUUGCAGCAGAUCCGCUGUUUUGCUUUGCUGGGUUGUAAUUGUAAUAGGUGCAACGAAUCACCCACCUUUGAAGUGGACACUUCAAUUUUCGUUGUGGGAUGUUAAGUGUCAACUUCAUCCAUAUUCACUCGGCCCCCACCUCUCAAAUCUCAGGCGGAGCAGACGAACCCAUUAAGCUUUCGGUUUCGGUUUCAACUUGUUUGAUUCUUUUGACAUUAACCAAAGGUUGUUUUGGGCUUUGACUCAUAAUAUAGAACCAUUGAUGGAAUGGAAGUAGUCCGCUGAUGAGGUACGAUGAGGUAGUAAUCCAACAUUUGCAAGAAACAGUGACUAGACAUGCAAGUUUCUCCAGAGAAAUGUUGCGGGUAGACAUACAAGUUUCUCUUUCAUCAUUUCUCAAAGAUGGGAAAGAUGAAAUUGGCCGACCAUCAUCCACACUAAAGACAAAAAAUUGGCAUCUGCUAAGAGAAAUUCUUGAGUAGCAACAUAUAACAGGCCGAGCUCAUGAACAAAACACAUCCAGAGCAAGAAGGUGCCACUUCGCACAUCUCGCCAUUGAAACAAAUGAAAUGCUUCCAUAAUAGAUUCCCUCCUUGCAGUGGCCAACACAUCGUUAUUGUGUGAAGAGGAAGAAGUUGCAACAUUGUUGCUCUUUGAAUAACAAAUGGAAAGAGAUAGCACGAAUACAAACACCAAACUACAAGCCCUUGUCUUUAGGCUUUCCCCACUAAUUAGUUCACAAUACCCAAUUACUGCACUGCAUAACACUCGUUUUGUUUAUAUUACCUAUACCUUCAGUUCCAAAUGUAAGCAAAAGAGAAACUUCGAAGCAACAUUUAAGAGUUCUGCUGCAAGGAUUACCCAAUGAAGCCCUAGUUCUUUCAAUAACUAAUUUACUUAGAACACAACAAACCAUUUCUUACUCUCUCUCUUGUGCCAGUAAUCAGUAUCCAGAAGUACCGGCAGAUGCAGACAAAGUGGUUCCAGUCCAUGGCCCUUCAAUAGACAUACUCUUGCUGAUAUUCUCACCAACUGCCUGAUGUUCGUCACCUCUAAAAUGCUUCUUCAUGGCCUCAAUUUUCUCCUGAGUCAUGAUAGUGCCCGCAGAGUCCAGCACUGGAACAGCAACCUUGCCUUCAAGCAUGCUAACCACAGAUGACAUUGGCGGCCUGAGUGCUGGAGUUACAUUAGUACACAUCAAAGCUACCUUUAUCAAUGCCAAUGCCUCCUCUUUGUUAAAGUGAGAACCAAGCCUCGGAUCAACUAGUUCUAUCAAAUUCUCUCCCUCCUUCAGAAAGUGUGCCUAGAUACAGAAAUGUAAAGUGAAGGCAUUUCCCUUUCAAGCUUCAGGUAUUGAUCAGUUGCAAAAUAUGCUCUAAAUACUGAAACAGGAAGAAGUAUAUUAUCUCCCUUGAUAAUUACACGGCAAAUGCAGUUGAUAAGCACCUGCUAGUUCUAGGGUAUAAAUGGAUAAAAAGAAUCGAAUGAGUCAAUACAGAUCCAACAUGAUUUUUUUUACCGAUUUUAAAUAAAAGAUACUAGACUACAACAUCACUUACUAAUAGUUGACCGGUUGCCAAGAAAUCACCUACACCGUUUAAAAAUCGCCAGCUAUUGUCGAGUUUUAUCAGCACAAAUUAUUUGCCAGUGUCAUUACAUGAAACGGCAGACUUGUCUUUCAAUGUUCUUGAUUAUGCAACUCAGGCGACAAUCAGAUUUAACAAGGACUAAUAAUGAUGGUUUGCUCUAAUGAUUGCUCACUCAAAGCAAAACAAAAUCUAACUUAAGGAGUCAAUCAUAUGAAUGUGAAAAAAGUUAUACCUCAAUCGAAAGUAUAUGGAUAUUCUGGUCAAGACAUGGUCUUGAAAACUUUUUAAUUUAACAGUAAUUGCCAAAAUUCAAUAGUAGUCGAAGGACUUGUUUGGCGCUAAUGAAACUACAGGGAGUAUGAAUGUCAAGCAUAAAAACAUAAAGACUAAAACUGAACUUUCAAGAUCCAUCCUAAAUUAUGGGGUCAACUUCCCCAAAUUUCAAGGGAUAGAAUUUUCUUCAUUCCAAAAAAAAGAAAAAAAAAAGAAUCUACAUGAAAAUUCAGAGUAGACCAACAUGAUAAGAAGAAUUGGAUUAAUUUGCAAUAACAAAUUGCACUUAACAGCAUGACAAUUUGUUAAGCAAGUUUCAAUAGCUGUUAACUGUGAAACUCCUUUGCAACCAUUGAAAGUGCAUGUGAGGAUUUAAAUACGGAUAUGAUCAUAAUUGAAAUGAUAGAGUUGAUUACCCAAUCGAGUAGAUUAAAGCAUUCCUCAGUUCUUUGGGAGCUAGUGUUGCUUCGGCCAUUAACAACUUCUAAGGCAACAACGCCAAAACUAUAGAUGUCGGCUUUGUCAGUGAGAUAACCAUGCAUUGCAUACUCCGGUGCCAUAUAUCCACUGCACAACAAGAAAAGAGCUUGUGUUUGCAACAAGGUAACUGCCUUAAAUAGCACAUACUUAAUAUUCCUAAAAUUCAAAAGAAAGAGUCGUUCCUAAAUGUGACGCUAUGGUCUAAAGAGUAGAGGAAAUAAACAAAUGCAUCCUAAUAUAUUCAAAUAUAUCAUUUACCGAGAAUAUUUCAGGAAAUAAAAAAGAUCAUUGUUGUUCUUUAUAAACUUUUUUUUUGGUUUGAAAUAUAAGUAUCAUUUAUAAGAUGACGUACAUGAGUUUAAGGGCAUUUCCCAGCAUUACAAAGAUAUCUAAGAACAUGCAAAAAUGGAGUGAGGGAAUCUCCAUAUAGUACCCAAUAUUACAUUUAUUUGGGAAGGCCUAAAGUUUUUGUAAUGUGAAGCUCGCCCUAUAACAAGUUUACGAAUUUUAGCCACGAUGAUGGGGACAUCAUUUGACUUGUUUUGGAAAUGUCGAUAGUUACAUUUAUAGUUCUUUUUGUAGAAUGAACGUUAGAGUUAGUAGAAUGAACUUACAAUUUUAUCUUUUCCCUAAUUAAUCACAUUCCUUUCAAAAACAAGUUGACUUUUCACACGCAUUAAUGCAAACAUCUAAAACAUGUGAACAUGCUUAUCUAUGUUUUUCCAUGUGCAUACAAUAGAAACAUGGGCGAAUUUGCUAUAAUACUAAGUUAUAUUCAAAUUAACAAUUACAUAAGUCAAUAUCAGAGUAUCAUUACUUAAUGGUAGAGUAUGACACAAUUUACAUUUUUUUCCUAAUUAAUGUAAAGAGUGGUGGGACAGUCAUAAAGCUUUGUGGUUAAGCUGAAUUUGUUGAGCACCAUGCUUUGGGAUGAUGUGAAUCCACCACAAAGCUCCAUUCAACUCACUUUUCUUAAAUCAGAAUAUAUGUUUCUAUUCCAUGCUUUUAUGUUGUCACUGGCUCCUACUUAGGUUAACAGGAACAAAAAGCAAGAAACUUACUAAGUUCCAGCAAUCUUGGUGCUAAUAUGUGUUUUUUCCUCCUCAUCAAGCUUUGCUAAACCAAAAUCCGAUAUUUUAGGGUUGAGAUCCUUAUCCAGUAAAACAUUAGUAGCCUUAAUGUCUCUAUGCACAAUCUUCAGCCUUGACUCUUCAUGAAGAUAUGCCAAUCCCCUGGCAAUACCCACGCAUAUCUUGUGUCUUGUCCACCAAUCCAACUUUAACUGAAAUUCUUCAGGACCUUCAAUUGUAUCAGAAGACAUCAAAGCUGCUUUACUGCCAUGUCAUUAACUGAAGUCAAUGAAGCACAAUGUGAUAUCAAAUUACCAAAUAAAGCGCGAGCAAGACUGUUAUUUUCCAUGUACUCGUAAACCAGCAAAAGUUGAUUUCCUUCAAUGCAGCAUCCAUAGAGUUUCACAAGAUGUGGAUGCUGAAGAGCAGAAAUCGUCCCAAUCUCAGUCAGGAACUCAUUAUUUCCUUGUUGUGAUUUGGAUGAAAGCUGCUUCACUGCUAUAGUGGUGCCAUCUGACAGAAAACCCUGCAAUUCAACUUUGGCAUCAGAUCUAUGUUGUGAAAAUUGAGUUACAUUGAAUGCUGCUUUCUACAUAUCUUCUCUCUUGGGAAUUGGGGGAAUUUGGUUAGUCAAUUUUCCAGCAUACCUUGUAUACAGAACCAAAACCACCUUCUCCUAUCUUAUUGGCAGCGUCAAAAUUGUUUGUGGCAGCUUUAAUCUGUCGCAAGGUAAAUAAACCAAUUUGCGACGCUAGACCCUUCAAAUCUGCAACACGUUUCAGAACUUCUAUGAAUUUGGAAAAGUCAACAGUUAAAGUAUGUAAUCCACUAUCUAACAAAGAUGUAUCAAUUCCUUCUCAAUAUUCCAGAAAACCUUUUUGUGACGUUUUGGUCUGAGCAAGUUCAGUACAGAAUAGCUUAGCAUCUUGAAAAUUAUUUUCUAGGAAAGUCUGGCAUCAGUUGGCAGUAUGUAUUUUUGAAAAGUAAAAUGAGAUUGUCCCUAGGGUAUUUAAUAGUGAAGGAAAAUAAAAAUCAUACAGAGAACCCCCUUGGAAACAUAGGGUAUGGUUUGCAUGUUUUUAACUUCUCAUGCACGUGAAGUUCUGGCAGCUAUUUUUGGUGUCUUAAAACGUAGACUUUGUGUAUACACACACACACACACAUCUGAGAAACAAUCUACUGUCUCUCCCUAUAACUAUCUAUUCCUUCAUUUUUCGGAUUUCUAAAUAAAAAUUUAGUUUGUUAAGCAAACCAACUGGUUCUAUGACACUUUAGCUGUAUAUCGCCUAAUAAUAAUCUUUGGCUUUUUGCAUCGAGCCAAAUUCCCUAUGGAAUGCACAAAUGUCAUGCAUCAACAGUUUUAUGGGAACUGUAAAUCUAGAUGGAGCAUUAAUGAUCCAUUGUCAUUACACUUUCCCCAACCAGGAAAGUAAGAAGAAGAAGAAAAAGAAGUAUCAUGUGCCAACAGUGUGACAGGACAACUGUGCGAUUUAGCUGAAAUAUAAAUGAAGCAAUGUGACUAUCCUCCCUCUCCACCAGAAUAUGGAAGGGGGAAAAUGUAUUCAGAGUGCAUAACAUUCUCAUAUUUCUUGACAAAUACACAUGGACUAAAUAGCGGAGAUUCCAGGUAAGCAACUACCUUGUGCCAUUUUAUCUUUACGUCCAAGGCAUCCUCUCCACCAAAGGAUAACCAGGAUAAGGAAAACUACAAAAACUAUAGCAGUCAGAAUCCCAGCCACUGUGCCAGCAGAUAUGCUGGCCGGGGGAUCAAAGCCUGUAAUGAAGAAAGAACAAACAAAUAUUUAACCAAAACUGUUAAAUGGGGUAGACGUAAAUGCAGAAAAAUAUCUGUAACUUCUUGUUGAACACAAAGAAAUUGAUGGAGAACACAAUAAUUGAGAAUUAAGAGGACAUAAAACCGCCCAGAGUACUCCACAGAAACUAUCAGAUAAAUGAGCACAGGAAGAUAUCAUCUAUGGAACAUGUAAUACAAAAUACAAAGGGAAAAAAAAAAACAAAAACAAAAAAAAAUUCUACUCUUCAUUCUCAAGGCUGUACUGUAUUAUACAGGCACAGUGGUUGUAAUCCAUAGCAGAAAAGUGAACAAGGCUAUCAAUUCGUAGUCAAAUGGAAGGAUUAAAGAUACAUAGAGAAAACAUGCUCAGAUAGAAAGAACACAAAGCAACCUAUAACCAAUUUUCAACUCUAAGAGAAUAAUAAUAGACCCUGGUCAGCUAUUGUGUGUAAUUGACUUGAUCUACAAAGACAUAUGCCAAUGGCCUGAAUCCAACAGUAGGCAUUUGCAACCAAACCAAGUAACUGAAUAGCCUAUUGAUGACUUCUGGUGCAAGAAAAAAUAUAGGUAUUCCUUUCAACAUGAAUAAGAGUAACUUUCUCAACAGAGAAGCACCAAGCGAAACAUGGAUGUAUCCAUCUGCGUACCAGGGUAGACGGAGAUAGCAGAUAUAAGAGGACCAUAGACUCCUACGUCAGGUAUAGCAGUGGUUCCUUUCCCAGCCCAAUAGAAGCGUAUCUCCAGAGUGCCCUUGGUCACGAUGGCAGCAAAAUUUCUCAUGACCUCCUUUCCAACUCCACCUGCUUCACUCUCAAUGUUGAAAUCUUUCCAAACCAAUUUCCCCUGAAAUAAUAUUUCAUCUGAUUCAAGUUGAGGUUCUCCACACUGAACAAGGUAAAACUUUCAGUCUCCAUAGAAUGUACAAAUUGUGAAAAAAUCAUGAUUUGCAAGUACAAGAUAUUUGGAUAAACUUCCCAACCAUAACAUAUUGAACGCUUUAUGUGCUUUAUAUAUUAGAACCAGCACUCCAUAAUGCUCUGAGUUUACCUGUAUAUAAAUAUUAAAAGCUCUCCUUCCAAGGCUUUUAUAACUUUUGUCGCCUGUGAACAUUAUCUCCGCAAAAUGAAGGGUUACAUUGUAGGGCCCAUCCAUCAGACAAAAACCGUAAUAAGUUAGAGAGAUGGCAGAACGUCGUGCUUCCAUGUAAAGUUGGGCAUUAUUCAUGGACAGUGUGGAUGUGUUUUUAACUUCAUAGCCAACUGCAGUGCCAUCGUCAUCGGUGAAGUCACCAGUGCUACUGUAGGCCCAGUAAUUACUCUUGAAGAAACUUGAAGGUGUAGCCCUCUGUGAGUCAUCUUCGUAUGUGAUGCCCCUUACUUUUGCUUUGCUCCCACCACAAUUUAUGAAGAGGUUAUACCGAGCUGGAUGGAGUAAAGAAGCAGCCACAGAGAAAAUUCAGUUUCUUCUAUUUGUUAAUAUG
rnacentral:lncRNA from 1 species